rnacentral:lncRNA from 1 species
CCAUCAAUAUUAGUGGCCCAUUGUCAGACUCCUAUAAUUGCUUUUAGUUGACCUGUAUUGCAUGUCGAUAAUGUAUGUUAGCUAUGUUAAAGGGAUAUACUGGGUGACUGACAUAGUAGAUGUUGCAUAUUAAAAUUAUCUUUUACUCGUCGAGGGCCUCUUGGUGUAUAACGUGGUCUUCAGGAUUAAUUUAAAGGCUAAAGGAGCCAAAGAAUGAGAUAGUAAGUGGCUUGAGGCAAAGGCAUGCUCUUAAGUAACUAACCAUGAUCAUAAUAAGGCCCUUCUUAGAAGCUUCGUGCUAAGUAAAUGUCACUGAUUAUGAUAGACUUGGCUCCAGCGUCCUUUUUUAACCAAUGGGACCUUAACCUGGUUCUCUUUUCAUUUUCCCCAUCUCUGACAUGAAGGGGAUUUCUGCUGCUGGGAUACUCUUAGUUGCAGCAUUGCAUCAACUAUUUCGAUGUGGAAAGUUCUCUGUUGUUGUUUAAUUUGCAAGACGGCAAGCUCCUGACACUCUUGUCAUUGGGUUGCACUCUACUAAUUGUUUCUGAAGUUAUAUGUUAUGUUAAUUUUCUUAGGGAACUGUGGCAGCAGCUGCAGAUGGUCAGAGUGAUCUUUCUCAGACUCAAAGACUGCAUUCUGUUUCUAUUAGCAUGCCAUCUACUCCUGCGGGAAAUCAUUCCUCAAAUGCGAAAAAAGUACUCUUCAAUGAUAGUAAUGAAAUAAUUUUCAGCAAUGAUGCUUCAAAUUCUGCUGCUACAACCAAUUAUGGUGGUGCUGCAGAACUAAAAAUCACUAAGUUUCAUUCUCAGCCAAUGCCAACAGGUUCAACAUCUCAUCAGGUUGUCGCAAAUGGCAAAUUUCCAAGUCAUCCAGAAGGUCCCCUCAGGAAUCCUGCAAUUAACGGACUAAAGGAUAAAAGAUUUGACACUUUCAAAACUUGGUCUGGGAAGCUUGAGAGGCAAAUAUCCAAUUUACGUGGAAAGAACAGGGAGGAUACACAUGAUUCCAAUCCACAAGAGAAUAUAGAAGUGGAGACUUUACCUGUGGACCGGUACUUUGAUGCCUUGCAGGGGCCUGAACUUGAUACACUACGGGUAUGUAUCUUUGCAAAAUUCUGUUCUUCUUUUAUUUUUGGUAUAUGUCUAGGUGUAGUGAGAUGGUUGUGUAUUCAUCACUGAGAUUUGCAACAUUGACUUUCUGCUGUACAGCCAUCUGAGGAGAUAAUUCUUCCUGAAGAUAAGCAGUGGCCCUUUCUUCUUCGCUACCCAAUCUCUUCAUUUGGUAUCUGUCUUGGUGUUAGCAGCCAAGCCAUUAUGUGGAAAGCCCUUGCAACGUCUACUUCCACAAAAUUUCUGCACAUAAGCCCGGAUGUAAACCUAGCUUUGUGGUGCAUAUCGGUUGCUCUUGUUGUAAUCGUCUCUUCCAUUUACUUUCUGAAAGUGAUUUUCUACUUUGAAGCAGUUCGGCGAGAAUACUAUCACCCGAUCCGUAUCAAUUUCUUCUUUGCUCCAUGGAUAGCACUCCUUUUUUUAGCUCUAGGAGUUCCACCAUCAAUUUCUGAAAAGCUCCAUGCAGCUCUAUGGUACAUUCUUAUGUUUCCAAUCUUUUGUCUUGAGCUAAAAAUUUAUGGACAAUGGAUGUCAGGAGGAAAGAGGAGGCUUUCAAAGGUGGCCAAUCCUUCAAAUCAUCUCUCAGUUGUUGGAAAUUUUGUUGGGGCAUUGCUUGGCGCAUCCAUGGGGCUAAAAGAAGGGCCUAUUUUCUUCUUUGCUAUUGGAUUGGCUCAUUACAUGGUCUUAUUUGUCACUCUCUACCAAAGACUUCCAACAAAUGAGACACUUCCAAAGGAGCUUCACCCAGUAUUCUUUUUGUUUGUUGCAGCACCUAGUGUUGCUUCUAUGGCGUGGGCGAACAUUCAGGGAUCCUUUGAUUAUGGAUCACGGAUUGCUUACUUCAUUGCUAUGUUCCUCUAUUUCUCGCUGGUUAGUCCUUCUAUUAUGUGAUUUCUCAUACCUAUGUGCUUUGCAUUCUCAAUUUUGUUGAGUAUUUUAUGCAUGGAUAGGACUUACAAGGUCUUUGGUGAGCUUGGUUGGCUUUAGCUAUAACAUUAACACUCAGAUGAAUGUUGUCUGAAGACUGAGGGGAUCUAUAAGAUAAGAAACCACUUCCCUACCCUUGAAAUCGAAUACCUUCCUGAGCAUUGUUGUCGAAGAAAAAGUACUAUCCUCUAGAUAAAAAAUGAGGUUGGAAAACUGGCCAAGGCUAGCUAGUUCAUGUUAAAGUGGAUGAUCAAGUUGUUUCGCGAGCAACUUUAUCUAAGCAUAUUCAAUUGGUAAGAAUAGGUAUCUAAUCAUUUGCUUCUCCUCCUCACAGGCUGUUCGCAUUAACUUUUUCCGAGGCUUCAGGUACGGUAAGAUGUGUAAUUUUUAACUCCAGAGAUCUGUAUCCAACCUACUUUUUAUAGAUUCCUGAUAUUCAAUUUUUUUAUUUUGGUCUAAUAUAGGUUUUCUUUGGCAUGGUGGGCGUACACUUUUCCAAUGACUGGAGCUGCCAUUGCCACAAUCAGGUAUUCAAAUGUGGUAACCAAUGUAGUGACAAAAUGUUUAACUGUGAUACUAUGUGUUACUGCAACACUCACAGUAACUGCACUGCUCGUAACAACAAUCAUCCAUGCUUUCGUGCUUAGAAACCUCUUUCCCAAUGACAUUGCCAUUGCAAUUAGUCAAGGAAAGCCUAAAACAACUCGACGAUGGUUUCAUAGAAGAUCUGGCAGCUCUGAUACUACUAUUAAACAUAUUGAACACUACCUCAAGUUUGCAGAUUCAGAAGAAAAAGAUAUUGAAGCUUCUAAUGAGUCGGCAGGAAAAGUUUGAACUUCUGGCAUAAAAAGAAGUCUACAAUAUUCAGUACUUCAUCAGUUUUACAGGUCCUGAAGUACUUACAAACAGUCUAUCAAGGGAGGAGCAGUAAAUCUUGAAGUCCCGAUGAACUUGAUGUACAACUUUAUCAAUAUGGUUUAUGUAGCAAGGAGAGAUCAAGGAAAAUUUUCCACUUUCUUUGAGCUGUAAAUUGUUGUAUUAGAAACUCUGAAAGUCUGAACAGUUGGAUAUCUUUCUGAAUAAACUAAAUUUUUAGCAUGGAUAAGAGUAAUAAUUUAGUCUGUUAGUCACUUAGUCGUUGGAUGAGUCUGUAUCCCAUAGAACAUUGUAAAUUGGCUGCGGGAGUAACCUAGCCAUUGGAUGCCAAUGUUUGUUUAAAGAUGGGAUGAAAAUCAAGCAAACAAAUAUCUGAUGACUGGAAACUGGCUCAUGGAAGGGUUUCAAACUCCAUCCUGCCAAAAGAACAGUUAAACAUUAUCUAAUGAAAAGACUUAACAUCCGGUUCUUGAAUCUUAACUAUAUUUCGGCUAAAGGGUUUCAAAUCUCAAUAAUAAUAUAUUAGGGGGUGUGGAUUUAGGAUGCAGAAGUGUGAAUUUAGCUUCUUUCAUAAGUAAUCUUAUUAAUAUAAUUACGCAAAAGUCAAUCUAUUGUUACAAAAGCAUAACAAAAUUUACAAAGUUUAGAAAACAAAAAAGGAAAUUAAAAAGGGCAAGAUUGGAGAAAAAGGAGAAUCACUAUUAUUACAAAAAUGUAGAAGUAAUAUAUUGUUACAAAGUUCAGAACAGUCACUAUUAUUAGAACUUCAAAAUGUGCUGAAUAAGGAGAACUGGACAAUGACAAGAACAAGGGUGAUUCCCCAUAUAUCACUCUUCUACAACUAAAUAGAAUCAGUGUAAUUUCUCCCACGUAUAAUUCUAGCCAGUAUACAUUCUUGUACCUGAGAAUAUAGGUUAGAUGACAAUGUAUAAGACGAAAAACACCAAGCUUACUAUCAGCAGGAAAAUGAGUAGGGCAUAAAAUUGAAGAGAAAACUAGAAAAACCAGAAGGACAAUUAACAGCCCUAAAGAAAAUAGUUUCAGUUCUUAGAAGGAAGGUGAAGAAAAACAUUCAGCAACUUCAUGUUUUUGUAGAUUUUAAUUUUAGCAAUGCUAGAAAGUUCUAUAUCUUGAAAUUCUUGUCAAAUAGGUAAAAACUGACAAGUUGCAGACAAAAUUAGACUUAAAAAACGGAAGAAAACAUGAUGCCAAAAUCUGCCUUGUAAAAUAAUAUUCCAGUCUCACGUUAAUUAAUUACCUCUUGCUUAUUUCUGCCAUUAAUUUCAGUCUGCAAUCUGUAUUCUUCCAUUCUCCAAUGUGUUUUCUUAGCAUGUGGUGGAGAACCUGAAAAAUAAGUCAAAUAAAUUUUGAAAGCAAAUAUAUCUCCUUCUGAAUUGUGAAUUGGUUCUUCUUCUCCAAUGAAUCUCCAGAAACCGAUCCCAUUUCCAACCAUCCGAGUUGAUCUUGUUUUCCCAAGAAAAUAUUCAUCUUUGUAUAUGAAGAAAAGCCAUUCCCUUUCAUUAUCAUUAAAAGUACCAUUUCCCACUGCAAAACAAAUUUCAACACAAUGAGUUGUAAACAUAACCAAAAAAAAAACCAUUCCAUCAGAAAAAACAAAAACUUCAGUGGAAUCUUUAGUCUUAUUUCCAAAAUCACAAAAUUGCAACCAUGAUGUAUACUGGAAGAUGCCACUUAACUAGGAGUUGUCAUGAACCAGGAAUUGAUCAAACUAGAAAUAAAUGACCUGAAGCGGAAAUUGAUGAAACUGGAAAUAAAUGAAUUAUCACGGGAUGUAUACUAGAAUACAGAUGGAGAAUGAACUAGAAGGGAGAACGUAAGUUUAGAUUGUUGCAAUUCUAGUCAUGAGUUAUUUGCAAUUCUGUUGUUUCUUAUCCUUUCCAUCUUUUGCAAUUUUCUUGAAUCACAACGUAUAACGUAUAAUCUAUAACCUAUCAUCGUGUAGUCUCAUUAUACCUAAGUGUAAUCUUGAUGUACCAAAACUAUUGUUAAAUAUGUUACACAACUAGCAUUACCAUCUAAAAAUAACAAAAUUUUUGCAACUUCUUGCAACUUCCAUAACAACUAUAUAAAAGAGCCCUACAAAUCUGAAAAGCACCCUACAAAUCUUUCCAGACUAAUGUUACAAGCGCUAUCCAUACAGAAUUAACAUAUAAUCCAUAUGUAGAAGAAUAUAGAUGUAUAAUCCAUAUGUAUACUAGAAUAAAGAUGGAGAAUGAACUAGAAGGGAGAACGUAAGUUUAGAUUGUUGCAAUUCUAGUCAUGAGUUAUUUGCAAUUCUGUUGUUUCUUAUCCUUUCCAUCUUUUGCAAUUUUCUUGAAUCACAACGUAUAACGUAUAAUCUAUAACCCAUCAUCGUGUAGUCUCAUUAUACCUAAGUGUAAUCUUGAUGUACCAAAACUAUUGUUAAAUACGUUACACAACUAGCAUUACCAUCUAAAAAUAACAAAAUUUUUGCAACUUCUUGCAACUUCCAUAACAACUAUAUAAAAGAGCCCUACAAAUCUGAAAAGCACCCUACAAAUCUUUCCAGACUAAUGUUACAAGCGCUAUCCAUACAGAAUUAACAUAUAAUCCAGAUGUAGAAGAAUAUAGAUGACAGAGUGAGAUGUACCUAAACAUUUGGGAUGUUUGCUAUAGAGGUCGUGGGCAUCAAUUUCUCGGAUGAUCUUAACCGGGAGAGGUUUGUAGAGUACUUUGUUAGCCAGAUAAUACUUGACCAGCUCUUCAUCAGUGGGCACAAAUCUAUACCCAACAGGCAUCUCCAACUCCAACAAAUGUUGGCUGGUUUCCAUGAGAAAAUGCUGAUUUUGAGUAACAAAUCAAUGAAGAAGAUGGACAAAAUAGAGCCAAGACUUGAAAGAACGAAGAUGGUAGUAGCUUUACCAACUGAAGCCCGUAUUUUAUAUUAGCUUGUAUUGAACAAUUGCGCGUAUACGUACGUUUCUUUUAGAAGGAAAGUUGAAUCCUAGUACAACUUGGAGUAUUUAAAGUCUACACAAUUUUAGGCGACUUUUUCAAUUGUUUGUGGCUAAGAAAAGAUGAGAACGUAUUCGUUUUCUGGUGAAGAGUAACCCUAAAUGAGUUUCCUAAAACUGUGUGAAUUGACUUUUUCAAUAAUUUCAUUUCCAUUUUUAAUAGUAGUUCUAUAUCUAGACCAAAAUUAACGUUAAAGGGAGAUCACAAUGGAUUGAAUAUGCACAUUCUACGUUCUCUGUAUUCUAUAUGUACUAGUGACAAGGAUACCCAAUCAGUGUGUAAUUUAGAAACAAUUGCUUUUUAUAUAGAAGAAUUUAAUAUAAAAUUUUCAUAAACACAAAAAAACUUUGAUCUUUUUAAAGUUUUUUUAAUCAAAUUUUAAUUAAUUUGGUGGUUACAAUGUUUGUGGGUGAGUAUGGGUAAAAAUUAGUUGUGAUUAUAUUGGUUGGCAACAUGUAAUUAGAUAGUAAAGAUAUAAUAUAGUGAUUAUCAGGGUAAAGUUGAAAAUUCAAAAAGUGACAGAAGAAAAAGUUUACACCAAAUCCAAUACUCUCUCUUUAUAUAUACUAGUGCUUGAGGCAACCCUAAUGUGUCUGCAUUUAAUAAAAAGCAUAUUUAUCAAAAUUAUCCCUUUAUAAUAUUUUCUUAUUGGUUAUAUUUUUUUUUAUAAUGUAGAUAAUUGUAUAUAAAUAUGAUGGAAGCUGAGCAAAUUACAUGGGAGUUGAGAGUUAGUGUAAAAAAUUGGAUAAGCUCAACAAAUAACUCUCUCCUAAUUGUGGGGAAGUUUGUUUAGUAUACUGGGACAAAUUUACCCUUGUCAUUAAGGAUAGAUUAGGAAUUUUAAAAAAUAACACUAUUUAUCACACAUUGAUGCUUAUUGUAUAGACUAGUGUUAAGGGUACAUUCAAUGUGUGUGCAAUUAGGGAUCAAUUAGGUGGAAAGUUUUGAACCUAGAACUUCUCAUUUACACUCCCUCCAUCAGUGCCAUCCAACCAAUUCCUUCUCCCCGAUUUUAUUCCCUUCUUAAUAAACAUUAAUUGAGUCUUUUAUAUGAUUGACAUUUAUAUUUAUUUGUACUAUAUAAAAAGGGAGAGAUGGGGUUUGGAGUAACACUUUGACAGGUGUCGACCCUACACGGUAAUAAAAGUCUUACCGGAGAAAAUAAGAUUUUGUAUAGAGCAACAAGUAGAAUCAUCUCCAUAGGGAUUGGCGAGAAAUUUGUUUCUUCUCUAGUAAGAAUUAUGGGGGAUUUUAGAAAAUUCAAAAAUAACUAAUUAAUAAAUAAUUCAUGAAAAUAAACAAGAAUUAAUUCAAUAAUAAACAUGACUCUAAUCAAAGAUACAACAUUUCAUAUAUGAUUCACACAACUGAUCAUUGAUGUAAGAAUAGAUUAAUUACUCAUUAAUAGAUUGGUUAUAGCCAUCAACAAACUCUGACAACCAAUUUUUUCUUACUUUAUUGAUAAUCAAGGUACGAUCGUUAACUAUUUCCCUAAUCAAGAAACAAUUCUAGGUAUGACCAUAUGAUUUAAUUUUCUAAUUGUAUUAAAAACUAGAAAAGUCCAACCCUAACCAAUAAGUAUGCUACGAGAGUUUGUUUAAUUUAGAUCAUACGUUUCCCUAACAUGAAACCAAUCACACUAGUUACCACUAGUAUUAACCAAUCAAACAGUUACAUAUUUAACUAGUUAAUAUGGCAGUAGAUUAUGAGGUUAAUUUGAAUAUCAGCCCCUUGAUAUCCAAAUAACAAAAUAAUCAUAAGAAAUUAAAUAAAAAAAAUAUACAAAUGCCAAUGAAUUAAAAGAAAUAAUUAAAAAUUAAUCUUCAAAUAGCCAAAAAUAUUGUUGAACUCCCUAUUUGGAUUUACAUCUAUGGGAGGCAAAAUAGAUCAUUCAGUAGUCAAUUCUGUCAGACUGUAUUCAUUUCGAAUUAGCAGAGAAAAUUAUCAUUUAAUUGGAUCUCUCCUACCAUCUGUUGAAGAAUUAGGUAGAUUCAUACAACUGCAUAUUUUUUAUACCGAUAAUGAGUUACAAAAUCGUAUGAAUCUUCUAAAUAGUCAUGAUGGCAAUCCAAUUGGAAUUGAUGCAUCCGUAGUUGAGGGGUUACAUAGUAUGUUAGAUGAGAUCAACUCAUAUGUACAGGUAUUUCAGAAUGCUAGAGACAUGCUUCGAAAUCAAAAUGUUUCGAAUCUUCAAGUACAAAUAAUUUGUGCUCGAGGUGAUAAACAAUAUAUCCAACCAGCUGUAAAUGAAGUUGCUGCUAUACUCAUAGGUGAAGAUAGUGGGCAUAUUACACAUCGUGAUAUUGUAGUUGUUGCUCGAGAUGGAAAUUUGAAAAGAAUUAAGGAGACUUAACCAUCUUACAUGCCACUACAAUAUCCUUUACUAUUUCCCUAUGGAACAGAUGGAUGGCGAUGUGGCAUAAAAUUUUCACGCUCUUCUACUAAGAAGAGACAAUUUGUUUCAAUCCAUGAAUUUUGUGCUUUCCGGAUUCAAUUUCAAUACAAUAAAGGUCAUACACUUCUAAAAGGUGUUAAACUAUUCCAACAGUUUGUCGUUGAUUGCUAUGUAGCAAUUGAAUACGACAGAUUAAAUUUCAUGAAAAUCCAUCAGUCUGUAUUGCGGGCUGAUGUAUAUCAAGGUUUGGAAAAUCCUUUCCUUUUCUUUUGCUUAGAUUCAAUCUCUCUCAGCCUUACUCAGUCUUUCCUCUCUUAGACCUCUACCCGAGAACCCCUUUCUUCCUCUCCCUUUUUGCUCUUGUUUUUCACUCUUCACCCCGGUUUCCCUCACUCAGCUGCCACUUUUGCUCUUUCACUCUCCUUAGCCGUCACACUUUCUUUUCACUCCUUCAACCCUUGGUUCCCUUUGCUUCCUUAUAUAGUAGUUGGCAACCUCAAAAAUCCUGAUCUCAACGGUUCUCCCUAAACCUCAGUUCACCGAUUCUAUUUUAGCCAUCGGAUUGGUUUCAUUUCUAGAUUCUUCUUGGUUUUUGGAUGAAAGCCAGGUGGAAUGAGGUUAACAUGAUCCAAUGGUGAAAGAAAAACCAUGGGAAAAUGGUGGAAAAGAAAAUGGAACCAAGCGAUAUCUCGUUUCUGUACCUUCGCGCAUGGUUUCUGAUAUGAAACUAAAGAAAUGUUUGGUUCAUGUGAGCUCACGCGCGCGUGGCUUUAGUCUUUUUUAAAAAAAAAAAACUGAUUUUCAUCAUUUUUUCCUCUCUUUUCCUUUUCAUCAGAAACAAUUUGGGUAAACAAACAAAAAUACAUUGCCAUAUUUUCAUUUAUUUCCAAUGAAAUUAAAUCUAAAGGUGAGGCUAAAAACAAAUUUCCAAUUUUUGUGAGAAUUUUUUCUUUUCAAAAUUUUGAUGUAAAAAUCUCUUAAAAAUGGAAAUAAUAAAGCUAAUUAAUGAAAUAAAUGAAAAUAAUAAAGCUAACAAAUAAAACAAAAAUUGAACUAAAUAAGGGAUAAAGCUAAAAAAUCAAAUAAAUGAAAUUUUUGGUGUCUACAGCUUGCCCCUCUUUAUCUAAGUUUCAAAGAAUCUCAAGACAAAGACGUAGACACCAAAUACCUACAUGUGGUUAUUCUAACGUGAGCUGGAACAUGUAAGCAUAGAAAGGCUAGUGGGAUAAGAACCCGAGCCUGCGGUAUAGUAACCUCGUCAGUGGGAUGAAAAACCCGAGCCUGCCUUCACUUGGUUAGUGGGAGCCUGCCUUCACUUGGUCAGUGGGAUGAAUACCUGAGCCUGCAGUAUAGUAACCUCGUCAGUGGGAUGAAAAACCCGAGUCUUCCUUCACUUGGUCAGUGGGAUGAGUACCCGAGCCUGCCUUUACUUGGUCAGUGGAAUGAAUACCAGAGCGUGCGGUAUAGUAACCUCGUUAGUGGGGUGAAAAAUCCGAGCCUGUCUUCACUUGGUCAGUGGGAUGAAUACCCGAGCCUGCCUUCACUUGGGAAGAUUUGUGCAAAACUUUUUGUAGAAUUUCGAAAAGAAAGACAAACGAUUUCUUCUAAAAAUUGCCCCAGUGUAAUGCUAUUGGGCUGUCGGACCUGCAAGAAAAGAAAUAAUGAUAGAUAAUGCCACCACCAUCCAAUCAACCCCUUCUUCAAGAAAUGUGUAAACAUGAGUAUUUGGACUUCUUAUUUGAUGUAGCGAGUACUUCAAUCUUGCCCUACGAACAAUAUCAAGCUUCCAUAAUUUCUCAUACUUAAAUCAACAUGUUAUUUAGUAUCCAUUUACUUUCGAUAAAUCAUAGGGAUUGCCGUUUGAUAAAACGAAAAAGACAAAUGCGACCAUGAAACACAUGAAAAAAUAUUCUAAUUGCACAUAAUGAUGAAAAUUCUAAUAAUAUAAACACAACCAUCUACUUUUAUUGAACGAAAAAUCAUUUCAAAUAAAUAAACUUGUAUACUCAAAUUCAAAAGCUUGUGUUUGACAAAUCGAGCACUUUGGUUCUCGAACAAAAUGCUACGUUUGACCCUUUGGAUAUCAUUCUUCCGGAGUUCAAUGCUUGACAACAGAACCACAAUUUGAGGAGAAAUUCCAAUGAACUAAGUCACCAGCUCUUCGGAUCCAAGCUCACUUUUUCUUAUAAAACCCUACCUCAGUGCCCUUUCGGGUUUUCACUAAGGUUGCCCCUGCCCAUUGUAUUUUCUUUUCUUUUUUUUUUCAUUUUUCUUUUCCCUUUUUCUUUUUCUUUUCUUUUUCUUUUGUCUUUUUUUUUUCAAAGGUGCCCUUGCGGGUUUUCACCUAACAAACAAAUCUUGUCUACCGCCCAUAUUAAUUCAGAAAUGUGUUUUAAGAAAUAAUGGCAUCAGUAUAACAAUCCUUCCCUUGCAAAAUAGGUGAAGGUGUUUUUGACAUCAUGUGCCAUUUGAUUAGAAAUUGUCCUAAACAGGCAAUAUAAAGAACAUAAGUCAAGACUUUUGGUUUUUGUAAUGGGGUUUGGUGGGAUGUUAAGACAAAGGUUAAUGCUCGAAGGCGAAUUUGUGAAUGUUUAGAUUUCCUGAGAUCGCAUCUUCCAAUUAGCCCUGCUAAUAAUUGCCCCAGUUUAUUCUCAAUCGAGAUUUUUUUCUUUAAUUUUCUCUUCAUUUUGUUCUUCUAUCACUUUUACCUUUUGAAACCUCUUUUUUCCUUUUCCUUUUUUUCUUUUUUUCGUUUUUUCAACCUUUUAAACUCAAAACUUGCCCCAGUGUGGGGUUUGCGAUCCUCAGGGAUUGUCAAACGAAAUAAUUAAUUUUGAAGACUCAAAAAGGAAUAACUAGAGAUAGAAUGUUUGAUUGGAAAGGAAGAAGGCCUGACUUUUCAUUCCAUUCUUUACAUUAACCAUAAAAGGAAAAUUCCAUUUAUCAUGUGAAUAAUUUCUUACACAUAUCCGAAUUGAUCGGUUGAGCGAACACUUGCCCAUCCAUUUCUGCGAGAAUGAGCGCUCCACCGAGCAAAAUUUUCUGGACAAUAAAAGGGUCUUGCCAAUUUGGUGCAAACUUUCCCUUAGCCUCCUCUUGCACUGGCAAAAUGUGUUUCAACACUUUAUCUCCUUCUGUGAAUAUCCGUGGUCUGACCUUCUUAUUGUAAGCACGGGCUACCCUCUUUUGAUAACAUUGACCAUAACAAAUGGCAUUUAACCUCUUCUCAUUGAUUAAAGACAAUUGCUCAUGAUGUUGUUUAAUCCAAUCAGCCUCAUCCAGUUUGGCCUCCAUUAAAAUACGUAAUGAAAGGAUUUCGACCUCAGCUGGCAACACCGCUUCCAUUCCAUAUAUGAGGUUGUGGGGAGUUGCCCCAAUAGAGGUCCGAAUAGCAGUUCUAUGUGCCAUUAAUGCAUAAGGGAGCUUCUCGUGCCAAUCACGGUGUCUUUCAAUCAUUUUUCGAAUUAUCUUUUUCAAGUUCUUAUUCGCAGCCUCCACAACUCCAUUCAUCUGUGGUCUAUAAAUAGAGGAGUUCCGAUGCUUGAUUUUGAAGUGUUGGCACAAUCCAUCCACCAUAUCAUUGUUGAGAUUCUUGGCAUUGUCAGUGAUCAAUGUCUCAUGGCACUCCAAAGCGACAAAUGAUAUGCUUCUUAGAAAGUCCGUUACCACCUUCUUAGUCACAUGCUUGUAAGAUUCAGUUUCGACCCACUUGGUAAAGUAUUCAAGUGGCGUUUGGUAAAAGGGUAUCGGAAUGAAGGAAUGGAAUAAACUCCAUAAUUGGUGUUUGGUUCACUGGUAUGGGAAUUGAAAUUUUGGAAUGAUUUCUAAAAAUUUGGCAUCCCUCCAUUCCUUAGUAAAAGGGUGGGUUUUGUCCAAAACCCAAGUGUGAUUCCAAAAUCUUAUUAUUAUAUAAUAUUUAGUAUAAUUAAUAUUUAUAUUUAUAUUUACAUUAUAUAUUUUUAUUUAUCUUAUAAUAUAUUAUAAUUAUAAAAUUUUAUUAUAAUUAUAUAUUUUAUUAUAACAUUAGUAUAUUAUAUAAAUACAUAUUAUAAUUAUUUAGUUAAAUAUAAUUAUAUUUAUAUAAUAUAUAUUAUAAAUUUCUUAAUACUAUAUAAUAAUAUAUUUAUAAUAUAUAUGUAUAUUUAUAAAUGUAUAUUAUAAGUGCAUAUAAUUAUAAUAAAUACAUGUAUAUAAUUUUAAUAAAUUAUAUAAUUAUAAUUAUAUUUAUUAUUUUAAAUAUAAUAAUAUAUAAUAAUAGCUAUAUCUAAUUAAUAUGCAUUAUAUUUACAUAAAAUAUUAGUACAAUUAAUAUUUAUAUAUUAUAUAAUUAUAAUUGCAUAUUUAUAUUAUAACAUUCGUAUAAUUAUAAUUAAUUAUAUAAAUAAUAUUUAAUUUAAUUAGUUACAAAAUUAUAAUAAUGAUAUUAUUAUAUUAUAUAAUUAUAUAUUAUAAUUAUUUAGUUAAAUAUAAUUAUACUUAUAUAAUAUAUAUUAUAAAUUUAUUAAUAUUAUAUAAUAAUAUAUUUAUAAUAUAUAUGUAUAUUUAUAAAUGUAUAUUAUAGUGCAUAUAAUUAUAAUAUAUACAUGUAUGUAAUAUUAAUAAGUUAUAUAAUUAUAAUUAUAAUUAUUUUCAAUAUAAUAAUAUGUAAUAAUAACUAUAUUUAAUAUGUAAUAUAUACUAUAUUUAUAUAAUUAAUAUUUUAUAUAUUAUAUAUUUAUAUUAUAACAUUUGUAUAUUUAUAUUUAAUUAUAUAUAUAAUAUUUAAUUUAAUUAGUUACAAACUUAUAAUAAUAAUAUUAUUUGUUAUAUGUAUUAUAUAAUGUAUAUUAAUUUAUGUAAUAUAAUUAAUAUUAUCAAUUAUACUAAUAAUUAUACAUGUUUACUAAUAGAAAUUAUUAAUCAGUUAGACUAACUUUACUAAUACAUUUAUACUAAUAUAUUUAAUUAAUGAAAAUUUCUUAUAUCCCAUUUACAAAGAGCCAAUAACUAUCAUUUACAAUGUGAUUUAUAAUAUAUUUAUUAUAUUCCAUUCCGAAAGAGUCGACGAACCAAACAUCAACUAUAAUAAUGAUACACAUUUCAGGUACUUGAACCAAACAAAUGUAUUAGAAUGAAUGACCUCAUUCCAAACCCAGAAUAUCCGAUUCCGAAUCCGAAUCCGAUUCCGUUGUGCGAACCAAAUGCCACCUCAAUUGCCACCAGAAUAAACCGAUGCCCAUUUGAAGCGAGAGAGUCAAUGGCUCCAAUUACAUCCAUAUCCCACAUUGAACAUGGCCAGGGAGCAGUCAUACUGUGUAAUUCUGUAGGGAGAGUACACAUAACAUCUCCAUGCAACUGACAUUUGAUGCAUUUCCUAACAAAAACUACACAAUCAUGCUCCAUAGUAAGCCAAAAAUAGCCCGUCCUCAUAAUCUUCUUUGCUAAUAAAUGGCCAUUCACAUGCGAUCCACACACACCACUAUGUAUUUCCUUCAUCAGGUAUUCUGUUUCAUCUUCAUCAACACACCUCAGAAGGCCCAAAUCUGAUGUCCUUUUGUAUACCACCUCUCCAUUUAAGAAAAAUUUGGAAGAUAAUCUGCGCAAGAAGCUUUUAGCAGUCGUGUCAGCCCCAGGAGGAUAGGACCCCGUUUUGAGAAAUUCCUUGAUAUCACUAUACCAAGGACGGCUAUCGGGAGAUUUUUCUACCACUAGGCAAUGUGCAAGCUUUUCUUGUAGCUGAAUCUGGAUAGGCUCUAUCAACAACUCAUCUGGAUGUUGAAUCAUUGAAGAUCAAGUAGCCAAAGCAUCAGCAAAAACAUUUCUGGCUCGUGGAAUAUGUCUGAACUCCAACUCCUAAACUUGUUUGCCAAAACCAAUAAACUGCAGUGAUAAGGCAAGAUCUUUGAAUCUCGAGUGAUCACUCUCUGAGCAUUUGAUGCACGAGCAAAUCGAAAUCACUGAACCCUAUUAAAUCCUUGAUUUCCAUUUUCAAUGCCAUUUUUAGUCCAAAAAUGCAAGCCUUAUAUUCGGCCAUGUUAUUAGUACAGGGAAAUCGUAGUUUAGCGAAACCAGGAUAAUGCCUCCCUUCAGGCAAUACUAGAACAGCUCCAAUACCGACACCGAAGGAAUUUGACGCACCAUCAAAAAAUAGCCACCAUCAAAGAAUAGCCUCCAUUCAGAACAUUUCUCAUUCAUGUCUUCCGCUAUACCAACGAACAGGACCUCCUCAUCUGGAAAAUAAGUAUGAAGUGGCUAAUAAUCAUCUUCCUUUGGAUUCUCAGCCAGGUGAUCUGCUAUGGCCUACCCCUUGAUUGCCUUUUGCGUGAUGAAAAUGAUAUCGAACUCAGAAAAAAUCAUUUGCCAUUUAGCCAGGCGCCCGGGUGGCAUUGGUUUCUCCAAUAAAUACUUCAAAGGGUCUGAGCGAGAAAUAAGGUAAGUGGUGUGACUAAGCAAGUAAUGCCUCAACUUCUGAGAUGCCCAGGCCAAUGCAUAGCAACUCUUUUCAAGAAAGUGUAUUUUGCCUCGUAAGGUGUAAACUUUUUGCUAAGAUAAUAAAUAGCUUGCUCCCUUUUCCCUGAAUCGUCAUGCUGUCCCAAGACACAUCCCACAGCUUCGUCGAGCACAGAUAAGUACAUAAUCAAAGGUCUGCCUGGUUUAGGUGGCACUAAGACUGGAGGGUGCAACAAAUAAUUCUUGAUAUUAUCAAACGCCUGUUGGCAUUCUUCACUCCAAUAUAAUGACACAUUUUUCUUCAAUAAUUUAAAUAAAGGCUCACACAUAUUGGUCAACUGGGCGAUGAACCUUCCAAUAAAGUUAAUCUUUCUUAAGAAACUCUUCAUGUCCUUUUGCAUUUUUAGCACUGGUAUUUCACGAAUGGCUUUAAUCUGUGUCGGAUCUAUCUCGAUACCCUUCUUACUGACAAUGAAUCCUAAUAAUUUGCCGACAGGGGCCCCGAAUGCACACUUUGUGGGGUUUAAUUUCAAAUUAUAUCUUCUCAAUCUUUCAAAUAACCUUUCCAAAUUAAUCAAAUGAUUCUCUGCUCUCUUGAAUUUGAUAAUGAUGUCAUCCACAUAAAGCUCUAUCUCCUUAUGGAUCAUAUCAUGGAAUAGGGUGGUCAUGGUCCUUUGGUAAGUAGCUCCGACAUUUUUCAAUCCAAACGGCAUUACUCGGUAACAAAAUAUCCCUCAUGGCAUGAUAAAAGCGAUUUUCUCUCUAUCUUCCUCUGCCAUUAAGAUCUAGUGAUAUCCGGCAAAACAGUCAGCAAAUGAUUCAAUCUCAUGUCCUGCGGUAUUGUCCAGAAGAAUAUGAAUGUUCGGCAACGGAAAAUCAUCUUUCGGGCUGGCCUUAUUGAAAUCCCUAUAAUCAACACAGACUCGCACUUCUCCAUUUUUCUUCGGAACAGGUACCAGAUUUGACAGCCAAAUAGGAUAAUGAGACACCAUGAUGAUUCUAGCAUUGAGCUGCUUCUCAAUUUGUUCCUUAAUUUUGAGGCUCAUGUCUGGCUUAAACUUGCGAGAUUUUUGCUUUACUGGUGGAAAAUUCGGAUCAGUCAGUAAUCGAUGGACCAUUAUAUCUGUUGAAAUUCCAGGCAUAUCAUCAUAGGACCAGACAAACACAUCUUGAAAUAGGGUCAAAAACUCAAUCAUCUCUUUUUUCUGUUUUUUAUUCAAAUGAAUACUAAUUUUUAUCUCCUUAACCUCAGUCUUAGUGCCAAUAUUACUAACUUCUGUUUCUUCUAAUUUCGGUUUGGAUUUCUCUUCAUAUUGUUCAAGAUUCUUUAAUAAACAGUCAGAUUCUUCCCCGUUAUCACUCUCAUCUUGAAUUUCUGAUUCCAAAAUUUCAAAUUCGUGAGAGAUAUCGAGAUUGCAAUCAUCAAAUUCCAGAAUAGUGAUAUCCAAAGAAUCAAAGUGUUUUAUUUUUGGCCAUCUGAAAAAGAAUGAAAUAGACACAACAAUGCAUAAGUAAAUCAAUUUGGGAAAUAAACACUGUGCAUAUCAUUGAAAUUCAAAGUAAAGGAUAACAUCAUAACAUGCUACUUAACAAGAGAUUUAACAAAAGACUUGCGUUGGAAAACAUUUGAUUAAAAACUAUUUACAAACUGAAAGACAAAAGAUAAGUAAUGUGAAUGAUUUCUCUCAUGUCGACCAAAGGCAAUCCCUUAGAUUUACCGAAAUUCCCUUCGGAAAGGAAGGAGAUCACUGGUCCAAUUCUUCAUUGCUUCGAUAGGCACCUCUGGAAAUUCUGGGCCCUCUAACGGCUCCCUCUCAGAAGCAACCCCCACAAAUAGCUCAGACAAUCCAACAUCCACUUCCUCAAUCGAAUCCACUUUAGAUCUAAUCACCUCUGAUGGGUAAGGAAAAGUACAGUACAAUGGUGGGAUACUCAUGAUAAGUUGCUUCCCUUCCUUCUCUGCCCUCUUGUGAUUCAUCAUUUCUUUCUUAUCCUUGGCAGUAGGUUGAAACCCUAAUCCGAAUGUGUCCUUCUUUCCUUGAAACUCUAUUGGUUCCAAAACUCCUUGUAGGUUAUGCCCGAGACCCUUGCCGAUCUCAUAUCCUCCUCAAAUUAGUUCUUUAGCCAUCAUAACACUGGUUUCGGGUAAAUUCAUUUCCACCGUUACCUUGUCUUUAGAUCGCCGACCUACUAAAACAAUAUCAGCCACAUGGUGAGGAGAAACCAGAGUCUUUCUAUCACUUCCAUUUUCCAAUGCAGGAUUGACGACCAUAAUGCAAUCUUCCUCAGCAAAUAUCAUGAUCAACUGGCCAUUUACCACAAAUCUCAACAUCUGAUGGAGCGAAAAAGGUACAGCACCGGAAGUAUGAAUCCAACGCCGUCCGAGAAGAAUAUUAUAAACACUCGAGAAGUCAAUGACUUGGCACAUAACUUGAAACUGGGCAGGUCCAAUUUCUAGCACUAAGUCCACUUCUCCCAUUCAUUCCCUUCUUGCGCCAUCAAAUCCUCUCACCACGGUGGCAGACGGCUGAAGUUUGGCUUCCUGAAAUCCCAACUUAACCAAAAUGUUCCACAGACAGAUAUUAAGAGCAGAUCCAUUAUCUAUCAAAACUCUCGGCAAUAAUUUUCCAUUACAACGGACUGAGAUAUACAACGCUUUGUUGUGUCCAAUCCCUUCCAAAGUCAAAUCUUCAUCAGAAAAGGAAAUUUGAUUUGAAACCAAAACAUGCUCGACUGCAUGAGCAAAUUUGUCGACAGGAAUGUUCUUUGGCACUUGAGCCUCAUUUAACACCUUGAGCAGAGCCUCCCUGUAAAGUUUCGAGGUUAAGAGCAAAUUCAAUAUGAAAAUUUGCACGGGUAUUUUGUCCAAUUGCUCGACCAUCUUAUACUCACUUUUCUUCAACAUCUUAAGGAAAUUAAAAGCCUCUUCGUCAGUCAAAGUUGGCUUUGUUGGAACAACAUUUGCUUUUGCUUUUGAGGAUUCAUCGACUGCGGGUUCCCCUAUGAUUCUUCCAGAUCUAGUAAUGGUAUCCACUUCCUUCUUGGACACUUUUUCUCCUCCAAUUAAUAGUGUAGGCUCGCUAUAAUUCCAUGGGACCUCUUGUAGAUUAAGAACAAGAGUUUGCUCAGGCAAUUCAAGUACCACAAGCUCUGAAGGCUCAUAUUCGAAAGGUAUCAUUUCCAGAAUAAACGGAUCAAUAUUUUCCUUGACUUCAUAGGCUUCCUCCUCCACUAUGAAUGGUUCUCCGAUGAGUCCCAUUAUCUCAGCUUCAUCUACAAUGAAUUGUGUAGGUUUCUCGAUCUCCUCAUCUACAGUAAUAGCUCCCACAAUAUCCUUGUGCGUAGGAAGAGGAUUUUUGCUAACAUUUGAACCUUGUUCAUCCCUCCUUCUCAAAACUAUGUCUCCGGCCUCGAUCAUGUCCUGAAUUUUAUGCUUAAGUACCCAACAAUUGGCAGUUGAAUGUCUCGGGGCUCCCGGAUGGUAAGCACAAAAUGAUUGAGGAUCGUAACCAAUGAGAAAUUCUUUGGAAUAGGUUUUAGGAGGUAUUGUGCCAAUUUUUCUAGCAGCUUUCAAUUGCUCAUAUAAUCGGUCAACGGGCUGACCUAGAUCGGUGAAGGUUCAGUAUGGGGCUGGAUUUUAGGUAUCACUGGUUUGUUGGUAAUGGUAAUUUGGGUUGGGGGGUGGAAUAGGUCUUGGGUUAAAAGGAGGGCGAGAUCUAAUCUGAAAGUAAGGUGGAGCAAUGUGAAAUGGUAUUGAGGGUGUAUUCGAGUAAUUUGGUCGAGGUCGGGAGUGGUUGAUAGUGGUAUUGUAAACAGGUCGAGGGCGUGGUUGGUAUGGGUAACGGGGUGAGUAAACGGGGUAUUGUUGGUAUCUAGGCUGAGAAGAAGAGCCUUGGUUCCAGAUAGACCUGGCAAUUAUACCCAAAACCCAAUAAUCCACCCAACCCACCCACUAAUUUGAGAGGUUGGGUUGGAUAAGUUGGGUAUUGGGUCAAUUUUGGGUUGGGUGAUAAAAGCCCACAUAUAUUUUGGACGGUUUGGGUAUUUGUGUUGGGCACCCAUUACCCAACUUUUGCUAAUUGAAUCAAGUGAAUAAUCAACACAAUCUUAAAAGGGUGAAUAGUUACUCAAAAGCAUCAACUAUAGACUUUUUUUUAUUAUUUUUUGCUAUAAAUAUCUUUUGUGAUUAUAACAUAAUUCGCCAAGCAAGUUAAAUUUUUUUUUUACUUGGCAUAUUUUUAAUUCCUUGGUUAGAUACUUAAUAGGGUAUUACCCUAAAUAUGGACAAGGCUAGAUGUGUUAGAAUAGUUGCCAGAUUCAUUGUGACAGAAAAAUUAAUUUGCAUUUGUGAGUUAGAUAUUUAACUACAAUGUGACUUUUUUUCAUUUAUAUUAUCGUCAUAAAAAUGUUCAGUAUGAAGAAUUUGAAUAUUAUUAAAUUCAAAAUUAAUUUUGAGACAUUAAUGUUAACUUACAACUACUCAUGUCUUCGGUGCUUAAUAACUACCACAUAACUCAUUCAUGCUAAAAGAUUUUUGUUUUAUUAAACCGUAUUUUCAAUAUGUAAAAACUGCAUAAAUCCAAAAUUACCAUACUUUCUUUGUGAAAAUAUUAGCAUAAAAUCUUUUUUUAAGCGGUUUGGGUAUUUGUGUUGGACACCCACUUAAAAUUUUUUUUGUAUGGGAAAAUAUAUUUGAGGGAGUUUAUAUAUCAAAAUCUAUUAAUUAAUAUAUUGGGUCAUAUUUGGAUCAUGGGUUUGAGACAACUCAAUAUGACCCAACCCAAAAUUAACCCAUCUAAAGUUGGGCGGGUUGAGUUUAACCCAUUUAAAUGAAAAUCCAAUAUUAACCCGCCCAAAAUCCGCUCAACCCGCCUAAUUGCCAAGUAUAGUUCCAGACAAAGAAAGUUUCCUCGUAUUUCUUCUUGAAUUGAGACUUCUUACUAAUGCUGCUCUGACUCUGCAUAGCUUCCAAUUGUGGCUUUAAAACUGAAACAUUAACAAUUUUUCCUACUCUCAUAAACUCGUCAUAUUCUUCUAAUUUAUUGACAAUCUCUGCAAAGGAACACCCAAUCAUACGAAAGAUUUCCUCAAAAUAGGGCGGGUCAUGAGGUUUGAUGAACGUGCAAACAAUCUCAUCUUCAGUCAUGGGAAGCUCCACCUUGGCGGCCAAUUUCCUCUAUCUUUUCGCAUACGUCUUGUGGUCCUCAGAUGAUUUCCUCUUAGUUCCCUCUAAUGUGGUAUUCGUCGGAGCGAGCUCGCAAUUGUAUUCGUACUGCCUCACAAAAGCAGUUAACAGAUCAAGCCAAGAUCUCAUAUCCUUAAGCUUCAAGUUGGAAUACAAAUCCAAUGCAUCGCCUUCUUGACUCUCGGAAAAUAGGCGCACAAGCAGAUUCUCAUCAUCUAUCGGCUUCCCUAAUUUGUUUGCAAACAUCCUAAGGUGUGUCUUAGGAUUGUCAGUUCCGUCGUACUUGCUAAAUUUGGGUGCUUUGAAACCCACUGGCAACUGCAUAUCCGAAAAUAGGCACAGCUCAUCGUAGUCCAAACCUCAUUGCUUGCUUAAACCUUGGCUUUUUCUUAUGAACUCAUCAAACCGAUCCAAUCUCUUUAGUAAAUUCUUAUCCACCGGCGCGGAUGACUCCCCAGCUUCAGCUUUCCCUUGGGCGGCAGUAUCUAGAGUGAAUGGCUCAACGGUGGAGUAAUAAUGGGGUCCCUGAGAUUCGAAUGGCAUGCUCAUAGUGAUUGGCGGAUAAUUUUGGGGAAUUUGGGCAUGAGAAAAGUUAAUUUGGAUGUUAGGUGCAUAAGUAAGUGGUGGGCCAUGAGUGGGAUAGGUAAAGACUUCUUCAGGUGGAUUUAUAACUUGUGAAGUAAUAGAGGUUUGAGUAUAAGGUAAGAGUAUUGGUUGAGACUCAGAUUAGCCAGGGGGUAAAGGUUCAUGUUGUUCACCGCCACUGCCUCCAGCGACCAAUUGAUCGAUCACUCGUCGUUAUGCCAUCAUUUCCACACUUAGUUCGUUAAAUCUGUUCAAGACUUCACUUAGUUGAGUUCCCAAGUUGACCAAGUCAGCUGAUGGUGCCGUGGUUGCGAGCCUAUCAGAUGAUUCUGGAUGAGUACUCAUGUUUACACUAUCUCUUGAAACUCGGCUACGCGAUCGGGUGAUAAUGGGGCUUUUUCAGGUAGCUAUAUUUGCAAUUACUACUUGAGAAUGUAGGAAAACCCUUAUUAGAUGCCCUUCUCGAUUGACUGUUGUUUAAAAGAAAGAAAAGGAAAAGAAAAAAAAAGAGUUAGCAACAAUUAGGUUAAUUCGGAUGCAUGUCCUAUUGGGGGGUCCUUUUUGCGCCAAGGGUAAACCUAACAUGAUGCAAUACCUUCGGGGUAAAAUCCCAAUUUCAAACCUGUAAGUGAAUGUAAAAGUAACAAUUCUUAUUAAAUAUCGAUAAAUUCAAUCAUUCUUUACAAUCUCAUUGAUGGUUCGACUAAACAUUUUUACAAAGUCCUCAUGCCUUGCUAAUCUAGUGCGUUGAGAUUCCCUAGAACUCCCUAUACUAAACUUCCGAAUCUCAUCUUGGAUUUUAUCGAAUGCACCCAAUGCCUUCCCCAAUUUUUCAGUUUUCCUUGCCUCUCCCUUUAACUGUGAUCGGGCGUUCUCCAAAGUUUGGUUAGCCACUAUAAUUUGCAAUUGAUGAUCCUCCGACUCUUUCCUUAGUUUCUUUAUCUGCUCUUUAGGACUAGCAGAGACCAAUGGCGAUCUUUCUCUCCCCUGUUCUAUUGUCAAUUUGAUCCAGUCAUUGUAUUCUGGAAUGACCCUAGGCUCUACUUUAUUUACUUGAUCUAGGUGUAAAUUGUCCAAGCUACGAAGGUUUCCCCAAGCUUCCAAUGCCAUGCUUCAGUACUCAGCAACUGUAUCAAAUUUGAUGUUUUCAAUUCCUCGGACUAUCGGCACUCUCUGUUGAUACCCAAACUGUCUCAUAACUCGUAGUGGAACAUACGCGACCAAUUCAUUGGUGCCUGCUAAAGGGAUGAAAUCAUGUUGGUUAGUCGUGAAAGCCGGAUCCCUUACUUUUGUCCAAUCAAGAACCCAUUGUACCUUAUCCGGAGUCAAAUUAUCAAACUCUUGAACAAAUCGACUUGGAGAUGCUAUCGGUAGUAUCUUUUAACCCUUUCUCAGUGUGACUCGACCCAAUUUCCUGUUGGAAAACAUGAUCCCAAAGGGUUGAGCGUUCUUUUUGACAGAUGCUCCAUCACCCAUAUUUGAAGUACCAUGUUGGAUGUAUAGAAAAACCCCCUUUUCUUUUGACACUCUGUAAUACCUGUGAAAAUAUCGGCAAUAAUAAUAGGCACAAAAAUGGAGGUCUUUCCCUUGAUUCUCAGAAACACACUCUGAAUCAUGUUGACAGUUGAGAAGGUAACCUUUCCAUGCUUUUACGGGAACAAUAGUAGAUUAAUCAAAGUUAGUCCAAAGGCUUGCACUCGCUUCUCCUCCCACUGCUCUCUGCUAAUAAAGAAGUCCUCAUGGUGUCGGUCAUAAGAUUCCUUUUCCCCAAACCGCUUGUAUAGGAACUCCAGUGGACAUGAUUUAACGUCCGGGUGUUGGUCUAUGCUAACUUGCCUUAACCCUAAAAAUUUACAAAAUUGCUCUCUGGUUCCACUAGUUGGGUACACCAUAGGGUAAUCCUUCCCAAGCACUUGCAAUAGUCCUUCUAUUUCUUCUAGGGUGGGUGUUAGUUCACAUUCUCCAAAUCGAAAAAUGGAACCCUCUGAAUCCCAGUACUCGAGUAAAGCUUGGAUGAUUGCUACAUUUGGGGUUAGGUUUAGGAAACUCGGUAAAUGCCCUAUAUACUGAAAUAGUCUGUUCACUUCAUGCGUCAAGUUGUUCUUCCAGUCUUUCAGCUCACGAGGUAUCUAGUUUAACAUUCUACAUGGAGCCAUCUGGGGAGGAAUUUCACCUUUUGAGUACCUUAUCUCGGAAUUUUACCCCUUAGGCAAUACAAAAUUGUAAACAUGCAAGUUUCAUUGGAUUAAAUAUCCGAGACAUAGGGUGGGUUAUUCCUAACAUGGGAUUCCCUAUAUGACAUUCCCUUCUAAGGUUUAUACAUGAUGUCAGUUUAUUAAAAAGAUAAAAUAUACAAUUUAAAUGAUAUCAUGACCUAAAGGGACCCUUUAUAUGCCAAGGUAGACCUAGAAUGAUAUGCAAUUAUUAAUCUAUGACUGCAAGAUACCAAAAUCUUUAAACAUGCAAUAGCCUAUUCAAAAAGGCAAGGUUCUAAAAGAGGAUCAUGCCAGACCUUUUAUUUCCUAAUGUUUGUGAAUGCAAAAGAUAAGAAACAAGGAAAGUUAGUUCAACACAUAACACGUUGUAGCAAUCAAAUAAUAAAAUAUAGAAAGCAAAAUAAGGAAAAAGGGUUGGAAUCCCUCCCCUCGUGCCUAGUGUCCCUAGUUCAGGAUAAGGUCGACUCUACCCUAAGAUAUUUCUAAUAUGGAUGCAUGAGGUUUGGCUCACUAAUGCAUCUAGACUCGAUCAGGCUUCAGGCUCCCAAACCUUCAGACCUACUGUGACGCCCCCACUUCUUCUUAAGGCGAACCAAAGGGUAUCCGCGGGACGCCUGCCUAACUCUCUCCAGAACUCAAACAAUUCCAUUCAAACUUAUUAUCGAACUAUACAACACACAUAAAUAACUUAAAUACAGUAAAUGCGGAAGCGCUCAAACUUAACAAUAUUCAUCAAUUAACUAACCCGCACGUCGGGUGUUCAAAGUACAUCACGAAUCCCAAAUAUACAUCACGUCCUAAAAGUUAUAUUUCAAUUCCAGAAGUACAAUCCAAAACCAAGGGCAUAGCCAAAAUAUAAUAGAAAUCCUAAACCAAAGCACAUCAGGAGAGUUUCUCCAGUACAUCUCCGAGUUCAAACCUGUUAAGAAAAACAAAUCUACAGGGUGAGCAAAAACGCUCGUGAGGCCAAGAACACACAUGCAAGUACGUUGAUCAGGUAACAAGCCCAAAUAACAGUUCAAGUGAUAAAUUACAAGUAAUUCAUAAAGCCAACGAAAUGUAAACAGAAACAAUUCAAGAAUAUGGUAGCUCUCAGGAGCUAAGUUCCACUUGUUUCGCCAGUUCAUUCGUAUAUCUUCCCGCGAUGACUCUCCGUCAACCAGGUUGAUAUUUUCAAACCGUAGAUCACCACUUACUUCUCAUCCGUCCACCAUACACCGCUUCGGACUCGCACGACAUUUAUAAGGCGAUACUCCACGAGUAUGCCAAGCAAGAUCUCUCAAUAGAUCAAGCUUAUCAUGUGAAUCUCAUGGCCCACCGAGGUUCCCGACCAAGCCCAUACCGGCUCGAGUUCCAAGGUCGGCCUAUGAGUUUGGGCGUCCCCCAUGUAUCAUGUAAGUGUCGAGGAGAUUCACUCCAACGACGUAUGCAGUCAUAGCAUACCAUGUCAUGUAUUCAAGCAUUUGACAGGUUCAAGCAUGUAUUUCAGGUCAUGUAAAUCAGGCAAACCAUGUUAAACAUGAGUCAUUUGUUUCAAAUGAGAACGAGUGCGAUAAAGUACACACUCGACUCCAUUUUUUAAAACCAGGUAGGCUAAGCAUGUAAUCAGGUAAACCAAGCAUGAAUCAAGUCCAUAGAGUUCAAGUAGUCAUACACUUGACACUGACCGAGCAAAUCAAGAAGAAAUAUUUUUCAGAAGUUCAAGUGUUCACUGUAGGAUCCUCUUGAAGGUCCUCGUGUGCUCCUGAGCAAAUAAUAGUGAAGUAUCACUCAUAUAUCCCAAUUAUCAAGGAAGAUUGUACACUAGUACAAUCUAAGAAAAUUUCAUAAAAACGAACCUCAAUUACUCGUAAAUCGAGGUUCAACUGAACUUUCUUAAAGUACAAGAGCGAUCGAGUUUUCUUUUUGAAAAAUCAAGUAUAAACGUUCAAGUAAUAUCGAAGGGAUAAGGAGUGCUUGAAAACACCCUUCCUUUGGAAUUCGAAAAAUUUUCAGUUUUGAUAUGAUAUUUUGUAAAAUCGUAUCUCACAUUUUACAUGUCAAAAAUUGGAAAACUUGGUACCGUUGGAAACCUCUUUGAAAAUACUCAAAGUUCUUAGAAGACACUUUUCCAUGAUUCUAAAUGGAAGAUAUUCAAAAAUGGGCUCAAAAUUACUGUUUUAGGUUCAUAAGGCAGAUUUAAGUUGGUUUUUGAUCAACUUUGAAAAUUCGGCAAAAUUCACACGUUACGAGGUAGUCUCUGAAAUUUGUAACUCAAUUAGAGUUGCAAGUAAGGUUUUUAAUAGAAAAAGCGGAUCAAGAAUCGGAGUUUCGAGCACCGAGAUACGGUAGCUCAAAGUUAGGGAAAAAUUCAAAACUGGUGAACAAAUUUCCAGAUUUGAGCUUUCAGCUUUGGGACUUCAGUUAGGUAUCGAAACGGACUUGGAUUGGUACAAAAUUUGGCAGUAUAAUACUCCUAUAUAAAGAGUAUCCCUCUAUCAAAUUUCAUGGAAAAAUACCUUUGGAAAAGUAGUCAAUCAGGCAACCAAAGUUUCAAAAAUCACAAGGCAAAACUGCCUUGACCCUUUUGUUUUCCAUUCCAAACAUUUGGUCAAGGAAAAAUUUCUCAAACAUGGCUCAUCAAUGUAGGCAAAGCCUAAGGAACAUUCAUGGUACAUUUGGUAAGUGCUUAGUCUAACAGCCCCUCGACAAUAUUGUCCCACAGUUUGACACCCGUGGGGCCGUGGGUUUUGUUUUUGGUGGUGCUGGACAACACAACAGACACCCGCAGGCUACCUCACCAAAAGAUCUCGUCAAGGUGGGAGAGACCACUACAGACUUAUCAAAGAGGCCCAGGCUCUCUCUCUAGCCGAUGUGGGAUCGUUACAAUCCACCCCCCUUAGAGGACCCAGCGUCCUCGCUGGCACACCAGGGUCAGGAGUCGGCUCUGAUAUCAACUCUAACAGUCCCUCGACAAUAUUGUCCCACAGUUUGACACUCCGUGGGACCGUGAGUUUUAUUCUUGGCGGUGCUGGACAACACAACAGGCACCUGCAGGCUACCUCACCAAAAGGCCUCGUCGAGGUGGGAGAGACCACUACAGACUUAUCAAAGAGGCCUAGGCUCUCUCCUUAGCCGAUGUGGGAUCGUUACAUUUAGCACCAAAAUAUUCAGUUAACAAGUCUAUACCAAGUCUUGUAUCAAAUCUGUCCAAGAGUUAGGGUUUUCAAGAGUAGGGCAGGCUCUGUAUUUCGAUCACAACUCACUCGAUUUAACUCGGAAUUGGGCAUGGUUUAUGGCAUUGGAAAACACAUUCAUAGAGCUACAAUUUCACAAAAGAAAUCAUUCGGAAAUUUGGCACACAACUAGCUCGAAUUUGAGCCAAAAGUUGCAGCCUCAAUAUUUUGUUCCAGUGAAAUAGAGAAACAGAAUAGCCGAAUUUAAAUGGUUGGUUCAGCUCACACACAUGGAGCCAGAACGUGCAUUUUAUACUGUUAGAAAGGUUGGAAUGUCUAGUUUUAAAUACCGUUGACGGCACUUGAUUUCAACAUCGGAGUACAGAGUUAUGGCCAAAACACGAAAACUGGUCAGAAUAUUACGGGAAUAGUUCCAGGUUUACUAGUUUUGUGUAAUUGAUUCAUUUAACCAACCAAACCUCAAUAUUUUUCAAUGAAAUUUUAUACACCAUCUAUACCAUAUAUAAACAUCAUAUAUAAGUCAUUACAAUGUCAAAAUUCCGCAAAAAUAGGUAUGUUCAAGGCAGGGGCAGAAUUGGAACUUUUUCCCUCAUGCAUCUCUUGAAGUUCAUACGACUAAUACACCAUUAAUCUACCAUCUUAAACACCAAACCAACAUUAAACUCAUCAUUAAUCAUCACAUCAACCAUCAAGACAAGGGUGGGAGUUCAUAGAGCCCACCUCCAAAAUUUUCCAACAAACACAACCACCCAUAUGGAUACAAGAGCUUAAAGGUGUUAGACAACCUCUAUAAUUUAGUUGAAAACCAAGGCAGAAUUUUUGGUCCUUAGAGGCUCCAAGAAAACCGUGAAAAGCUCCCCCUUUUGAUAGCUAGAUGAACUCCCCAAGUGACAAGCUAAGUGGUCUUCAAUUUUGGUGUGAAUCUAUGAAGGUUUUGUGCAAGAAUUGAAGAUGAAAAAUGACAACUUUGUGUUGUGUUUUGCUGCUAAGAAUUCGGCCAAGAGAGAGACUAAGAGAGAGAGUGUUUGGUCCAAAUUUAGCUUUUUAAGGAAGACACAAUGUGUGGUGCACAAUCAUCCCCAAAGUCAACUCUCAAUAGUGCGCGUAGGGCGCGUUUGGGCUUGAUUUCUCUCGCAUUUGUUUCACUAGUACACUAAACCUCUAAUGCACUUAUAUGCAUACAAGUAUUAUCCACUCUUAAUUGUCCCAAAAUAAUGGCCUAAAGUCCCUCAAUUAAUCGCGCGUGUGAUCACGCGUAUUUCCAAUUUAGGCGCGAUAAAGUGAAACCUUCGAGAAAUUCUUGUAACGAUCGUACCACUAACUAUCACUUGAGUACUUAAAUCUAACAUUACCUAUUUUAGGACCAUUGUACAUAUCUCCAAAUCUUCGAGCUUAUUGUACUCCCAAUUGGCUAAAGUUUUCAGACACGUUUUCACUAUUUACAUUAAUCGAGCUUUCAAAAAAUUAAUAUUUGAAACAAGUCAUUUUAAAAAUAUAAUGGAGUCAUAACUCCAUGUAUUUAAGUCCAAUAAGGCUAGAAAAUAAUAAUCGAAGUAAAUGUUCGAGUAAAUAAUUAAAUGAGCCAAAAAUAGGAGUCGAAAAAAUAAUAUUUUUACGAGUCCUCACACAUAAAGGCGAAGGGUCUUCAAUCCCAGAGCCUUUGGUCGGUAGCUUGAGUGAUCCCUUAGACAUCGCCAUGGGCGCAGAGCACACCAUCCGCCUACCUAAGGCAAUCGAUUCUAAUCCUACAAGGAGGUGUGGGAAACGCCCACGAAAAAGAAAAAUAAGGUAAAUAAAACUAUGCAUACAUGUAUGAGGUGCUUUUCUUUUGAGAGGAGGGAUUAUACCAUGGAAUGCGGGCGAAGGUUCUAAGGUGACUACCCCCCACCCAAACAAUGCAAACGCGAUACAAUUAAAGGCAAAGAAACAAUCCAUCCAUUACAUACAUAGUGUACGAGGAGCGAUUCGAUUGCGAACGUUGUAAAUGCAAAAAAAAAAUCCCUAAAAAGGAGAAAAAGAAAAGGAAAAAGGAGAAUGCAACCUAAAACCUCCGAAUGUGAUAAGAAGGUUAGAAAAAGAAAAAGAUUGACUAAAUCAAAUGCUCGGACUCUCUAAGUCCCCAAUGGAGUCGCCAACUGUCACACCCCAUUUUUUUUAAAAAAAUAAAUGGUUUAAAAAGUGAAUUUUAAUUCAAUUUUUUUUUUUGAAAAAUGAUGUUUGAUUUAAAAAGAAAAUGGGCCUAAAUGGGGUUUGAAAGUGCGACGAUUUGGGCCCAGAUUAUAGUUUAAAAAGGAUUUUUGAAAAAAUUGGAGUCACCACUUAGUAUUGAGUUAAGGUCUACCAAGUCACCUAAAAUAUUUUUUAAGAAAAAAUAGAAGAACCCUUUUUAAAUGACUCCAAGUCUAUGUAAAUCAAAGAAAGAGGUUCGGGAGUCACAUUUGAAGAAAGGGAAGGUAAGGAUAAAAAUCCGAAACACCCUUUCGACCCAACCAAGGCUAGUUGCGUGAUUUAGUCAAAGAUUUUCUUAUUUUUAACCUAAAUUUUAUCACAUUUGGAUAUACUAUAUGAAUGCAAACUCUAGAUCUAAGAGGAUAUCAGGGGGUCAAAAUAUCUCUUCAAAACUUAAUUGGUGCAAAUCAUAUUAAUUGUAAUGCCCAAUAGGGACUUUUUGAAGAGGUCACGAAUAAUGCAAAACUAUGAGACUCUAAGAAAAGAAAAGAAAAAUAAUAAAAUACAAAUAUACAUGACUUAAAGGGAUGCAUCAUAACGGGUACAGAGAACUAAUGUUCGUGACUCAAUUUUCCCUUUUGUAGAGGGAAUACGAGCGUGCUAAGGUUAGAAAGCCAAACUCGUUCAUAUCCCAUACUCAAGGGGUUGUUUUCCUAAUCUAACCAAGCAAAUGUACUAACCUAUCUCUAAUUUUUCCUAUAUGAAAUGCAAAUCUAAUGUCAUGUCUCACGCAUAGGAUUAUAUAAAGGAAAAUAUGAAAAUAAGGGAUAUGGAUAUAAGAGAGAAUAUGGGAUAGGGGAUAUGUAUAAGGGGGGAUGUGGGAUAAGGGAUGUGUGUAUAAGAGGAAUAUGAGGGAAAAAAUACAUAUAUAUAAGGGGGAGUAUGGGAUAAGGGUUAAAUGUAUAAGGGGAACAUGCAAAAAAUGAUAAAAGACCCUAAAAAAUAAAAAAUGCAUGAGAUGAAAUGAUUUUAUUACACAAUCAUGAUCUAACGUUCGAAGGGCUCCUAAGGGUCUAGCGUUGGACUAACCCAUAUUUCUACUUUCUCACUAGCGUUGGACUAGUGGGAAAUCGAAUAAUGGAACCACAACUAGCGUCGGACUAGUGUGGUAUCGGGAAAUGGAUCACAACUAGCGUUGGACUAGUGUGAUAUCACGUCAUACAUUAAUUAUAACUAACUUAAUUAUGUAAACUUAAUAAAAACACGUAAACAAAUAAUAUCACAUAACACAUAACACAUAAUAUCACAUAAACACAUAAUAUCCCAUACUCAAGGGGUUGUUCCUAGUCAGAUCAAGCAAAUGUACUAACCUAGUUCUAAUGCUUAUAUAAAAUGUAAGUCUAAUGUCAUGUUUUCACACAAAGGAGUAAAAAAUAUACAUAUAAGGGGAAAUACGGGAUAAGGGCUAUAUAUAUAAGGGGAACAUGGGAUAAGGGAUAUAAGAAAAGUGUCAUGCAAAAAUGAUAAAACCCUAAAAGUAGGAAAAUAUGCAUGAGAUGAAGUGAUUUUAUCAUACAAUCAUGAUCUAAUGCGCGAAGGGCUCCUAAGGGUCUAGCGUUGGAUUAACACAUGUCUAUGAAUUCUCACUAGCAUUGGACUAGUAAGAAAAGUCAGAACAAAGGGCCACAAUUAGUGUUGGACUAAUGUGGAUUCCGAAAAUGGACCACAACUAACGUUGGAUUAGUGUGGUGAUGUCGUACAUUGAUUUAUAACUAAUUAAUCAUGUAAAACUAAUAAAAAACAAAUAAACACAUAAUAUCACAUAAACACAUAAAACAUUAUCAUGAUAUCUAGAUGCAAGAUUCUAAAAAAGCGGUAACACCUAGCACGUAAGCAUGCAAAACACACAAAAACGAAUGAAGCAAAUAAAGCCCUAACUAUUAUAUAAAGGGGGGGGCCUAACUACAAUCUAAUGGGAAAAAUGAAAAUAAUGAAAUAAAAUAAACCUAACUAUUACAACUUGGCAUUUAAAUGCCUUUUAAAUGAUUAAAAUUAAACUAAAAUAAAUAUUAAAAAAUUGGAAUAAAUAAAGCAUAUAAAGAAAUGAAAUAAAACAUUCAAAAGGCAUGCAAUUAAACACACAAAGUCAGAUAAGUGUACAUAGGGUCAAAUAAAUUACAAAUAAGGGAUAGAGUGUACCUCCCUUGAAUUGGGGCCAUAAUGAAACGAAUUUACUUAUUUACCCUCCAAAAUAAUAAAAAGGAUCAAGACAUCUCUUUAAUUAACAAUUAAUGAAAUGAAAACUAAACACGAAAUGAAAAUUUAAACACAAAAUGGAAUCACUUAAGGUAUUCACAUAAAAUAAACCAUUCAGGUCUAAGAAAUUAAAGCAAACAAGGACCUAAGUAAAAAGUUUAAAAUGAAAUACUAAAAUUUAAGGAUAAAAAAUCACACGCUAAAACUUCAUAAAAGACGGAUGCAAAUCAAUUUAUUAGAAUUAACGACAAAAUUAGCUAAAAUAUUAAUCAAAUGGAAAUCAAAACUAUAAAUUCUUCAAAAUUAUUAAACUUUCAUUAUUUCAUUCUAAAGUUCCAUUAAUAUCUGUCCAACGAAAUAUGUUGAAGCAUAUUACAGAAAAAAGGCAAAUUAAGGGGAUACAAUUGAUCAAAUUGGUCAAUUAAUUGGGCCAAGGUAGAAUGAGGAGAAACAUGUGGGGUUGAAAUGCAAUUUUUUGAAAGAUUUUCAUGCAUGCAAACCAAAACUUUCGGCAAAAGCUGAAGUUGUUUUCCUUCUACCAUUUCUGCUGGAAUUUUGCAGCUCCAACUCGCACAAAAUUAAUAUCAAAACAUCUAUAGUUCUAGAUCAAAACACACGAGCUCAUCAUCAAUCAUUUAAUCUCUUUUUUUUUUUCAAGUACAAGAUUAAAUAGGUGACAGAAUCCAGUUAGUGGACUAUUCUAGGGAGAAACAGCAAAGAAAGGAAAAAAAAGGCAUGAAGCUUUCUUCCAACUUCAUGGGUUCAUUGCCAAACAAUUCAGUCAUGCAAAUCAGUUAACUUCCGUGGCCUGCAUUCUGGACAUGAUUGAUCUCAGCAUCCCACAGGUAAGUCAAAGGAAAAUGUGAAACAAAAGGCACCCACGAAAUGAAAGAGGCUUUGGAGAGUCAUCACUAAUCCAAAUUUGCUAGUAAGCAAAGUUUUGAAAGCAAAAUACAUGAAAGAGGGAAACUAGAUAGAAACACAACCCCCGCCCACGGCUUCUUGGUGCCGGAAAAGUAUCCACAAGGGGGGAGAGUUAUUGCAACAAGGGCUAUGGAAGCGGGUGGGAGAUGGUAGAACAGUGAGGAUUUGGGAGGAUAAGUGGAUACCUGGAUCGACCAAUGGUUGUGUAUCAACUCCAAGACCAACAAGCUGCCCACUCGUAUAUGUCCAUGAAUUAAUUGAGGAUGGGAGGUGGAAAUCUGAUCUCCUGCAGCUGUGGUUCAGGAGUGAAGACAUCACUCUCAUCUCCAGCAUCCCUCUUAGUAUGUUUGGCAAGAAAGACAGGUUUUAUUGGCAGUAUAGCCAAUCUGGAAGUUACACAGUAAAGACUGGCUAUGCUGUCGCAAAAGGGACAGUUGCCAACAUGAGGAGCAAAACGGCACAUGAACCUGAGACGAGUUGGGAAAUUAGGAAACAUACGGUAUGGAAAAGGCUGUGGAGUUUGAAUAUCAAGCUGAAACUAAAACACUUCCUAUGGAGAUGCCUACAGAAUGCCUUGCCUGCAAAUGAAACACUUUUUAAGAGGAUAGGAAAGGGAAGUAACAUAUGUUCCUGCUGUGGUGACAAUGCUGAAACCAUUGAACAUAUGUUAUUCUUUUGCCCAACUGCCAAAGUGGUAUGGAAACUUGCUCCAGUGAAAUGGGAUGGGAUAGCUGAACUACAAGGCAACUUUUGGAACUGGUGGGUUGCUGUGAUGCAAUCAGCAAAGGAGACGCAUGGCCUAGACAGAAUCCAGCUUACGGUUAGCAUUUUAUGGCAAGUGUGGAAGGCUAGAAACAAAAUGACCUUCCAAGCUGAGAGGGGGAAUGCAAAACUGAUGGUCGACAAAGCUCACAGUGAAUGGCUUGAGUAUGAAGCUUGCAAUGAAACCAAUGGAAGACCAGCUACACCAGCCGUGGAGAAUGGGCAAUCACAACAGAAAUGGGAACCACCUAAAGAAGGGGUGAUAAGGAUAAACACGGAUGCGGCACUCUCAGCUAAGAUGGUCCGAACAGGCCUGGGGAUCAUUGCGCGGAAUUGGCGUGGAAAAAUAGUGAAAGCUAAAGGCAUCGUGACAUGGAGGAGAGGAGUACCAGCAAUCGAGGAAGCAAUGGCAAUAAGGAGUGCGUUGGAAAUGGCCAAAAAUGCAGGAUGGACUACAAUAGAGGUCCAAUCUGAUUGCAAAUGUGUGGUAAGCCUAAUCAACUCAAGCAAUAGACAGGAUUGUAUGUUGCAAACGAUCCUGGAUGACAUUGAAGACUUGAAGAAGAACUUUGACUGUUGUGUGUUUUUGUUUAUUCCCAGGACUGCUAAUACUUGUAGCCAUGCUUUGGCUCAAUUUGCAGUUAAGUCAGUUAGGAUAAUUGAAUGGGAGGGAUCAUUCCCAUCUUGGUUAUCAGAACUAGCUAGGAAAGAUAUGGGGGUAGUUACCCCGUUUUGUAAUUAACUCUUGUAAUUUCAAGUGUUAAUAUAUAUAAAAUUGGUAUCGUUUGUCAAAAAAAAAAUAAAAAAAAAUGAAAGAGGCCAGCAAAAGAACAAUAGCUUAUGAGAAUCAACAGGAUACUCUCACAAAUUCGAAGAACAAAUUGAAGCAAGACUCCAUUUUUCUAGAAAACUCGGACUGAACAUUUCCUAAACUACAGAGCAAUGGCCCUGACCGUUCAACAACCACACACAAAAAAAAAACAGCUUUGUUAUAGCUUUUGCUGCAACUUUCCUGAUGGUUUGAACUUCAGCAAAACAACAUUUCGCUAUUCACCUAAAUGUGUUCGUGUGUGAAGAGACUCAAACAAAAUCUACCAACUUCGACAACUGAAAAUAAUUGCAAGAAACUUCAGCUUAUGCUCGUAAAAGCAUUUACUUUUUCUCAACAAACUCACAAGUGCAGUUGUCUAAAAAAAAUGCAGCAAAGAGUAGGAAACUUAGUGUGAACGUGCAUAUGGCAUAUCAACUGAACCACAAAGAGAUCACAAGAUUCAAACAGCCAUGAGCUCUAUCGUGAACCAAACAUUAACUAGCAUCAAGAACAUGGAUUAAACACCCAAACUCUUAAUGAAAGAAACAGGUUCUUAAGACACAAACCUACCCAACCGAAAAGAAAAACAGCCACAAAGGAGAGGUUUAAGAGGCAACAGGCAUGACCCCAGACACCAAAUCCAACCCAACUCUCAAAACAAACCUCCAAAACUUCAACACAGAUUUUUCAAGAAGACAACCUCACCUCAUCAAGACUUGCCCUUGGCAACUACAAAACGCAUGAUUCAUGUUCCCUUAAUUUCAAAGCUAACAACUUCUCUAAAUGCAGCUUUAAUAGCAGAUAUUGUUCAUGACAUUCCAAUCAAACAACAUGCAAAAGAAAACAUGUCAACCGAGCCACAAUUUCAGCAAACCAAAAGGAACAAAAGCUGUCCGCACGUACUGCUACAACAAGCCAGAACUUCAACCACACACAAUAGCUGAACUACCCAACAACAAAAAAUCAUGCCAAACCGAAAUCUCAGCCAUCCCAAAAAAUAGUUUAUCAACAUUUGCUGCAACAAGCCGAGAGUUUCAUGCUUGUUGCAGCCUUUGCGAUCUUAACUUCAGCCAAACAAAAAACCCACAAAUUCCAUGAGCAAGUUUAAACAAAGCUUCAUUUCUCUAACACUUUGGCUGGACAUUUCCCAAACUAAACGACCAUGGUCAUGGUAAUUCAAUCAACAACCAAAAAACAGCCAAGCAAAAGAGAAACAAAGAUUCAUGCAACCAUGAAAUAUCAUACCAUAAGCCCAUGCUAAGGUCAUUUUGUAAAACCCACAAUUUUUGGGACUCAUUUUCAUUAUCUUGCCCAAUUAAAUUAAAUGGAAAUUUACCCUUGGUAAAAGCAAAAAUAAUUACAGGUUAGGUUAAAGGGUUAAUUGAGGGAUAGAAUAGGAUAAGAAAGGGUAAAAGUUUAAAACUCCUAUCUAAAUCACCUACUAGUGGGUGGUUAUUAGGGUUUAGCAUACCUAUCAAAACAAUAAAGAGAAAAAAAAAUAACAUCUCGCCUACCCUUCAUUAUCUACCUCCCUUAGAGCAAAAGCCGUCAGAGGGUAGAGAAGGAGAAGCAAGCGACACCAUCAAUCGAUCAGACGACUAGGCCCUAAACCUGUAAGUCCCAAAUUCACGUGAAAUAUCUCUUUUAAGUUCUAGUAGUCGGAUUAAUUAUUCUAAAAAUUUUACGGACAUGUAUUAUGUUAUAUAUAUAGAUAUAUAUGCUGGUAUAUGAGAUUUAGGAGGAUUCGUAUCUGGAUUAGUAGGAUUAAGGUAUUAAAUUUUAUUAUGGGAUGAAUAGGGUUUACCCAAAUCGAUUGGAAAGUUAUUAAGAGGAAAAAAAAAGGAGAAGAAAAGAACUCGCCGUUACUGUUCUCUGCCAUUGUUGAAGCCAAGCUUCAGUGAUGAAAGAAAAAAAAAAGACGACAAAGGUCGCUCGCAAGUGCGGCAACCUUGGUACAGAGGAAAGGUUGGCCGAAAGACCAAAAAAAAAAAAAAUUGACAAUAGAAUAAGAUUAUGGUUGGCCUUUUCAGCCAACCAAUUGAAGAUUUGGGUUGCCAGACUCUCUGGCGACCAUCCAAUCCAAGGAAGAAAACCGGCAAAUUAGAUUUGGACUAAACUAUAGUAUAAAAUUUAGUAAAUGUUAAAAAAAAUAAAUUUUAGAAAUAACUAGCCCAUCUUUAUAGUUUGUCAUGGGUAUUAAAAUUCAGGAUCCAAUUUACAGUAAUUGUUAGAAUGAAGUAUUGGUCAUGUAAAACUUAUAUUUAAUUAAUUACGUCUAAUAUAUUUAAAGAAAAAUCUAGGAUAUCUUAAUUAAACCUUAUGAGGUUAAUGUAGACCGGGUGAGAUAAAUUCUAAAUUGUUAAACGAAACGUUUAAAAUAAUAAUAAUGAUAAUAAUAAUAAUGAUGAUGAUGAUGAUAAUAAUAAUAAUAAUAGUAAAUAAUAAUGCUGAUGAUAACACUAAUAUUAAUAAUAAUAGUAAAUAAUAAUUAAUAAAUAAUAAUAGUAAGGAUAAUAACAAUAUGGAUAUGGAGAAAAUAAAUUAAGGAUAUAAACGAAGAUCAAAAUAUAAUACAAGUGCAAUAAACUAAGGCAAUAAUUAUAAUAAUAAGUCAAUAUAUAUAUGUACAUAUAUACAUAAAUAAUAAUAACACCUACACACGCAUAAAAGUGGAAAGGGAAAGGUAAUAGUAACUAUUUAACAUAUAUAUAUAUUAGUGGUAAUAAAAUAAAUUAGCGACGACGAGGACGAUAAUAAUAAUAAUGAAUAAUUAUAAAUUAUAAGUAAAUAUAGUAAGAUAGUAGUCAAGAUAAUAAACAUGAUUAUGAAUAAUUACUUUCUUUUAAAUUAGAGAACUUUACAAAAAGGGAAACUUUUCAAAUUAUGAAACUUUCUAAAAAUAGACACUUUCCAAAUUCGGAAACUUUCCAAAAAUAUAAAUCAUCCAAUUUAGAGAAAAUGCUGUUAGGGUUCAAACAAUGGCCUAGACAUGAAUUUUCGACUUACUCAGAGUCAGUAUAUUUAUGUAUUUAUAGGAAAUAACAACUAAUUAGGAAGUCUAUACAUUUGAUAGGUACGGUACCAGUUUAAGAGACCUAAAGUAGUUCCACUCGAGCAGCCAGACAAAGGUAGGUGGUACUUACCCUUUUGAGAUUUCAAAUGUGUAAAAUGAAAUUCUUGUUUUCAAUCCUAUUUUGUUGUAUUGACUCAAAAGGUGUUUGAUUAAAUGUUUUACUUGGAUAUUUAUGAAAGUUAUAUUUUACUAUACAAAAAUGGACCAUUUGACUUAUUCGAAAUGUUUUGAUACAUUAGUAUAUACAAACGAGUUGAAUCCUUUAUGAACUCAAAGAUUUAUGUAUGUGACACAUGAAAUGAAAUUUUUGACAAGUAAAGCUCAGAGCAGUCAUGGAAUAGACGGUAGGGGCUAUAGUCCUGUCUAAUCGCCAUGGUAGUUUGGUAUAAAGUCCGGCUGAUUGGCAAGGUCAUGGUAGCCUGGUAUAGAGUCCGGCUGAUUGACAAAGUCAUGGUAGCCUAGUAUAAAGUCUGACCGAUUGAUCCAUGUAUGAAAUGAGACCAAUCGGUAGUCAUGAAACCUAUUGGUCGCCCACCUAGAAGGGGUUUAAUCUUUAGGUUGAGUACUCAGUAGCCGGUCAUCACAUGUACUUGUUAUGAGCUAAGAUGAAAUGAUUUAUGAGGUGAUAUGGAAUGAUUUAUGAACUGAUCUGAAAUGAGACUUAUGAACUGAUUUAUGAGUGGAUGUGAACAGACUUGUGAAUUGAGACGAAAUGAUUUACAACGUUAUGAUUUUCCAUGUUCAUUUAUCAAUAAGGUGCUUUUAAAUUGCUUGCCAGUUGUUACUACUGAUUGUUUUAUAAAUGACAUUACUUUCAAAUUACGGAUGUGAUCGAUGUGCAAAUGAUUUGAUUUAUAUCUAUAUAUAUGUAUCUGUAAAGCUACGAGUACAUGGUCCAACAGAGGGGUAGUUAUUACUUACUGGGCGAUUUGUCGCUCAAUCCACUUUUUACCAUCCUUGCAGAUUCUGAAGAGUAUGAGUUGGUUUAUGUAGAAGACCCUGAGGACGACUUUUAUUAGCUUUAAGUGAAUGGAAGUGGCAGGCUAGCUACUUCUAGUUAUUAGUCUUAUUUAUUUUCGAUUCCGCUGUUUCCAUUAGGAAAUAAAUGUACGAAUAUAUUGGAUAUUCGUAGACUAUCUUUUUAUGAGAUUUGUAUCGCACUUUACUUAGUGAUAUUAUUUCGUACUUUUGAAGUUUAGACUAGUUAAAUGAUGCCUUGUAUUCUUAAGCGGGAUUUGAGAAUACGGCGGAUGCCACGUGACGGGCACAUGCGGGCUCGGGGUGUGACAUUUUUAGUGGUAUCAGAGCUUAGGUUGCAUGGUCUAGGAGCAUGAGAAAUUAUAUUUGGAUAUUAAUGAUUUUGAAGAUUGAAAGGAGGUGGAAAAAUAGAUCAAAAGAAAUAAGAGAUUGUUGUGACUUUUUAGUAGUAUCAAAGCUCAAGUUGUGAUAGUUGAAAAUAGGUGUAAAGAUACUGAAGAUAUUUGUGAUUUUGAGAAUUGGAAUGAAAUGGAUAAGGGAUUAAAAGAAAAUAAGUAACUCCAUAACAUUUAAUGGUAUUAGAAUUUUAGGUUACGAAUUUACUGGAAUGACCUCAGGUAUUGAGAUGAUGAUUACUUUUGGUAAGUAAGUGGUGACUAUAUGCAUAUGUUAAGUUGAAAAGGUAAUCAAGCCCACCUGCCAGAUAUGGUUGACACUUACAAAAUAAUAAUAAUAAUAAUAAUAAUAAAAGGAUAUUUAGGGUGUCCUUUUUGUAAGUUUUGAUCUCUAUAGUACAUUUCAAGUCAUCAUUUAGGAUGUCAGAUUUAUGCAUAAUCUUAUGUCUAGUUGAAGUCUAGCAUAGAAAAAACUGAAAAAAUUGAGGAAAUUAGAGUGCAUAAAGAAAGUAUGAAUGAUCAACAAUAUGAUGUCAUCGAACGCGUGCAAUACAUGUUGGAUCUUGGAAUUUUGUUGACUUAUUUUGAGGAUUACGAAAAUUAGAUCUAAUGCUCAAGACAUUUAUUAAACUAGCUGAUAUUAUUAGUUCGGAUAUUAUGACAUCAUGAUCAAGCAAUACAUAUUUUAUAAAUUUCUUAUAAUAUAUAAUUUUACAUACUUUUUCCCUAAAAAUGAAUAAACGGUGGAACUAAAAUUUUAUUUGCACAAAUAGUUUUUAAUCAAAAUUUUUUUAAAUAUGUACCUUUACCUUACAGUUGCUUGGUAAAUAUAGUUUCUAAAUAUAUAUACAUAUGUCUAUAUAAAAAAAGAAUAGUAUAAAUACAUUAAAUAAUUAUAUCCUGUAAUCCUGUGCAAAAUAUUUUUUUUUAUACUCAUCCAAUCUCAAAAAGAGCUUUAGGUAAAAGUAUUCUACAAAAAAAUAAUUUUUUUUUCUUAUCGUAUAGAAAAAUCUAACAAUAAUUCUUGAUAAAUUUUCUUUGUACUCUAAAUUCUAAUGCUAUAAGAAGUAUAGUUAGUUGACUUAUGUAUUUCAAAACACUUUUAGUUUCUAAACCUGUAUGAGUUCAAAAUUCUACACAUAGAUAAAUAUUUUACCAAAGUUAUGAUAAAGUUAUUAUAUUUCAAUAUGAGGAUUUGGUGAUAAUUUUUGUAUAAAAUUUUCUAUAUUUUUGUAUGAUCAAGAAGUUUGUGAAGUGAUUUUUGAGGUAUUAAUGUUUUCGGAAAUUGAAUUGAGCUAGGAAAAAAAAUGACCAAAGGAAAUAAGAUUCCCAUGGCAUUUAGUGGUAUAAUAACUAAGGUUAUAGGAUCUGGAAAUAUGAGUGAUGCUAUUUGACGUAUUAUUGACCUUUUUGAAAUUUGAAAUGAGAUAGAUAUGAGAUUUGAGGGAAAUAAGGGAUUUCCAUUACCAAUUACAAACACAGUGGGCAUGAAUCCAUAUAUCGAGAUAAGGAUUACGUUUGCGAUAGGGGAUAAGUAAGUGAUGAUAAAAUGUGUGACAAGAGAAGAAAUGGUAUUGUUAUUGUCUAUGGCAUCCUUUCUAUAGGUUGAUCUCUAUAGAGCAUUAUAAGUCGAUAUUUAGAAUGCUAGAUUUGUGAGAGAUAUUAUGUUCAUCUGAGCUAUAUAUAAAUAUGAAGACGGGAGGUAUUGAGAAAUAUAAGAGUGCGCAGCAGAAGCUUGAUAGAAUUAAAUAAAGAAAUUCAAUUUAGACAUUGUAGAAAUAAUUCCCAAGAUGUAUUGCAAGAACAUUGGAAAUUUUGUUAACUUAUCUUGAUGUUUAUGUCUUUAGGUUUCGAGGACGAAACCUUUAAAAGGGAGAGAAUGUGAUAUCUAGUCUAAAAAUGAAUUGCGAGAGUAAUGUCGGAUCGGGAUCUUAGGUUCACGUCUAGAUUUUGGUCGUCCUACCAAGAGAUUAUAGGGAUUGAUAUUUAAGAUUAAAUACCGCCUUCUAUCCCCAAAUGAAUAGAUAGUUAAAAAGAAUUGUACAGAUAUUGGAGGACAUGCCAAGAGCUUGUGUUCUAAACUUCUCGGAUAGUUGGGAUAGGUUGGUGAAACUAAUGAAGUUCUUGUACAAUAAUAGCUAUCAUAGCGGGAUAGGUAUGAAACUAUUUGAAGUGUUGUAUGUGCGAAAGUUUAGAUCUCGCUUAUAUUGGGAUGAAAAGGUGAGAAGCUGAUCACUGGCCCCGAUUUGGUGGAAUGAACUUUGGAGAAAAUUAAGAUUAUUCGAGAAAGAUUAAGAAUAGUUCAUGAUCGAAACAAGAGUUGGGUGGAUUCAAAAAAAGGAGACCUUUAUAGUUUCAAUCAGGAGAAAAGGUAUAUUUGAAAGUAUCCCUUACCAAGGGAGUGAUGAGAAUUGGAAGAAGUGGCAAAUUAAGUCUGAGGUAUGUAGGGUCUUACGAAAUACUGGAUAGAGUUGGACCUCUAGCGUAUCAAUUGGCUCUCCCGCCUGUUUUGACAUGGAUACAUAAUGUUGUUCAUAUCUCCCAAUUAAGAAAGUAUGUACCUGAUCCAAGCCAUACUUUGGAGGAUCAACCUAUCGAGAUAAGAGAGAACUUGUUAGUGGAGGAAUUUUCCUUGAGAAUCGUGGAUCCAAAGGAUCAAGUUCUAAAGAGAAGAACCAUACCCUACGUGAAAGUACAAUAGACGAACCAUACACCACGAGAGGCAACGUAGGAGUUAGAGGAGGACAUGCGGAAUAGAUACCCAUAUUUUUUUUAUCAAUGUACGUAAGUUUCGAGGACGAAACUUUUUGUAAGGGUAGAAUGUAAAACCCACGAUUUUUGAGACUCAUUUUCAUUAUCUUGCCCAAUUAAAUUAAAUGGUAAUUUACCCUUGGUAAAAGCAAAAAUAAUUGCAGGUUAGGUUAAAGGGUUAAUUGAGGGAUAGGAUGGGAUAAGAAAGGGUAAAAGUUUACAAUAGUUAAAACUCCUAUCUAAAUCACCUACUAGUGGGUGGUUAUUAGGGUUUAGCAUACCUACCAAAACAACAAAGAGAAAAAAAAAUAACAUCUCUCCUACCCUUCAUUAUCUGCCUCCCUUAGAGCAAAAGCCGUCAGAGAGUAGAGAAGGAGAAGCAGGCGACACAUCAAUCGAUCAGAAGACUAGACCCCUAAACCUGUAAGUCCCAAAUUCACGUGAAACAUCUCUUUUAAGUUCUAGUAGUCGGAUUAAUUAUUCUAAAGAUUUUACGGACAAGUAUUAUGUUACAUAUAUAGAUAUAUAUGUUGGUAUAUGAGAUUUAGGAGGAUUCGUAUCUGGAUUAGUAGGAUUAAGGUAUUAAAUUUUAUUAUGGGAUGAAUAGGGUUUACCCAAAUCGAUUGGAAAGUUAUUAAGAGGAAAAAAAAAGGAGAAGAAAAGAACUCGCCGUUGCUGUUCUCUGCCAUUGUUGAAGUCAAGCUUCAGUGAUGAAAGAAAAAAGAAAAAAAAAAGACGACAAAGGUCACUCGCAAGUGCCGCAACCUUGGUACAGAGGAAAGGUUGGCCGAAAAGACCAAAAAAAAAAAAUUUAUGAUGUCGCCAGCACUUGCUAGCGACAAUAGAAUAAGAUUAUGGUUGGCCUUUUCGGCCAACCAAUUGAAGAUUUGGGUUGCCAGACUCUCUGGCGACCAUGGUCAGACAUGGUUGGCUUUUGGCCAAACAUGGGUCCAAUCCAAGGAAGAAAAACGGCAAAUUAGAUUUGGACUAAACUAUAGUAUAAAAUUUAGUAAAUGUUAAAAAAAUAAAUUUUAGAAAUAACUAGGCCAUCUUUAUAGUUUGUCAUGGGUAUCAAAAUUUAGGACCCAAUUUAAAAUAAUUGUUAGAAUUGAAGUAUUGGUCAUGUAAAACUUAUAUUUAAUUAAUUACGUCUAAGAUAUUUAAAGAAAAAUCUAGGAUAUCUUAAUUUAGCCUUAUGAGGUUAAUGUAGACGGGGUGAGAUAAAUUCUAAAUUGCUAAACGAAAUGUUUAAAAUAAUAAUAAUAAUAAUAAUAAUAAUGCUGACGAUAACACUAAUAUUAAUAAUAAUCAUAAUCAUAAUAACAAUAGUAAAUAAUAAUUAAUAAAAAAUAAUAGUAAGGAUAAUAACAAUAUGGACAUGGAAAAAAUAAAUUAAGGAUAUAAACGAAAAUAAAAAUAUAAUACAAGUGCAAUAAACUAAGGUAAUAAUUAUAAUAAUAAGUCAAUAUAUAUGUACAUAUAUACAUAAAUAAUAAUAACACCUACACACGCAUAAAAGUAAAAAUAAAGGGAAAGGUAAUAGUAACUAUUUAACAUAUAUAUAUAUAUAUACACAUAAGUGGUAAUAAAAUAAAUUAGCGACGACGAGGACGAUAAUAAUAAUAAUGAAUAAUUAUAAAUUAUAAGUAAAUAUAAUAAGAUAGUAGUCAAGAUAAUAAACAUGAUUAUGAAUAGUUACUUUCUUUUAAAUUAGAGAACUUUACAAAAAGGGAAACUUUUCAAAUUAAGAAACUGUCCAAAAAUGGAAACUUUCUAAAAAUAGACACUUUCCAAAAAUAGAAAUCAUCCAAUUUAGGGAAAAAUGCUGUUAGGGUUCAAACAAUGGCCUAGACAUGAAUUUUCGACUUACUCAGAGCCAGUAUAUUUAUGUAUUUAUAGGAAAUAACAACUAAUUAGGAAGUCUAUGCAUUUGAUAGGUACGGUACUAGUUUAAGAGACCUAAAGUAGUUCCACUCGAGCAGCCAGACGAAGGUAGGUGGUACUUACCCUUCUGAGAUUUCAAAUGUGCAAAAUGAAAUUCUUGUUUUCAAUCCUAUUUUGUUGUGUUGACUCGAAAGGUGUUUGAUUAAAUGUUUUACUUGGAUAUUUAUGAAAGUUAUAUUUUACUAUACAAAAAUGGACUAUGUGACUUAUUCGAAAUGUUUUGAUACGUUAGUAUAAACAAACGAGUUGAAUCCUUUAUGAACUCAAAGAUUUAUGUAUGUGACACAUGAAAUGAAAUUUUUGACAAGUAAAGCUCAGAGCAGUCAUGGAAUAGACGGUAGGGGCUAUAGUCCUGCCUAAUCGCCAUGGUAGCCUGGGAUAAAGUCUGGCCGAUUGGCAAGGUCAUGGUAGUCUGGUAUAAAGUCCGGCCGAUUGACCCAUGUAUGAAAUGAGACCAAUUGGUAGUCAUGAAACCUGUUAGUCGCCCACCUAGAAGAGGUUUAAUCUUUAGGCUGAGUACUCAGUAGCCGGUCAUCACAUGUAUUUGUUAUGAGCUAAGAUGAAAUGAUUUAUGAGGUGAUAUGGAAUGAUUUAUGAACUGAUCUGAAAUGAGACUUAUGAACUAAAUUAUGAACUCUUCCCUGUCUUAUUGCAACUUUACUCUCUCACUUUCGGUGUAAAGCUGUGUAAAGUGGUGUAAAAAGAAAAUAUAACUUUCGGUGAUCUUGAGGUUGAUGGCAGGUCAAGCUGCCCUUCAGCCUCCGGCUGGAGGGCAAUCCCUUCCUUCUCCCACAUUCCAAAAGAAAUCUUUUUCUGAACUCUUUGGUAAUGCAGCUGCCCAGCCCAUUUUGACUAUCAAUGCAGUGUCUUCGACUCAUCGGGGGGAACCUGCGAUUCUCUUUUCCCAAACUGAUUUGACCACACUUGCUGCUCCAUACAAAUUUGCUUUGGUUGGUAAAUUUUCUAAGGGUCGUCCCUCUAUGGAGGAUCUCAGGAAAUUCUUCUUUUCUCUUGAUCUAAAAGAGACUGCUAAGGUUGGUCUUUUAGACUCCAGACAUGUAGUGAUUAACUUGGGGAAUGAGGUGGACUUUCAUCGGAUCUGGGCUAGAGGUAUAUGGUAUGUUUAUGGUGCCCCUAUGCGUGUCUUGAAAUGGUCUCCUGCUUUCCAUGUGGACAAGGAGCCUUCGGUGGUUCCAGUUUGGUUUAAGUUACCAAAACUGCCGCUGCAUUACUUUAACAAAGAAUGCUUGUUCCAGAUCGCGGGAAUUUUGGGCAAUCCUCUGUUUGUAGAUUCUGCUACCAUGGUGGCUUCAAGACCAAGUGUGGCAAGGGUGUGUGUAGAAGUAGAUUUGCUAAAACCUCUUACUCCUAGGGUGUGGAUUGGUAAUGGUGAUCAUGAGAGCUUUUGGCAAGCUUUAAUUCCAGAAAGCCUGCCUAAAUAUUGUUCCCACUGUUUUAAGCAGGGACAUAUCCUAGAGGAUUGUCAUAUGCUAUAUCCGGAUCUUAAAAUUCAGAGACCGUUAGCUACCAAGAAACAGGAUGGUCAUGCACGUUUUCAAACUAUUUCUUCACCUGCCUUGGCCACAAUAGGCAAACAGGAUGAUCAUUCUGGGAACAGCAAACAGGAUGAUCAAUCUGGGAAAGAGGUGCAUCCAAUAAUUGUGCCGGCUACUACGGAGGAGGAUGUGGGUGUGGUUGAUAAGGAGGGGCCUUCAAAAAACACGAAUCCUCUUGUAGAAGAAGCAAAUAUUUGUACUGGGAUUUUCACCGAACCUGCUGAUACUCUUGCGGUGGUGUCUCAGCAUGAUCUUGAUGGACUGGAAGAUACUAUAACGGUGGCUCCCACUGGUGAUGGACUGGAACUUAUGGAUGGAAAGGAAAACCAGCAAGCCAGUUCUUCGGAGCAGAAUGCGCUUGUCAUUGAUAUAUCUCAUUGUGGUGUGCUGGAGGAUUUGCAGGCAAAACAAUCAUCUGCGGUUGCGGAUAUCUUUAAUCUUGACCCGAUCAUUCAACAAGUCAGUGAAAAGCUCCAACACGAGGAAGGUUUACAGGUGGUUACGCAUGGCAAACCGAAAAGUGUCAGGGCUAAAUUUUCAUCUGAUCGUUCGUUGCGAUCCAAAGCCAAGGUUUCCUCAAACUCUUCCUCUUCCUUGUCUCAAUGAUUAAGUUUAUGUUUUGGAAUAUUAGGGGUGUUUCUCGCGCCCCAAAUUUUCGAAGAUUGAGGUAUUUGGUAAAACACCAUUCCAUUCAACUAGUAGCUAUUUGUGAACCAAAAAUUCAAGUUGCAGAGAUCCAUUCGAUCAGGAUGAGACUUAAUAUGGACCAUGCUAUAUUUAGCAGUACGGGUGAUAUUUGGAUUUUUUUAAAGCCUCUAUUUCGUGUCGUAAAGUAGGAGAAUCUAAUCAACAUUUGUCGUUACAAAUUGAUUCUGCAUUAUUUGUGGUCCCUAUUAUUUUUUCAUUUGUGCACGCCAAGUGUACUGCCCUUCAACGAGUAGAAUUAUGGAAUAGCCUUCUUGCGGACAAGCCGACUCAGUCUGCCUGGCUUCUUGUGGGGGAUUUUAAUGUCAUUGUCUCGGAGGAGGAGAAAAGGGGUGGGGUGCCGUUUACACCAGAGGAAGGUUGGGAAUUGUUGAACUUUAUGUCUCAAGCUGGAAUUUUUGAUGUGGGGUAUUCAGGGUCUAUUUUCACAUGGUGCAACAAUAGAUAUGGUCGGGCGCGUAUUUGGAAGAGAUUAGACAGGUUGCUUAUGAAUCAGGUUUCUUCCAACCUAGGCUUAGGUUUCGAUGUACAACAUUUGUGUAGAGACCCAUCAGAUCACGCUCCCUUGUUAUUGUCGGCUCAUACAAAAUUGGAUAACAAACCAAAGCCUUUUCGUUUUUUGAAUUUCUGGACAUCCAAACCAGAACUGUUAGACGUGGUUAGGUGCAACUGGAUUGGGAAUUUUUCAGGCCCUCCAUUAAAGGUCCUUGCAGCCAAGCUUCGGAAUGUAAAGAUGGCCUUACGAAUGUGGUCGCGCGAGGUAUUCGGUGACAUCUUUGAAGCUGUAAAGGUGGCAGAACAACGUGCUCUCAAUGCUGAGGUUAGUUAUGAUGCUGAUCCGUCUCAGCCAAAUUUAGUUGUAUUACACGAAGCACAAGCCCAGCUAAGGCGUUCACAUGCAACUGAGAAUAUGUUUUGGCAACAAAAAUCUAGGAUUAAGUGGUUAAAGGAUGGCGAUAGGAACUCCAAGUAUUUUCAUUCUGUGGUGGUGGAACGUCAAAGUAGAUCAUUAAUCCAUCGCAUCAAGUCGUCUGAUGGGAAGUGGUUGGAUAGCACAUCUGAUAUUGAGGGAGAGGCUGAAUCAUUUUUUAAACGUUUGUUCACGGAUGAAUCAUAUGCUCAAUCCUUUGAAACUCUUGAGGUUAUUCCUAGAUUAAUCUCCUCACUUGAUAAUGUGAUGUUGGAGAAAAUCCCUUCCAAGGAAGAAGUUAAGUUGGUGGUUUUUUCUAUGGAUGGUGAUAGCGCGGCUGGUCCAGAUGGUUUCUCCGGAAAGUUUUUUACCUUUGCAUGGGACAUUGUGGCUGAGGAUGUAUAUGCGGCAGUUAUUAGCUUUUUCUGUGGGGAGGUUUUGCCUAGAAGUAUCUCCUCAACUUCAAUAGUGUUGAUUCCAAAGUCGCAAUCUCCACAAGACUUUACACAAUUUCGUCCUAUAAGUUUGUGUAACUUUAUCAACAAGGUGAUCUCAAAGAUUUUGUCGGAUAGAUUGUCCCGUCUCCUUCCUAAGAUUAUUUCUCCUCAGCAGAGUGGAUUUGUUAGAGAAUGGCAUAUUUCAGAUAAUUUUUUGUUGGCUCAAGAGCUGAUCUCUGGAAUUCGGCAGCCCAAUCAGGGGGGGAAUGUGGUUUUGAAGUUGGAUAUGGCCAAAGCUUACGACAGAGUCUCAUGGAUCUUUCUGUUGCAAGUACUUCGUCGCUUUGGUUUUAGUGAGCGGUGGAUUGAUAUGAUUUGGCGAUUGAUUUCUAAUGUCUGGUUUUCGGUUCUUAUUAAUGGCUCCCCAUGUGGUUUUUUCCAGUCAACUCGAGGCCUGCGGCAAGGAGAUCCCAUUUCGCCUGCUCUUUUUAUUAUUGGGGCAGAGGUUUUAUCUAGAUCGCUGAAUUCUUUGGUAGGACAGAGAGGCUUCCUUCCCUUCAAGGUCCCUACUUCAUGCCCUAUUGUCACGCAUCUAGCUUAUGCGGAUGACGUGAUUAUUUUUUGCAGUGGAGUUAAGCGUACUUUGAAGAAAGUUAUGAGUGUUUUGGAGAACUAUUGUUGUGUAUCUGGUCAGCAACUUAAUUCUCAAAAAAGUUGCUUUGUUGAUCAUGAAGCUUUGACUUUACCUCGUAAACGUGUCAUUUCACACAUCUCAGGUUUUCAAGCUAAGUCACUUCCUCUUCGAUAUCUUGGCUGUACUCUCUACUCAGGGAGAAGGAAAAGCAGUUAUUUUUCAGAUAUCUGCACUUCAGUUGCUAAGAGAAUUCUGUCUUGGAAGGAGAAGCUUUUGUCAUCUGGAGGGAGGUUAGUGUUACUCAAAAAUGUGCUAUCAUCUUUGCCUAUUCAUGUCUUAGCUGCUACAACUCCUCCAAAGGGUGUUCUCCGCACCCUUGAGAAAGCAUUUGCAAAUUUUCUAUGGGGCACAACUGAUAAAGGGUCUCGGUAUCAUUGGAUUGCAUGGGAUUCAUUGUGUAAGCCGUAUGCCGAAGGGGGUGUGGGAGUGAGGGCUUUGACUGAUGUGUUUAAUGCCUUUUCAUUGAAGUUAUGGUGGUCUUUAAGGCAACGUCAGUCUCUUUGGGCAGAAUUUAUGUACAAUAAAUAUUUACAUAAAUUGCAUGCUUGCGAAGCGGAAUUUCAGCCUUUACAAUCGGUAACUUGGAAGAGAUUGGUUACAUAUCAGUCUUUGGCAAAUUCCCAUAUUCAAUGGGUGUUGCAGAAUGGCUUGAUAAACUUCUGGCAUGAGAAUUGGACUGGUACAGGUCCUUUAUGUUAGCAGAUCGACAUUUUUGGAGAUCACACAGUGGCGGAUUUUGUUUCAAAUGGUCAAUGGAACAUUCCAAUGCUUCGACAAUGGCUCCCAGAAAACAUUGUAUCUACGAUUCUACAAAUCACUCCCCCGGAUGUUGUUUCUAAUCAACCUGAUAGGAUGGUGUGGGAUUUAGAAAUUUCUGGUUCAUUUUCCUUUUCUUCAGCCUAUAAGGUGGUCCGCACCGUUGCCAAUACGUCAAUCUUUUCAUCUUCCAUUUGGGUGAAAGACUUGCCAGCAAAAAUCUCAUUCUUUAUGAUGAGAAUGCUAUCUUGGAGACUACCGGUUCAGGAUGUGUUGCAGCGCUUUGGUGUGUGCGGACCAUCUCGUUGCGUUUGCUACCAAAAUCCUGGAUUUGAUUCUAUUGAUCAUGUUUUCUGUACAGGUGAAAUCCCUCGCCAAGUUUGGAAAUCGUUUCAGGUUGAUAUUGGCGAGUUUGUCACUCCUUCAACGGUAAAGCAUGCAGUCAUUCAAUGGUGGUUGCUGCUAGCUAAAAACAUUAAGCUUAAACUGGUUUAUCAGCUGUUGCCAUCGCUGAUUUGCUGGCAUCUUUGGAAAGCUAGGAAUACUGCGGUUUGGGAAGGCAAGGUGUUGUCGGUCAUGCAGAUUCAUACUUUUGUUCUUUCUGAUCUCUAUGACAUUUUCCAAUUACAUUUUACAGACAUUGGAGUUGGAAGGUACUCGUGGCCAUAUUUUUACUCUUCACUGGUGAGUUGGAAAAAACCAUUUAAAUUCAUCCUGGUUAGGUGGAUCCCUCCAGUCUUGACGACAUGUAAACUGAAUACCGAUGGUAGUUCUCUUGGUAAUCCGGGAAGGAGUGGCGGUGGGGGGGUUUUGAGAAAUAGCUCGGGGGUUUUUUUGUUGGGUUUUGCGUGUUAUUGGGGUGACAUACCGAGUUUACAUUCAGAGUUGAAGGCUUUGUUAUUUGGAGUUAAGCUUUGUGUUAUGCGAGGUUUCUUUUGCUUGCAUUUGGAAUCAGAUUCGUCACUUCUUGUCCAAAUGGUUAAGGGGAUUAGUAGAUGUCCAUGGGGUUUGCAACGAGAGCUGGACCAAUUGCUCACUUUUAGGCAUUUCUUUCAAUCCGUCACUCAUUGUUAUCGUCAAGCGAAUUUGCCUGCAGACUGCUUAUCUAAGGUUGGAACUGAGUUAAAGUCCAACAUAGUGUAUGAUUCAUGGUUGGAAUUGCCACGAUUGGUUCGUGGAGACCUCAAGUUGGAUAGGUUAGGUUAUCCUAAUUUUCGGGUUUACUAAUCAUUUGGAUUUCUGGAAUGGGGACUAGUUCAUCCACACAGAUUCAAGCGUUGUUGCUGUUACUGUUGUUUUGCUAUUCCAAAAAAAAAAAAAAAAAACUAAAUUAUGAAUUGAUUUGUGAGUGGAUGUGAAGAGACUUGUGAAUUGAGACGAAAUAAUUUACAAUGUUAUGAUUUUCCAUGUUCAUUUAUCAAUAAGGUGCUUUUAAAUUGCUUGCCAGUUGUUACUACUGAUUGUUUUAUAAAAGACGUUACUUUCAAAUUAUGGAUGUGAUCAAUGUGCAAAUGAUUUGAUUUGUAUCUAUAUAUAUAUAUGUAUCUCUAAAGUUACGAGUACAUGGUCCGACAGAGGGGUAGUUAUUACCUAUUGGGCGAUUUGUCGCUCAACCCACUUUUUACCAUCCUUGCAAAUUCUGAAGAAUAUGAGUUGGUUUACGUAAAAGACCCUGAGGACAACUUUUAUUAGCUUUAAGUGAAUGGAAGUGGCAGGCUAGCUACUUCUAGUUGUUAGUUUUAUUUAUUUUCGAUUUCGCUGUUUCCAUUAGGAAAGAAAUGUACGAAUAUAUUGGACAUUCGUAGACUACCUUUUUAUGAGAUUUGUACCACACUUUAUUUAGUGAUAUUAUUUUGUACUUUUGAAGUUUAGACUAGUUAAAUGAUGCCUUGUAUUCUUGAGUGGGAUUUGAGAAUACGGCGGAUGCCACGUGACGGGCACGUGUGGGUUCGGGGCGUGACACAUUUUUCUUUUCACAGCAAGCAUUUUAUUACUAAAUCCCACCAUUGAAACAAAUCUAAGAAUCGAACUAGCACCAAACAGACUCCAAGUUCUAACACGGCUAAAAUGCAAGUAAACAGCAAAGGUCACAGCUUUGGGAUUGUAAAAACACAAACCAAAAUCACCAGGAAAGCAAACAACAAGCCACGUGAUAAUGAAGGAUAUAUUCACAAACUUUGGGCACUUAGAAACUGAUUGAAGCUCAUCUCACAAAACCCAGAAAUGACCUCUCGAUAUUAAGAUGAAAAGACAGAGAAAGGCACAAGCUUUUACCGAAAAAAAAAAGAAGUUAGCAGCAAACCAACGUUGAUGGCCAAAGCUAUGCCUUUCCAAUGCUGUUUCUUCCCUUCAACCUCCUCCAAUGGUGUUCCUCUCCCUUGCUACUGACCUUAGUUCUUCUCCCUUUUGCUCUCGUCUUUCACACUUUCUAUCUCACGGUGGUUCCCUAUUUGCCGAAGCUUUUUUUUUUCUGCUCAGUUUUGUUCUCAAUUUUCUCUCUUUUCUGCUCUCUCAACUCUCUCAGUUCUUUUCUAUAUCUUCCGCCGUCACACUCUCUGUUCUCUUUUCUAGACCCUCGCUGCAUUUUCCUUUUAAACCCCCCUAACCCUUGGCUGGAUGAUGGGAUGAAGUUCCUUGUUUCAUCUCAUUUUAGAGUCGUUUGAUGAUUCUUGGCAGACAAGAAUUUAGGAUUUCUGGAUGGAGGCCAAAUGGCCUGUACUAAAGCAAUCCAACGGAGCCAAAAAAUGAAUAAGAAAUCGAUGAAGAAAGCUAAAAAAUGCAGCUACCAUUUCUUUCUAUACUCUCGUGCAUGAUUCUGGUUUCUGAUAUGAUACGGAGAAAGAGCUUGGAUCAUAUAUAGCUCACACAUGCGCGAGCUUGCAUUCUUUUUUUUUUUUUAAUUUAACAAAUAAUGAAGUAAUAAAUAGAUAAUAAUUAUCAAUAAAAAUAAAAAGAAGUAAAAAUAAAAAUAAGUUAAAAAAAAUUUAGUGUCUACAGCUUGCCCCUCUUUGUCCGAGUUUCAAAGAAACUCGAGGCAAAGACGUAGAUACCAAAUACAUACCUACAGUUAUUCUAUUGUGAGUUGGAACAUAUAAAAUCAGUGGGAUAAAAAUCCGAACCUGCCUUCACUUGGUCAGUGGGAUGAAUACCUGAGCUUGCCGUCACUUGGUCAGUGGGAUGAAUAUCCGAACCUGCCUUUACUUGGUCAGUGGGAUGCACUUGGUCAGUGGGAUGAAUACUCGAGCCUGCCUUUCACUUGGUCAGUGGGAUAAAUACCCGAACCUGAUCUCACUUGGUCAGUGGGAUGAAUACCCGAGCCUGCCGUCAGUUGGUCAGUGGGAUAAAUAUCCAAGCCUGCCGUCACUUGGUCAGUGGGAUGAAUAUCCGUGCCUGCUAUCACUUGGGAAGAUUUGUACAAAACUUUUUGUAGAAUUUUGAAAAGAGAGACAAACGAUUUCUUCUAAAAAAAAUUGCCCCAAUGUAAUGCUAUUGGACUGUCGGACCUGCAAGAAAAGAAAUAAUGAUAGAUAAUGCUGCCACCAUCCGAUCAUCCCCUUCUUCAAGAAAUGUGUAAAUAUGAGUAUUUGGACUUCUUAUUUGACGUAGCGAGUACUUCAAUCGUGCCCUGCGAACAAUAUCAAACUUCUAUAAUUUCUCAAACUUAAAUCAACGUGUCAUUUAGUAUCCAUUUACUUUCGAUAAAUCAUAGGGAUUGCCGUUUGAUAAAACGAAAGAGACAAAUGUGACCAUGAAACACAUGAGAAAUAUUCUAAUUGCACAUAAUGAUGAAAAUUCAAAUCAUAUAAACACAACCAUCUACUUUUAUUGAACGAAAAACCAUUUCAAAUAAAUAAACUUAUAUACUCAAAUUCAAAAGCUUGUGUUUGACAAAUCGAGCACUUUGGUUCUCGAACAAAAUUCUACAUUUGACCCUUUGGAUAUCAUCCCUCCUUAGUUCAAUGCUUGACAACAGAACCACAAUUUGAGGAGAAAUUCCAAUGAACUAAGUCACCAGCUCUUCGGAUCCAAACUCACUUUUCCUUAUAAAACCCUACCUCAGUGCUUCACUAAGGUUGCCCCUGCCCUUUUAUUUUAUUUUUCUUUUCUUUUUCACUUUUCACUUUUCUUUUUCUUUUCUUUUCUUUUUUUCAAAGGUGCCCCUUGCAGGUUUUUACCUAGUAACAAAUCUUGUCUACCGCCCAUAUUAAUUCAAAAAUGUGUUUUAAAAAAUAAUGGCAUCAGUAUAACAAUUCUUCCCUUGCAAAAUAGGUUAAUGUGUUUUUGACAUCAUGUGCUAUGUGAUUAGAAAUUGUCCUAAAAAGGCAAUAUAAAGAACAGAAAUCAGGACUUUUGAUUUUUGUAAUGGGGUCUAGUAGGGUGUUAAGGAAAAGGUUAAGGUUCGAAGGCGGAUUUAUGAAUGUUUAGAUUCCUGAGGUCGCAUCUUCAAAUUAACCCUAUUAAUAAUUGCCCCAGUUUAUUCUCAAUGGAGAUUUUCUUCUUUAAUUUUCUCUUCAUUUUGUUCUUCUAUCACUUUUACCUUUUGAAUCCUCUUUUCUUCUUUUUUUUUCUUUCAACCUUUUCAACUCAAAACUUGCUCCAGUAUGGGGUUUGUGAUCCUCGGGUUGUCAAACGAAAUAAUUAAUUUUGAAGGCUCAAAAAGAGAUAACUAGGGAUAGAAUGUUUUAAUUGAAAAGGAAGAAGGUCUGAAUUUUUAAUCCAUUCUUUACAUUAACCCUAAAAGGAAAAUUUCAUUUAUCAUAUGUAAAAUUUCUUACACAUAUCUGAAUUGAUCGGUUGGGGGAACACUUGCCCAUCCAUUUCUGUGAGAACGAGUGCUCCACCGGACAAAAAUUUCUGGACAAUAAAAGGGCCUUGCCAAUUUGGUGCAAACUCCCUUUAGCUUCCUCUUGUACUGGCAAAAUGUGUUUCAACACUUUAUCUCCUUCUGUGAAUAUCCGUGGUUUGACUUUCUUAUUGUAAGCACGGGCUACCUUCUUUUGAUAACAUUGACCAUGACAAAUGGCAUUUAACCUCUUCUCAUUGAUUAAAGACAAUUGCUCAUGACGUUGUUUAAUCCAAUUAGCCUCAUCCAGUUUGGCCUCCAUUAAAAUGGGUAAAGAAGGGAUUUCGACCUCAGCUGGCAACACUGCUUCGAUUCCAUACAUGAGAUUGUAGGGAGUUGCCCCAGUAGAGGUCUGAAUAGUAGUUCUAUAUGCCAUUAACACAUAAGGGAGCUUCUCUGUCAAUCAUGGUGUCUUUCAAUCAUUUUUCAAAUUAUUUUCUUCAAGUUCUUAUUCGCGGCCUCCACAGCUCCAUUCAUCUGUGGUCUAUAAAUAGAGGAGCUCCGAUACUUGAUUUUGAACUAUUCACACAGUCCAUCCACCAUAUCAUUGUUGAGAUUCUUGACAUUGUCAGUGAUUAAUGUGUCUGGCACUCCAAAACGACAAAUGAUAUGCUUCCUUAGAAAGUUCGUCACCACCUUCUUAGUCACAUGCUUGUAAGAUUCAGUUUCGACCCACUUAGUAAAGUAUUCAAUUGCCACCAGAAUAAAUCGAUGCCCGAUUGAAGCGGAAGGGUCAAUGGCUCCAAUCACGUCCAUACCCCAUAUUGAACAUGGCCAGGGAGCAGUCAUACUGUGUAAUUCUGUAGGGGGAGUGCGCAUAACAUCUCCAUGCAAUUGACAUUUGAUGCAUUUCCUAACAAAAACUACACAAUCAUGCUCCAUAGUAAGCCAAAAAUAUCCGGUCCUCAUAACCUUCUUUGCUAAUAAAUGGCCAUUCAUUUUUGAUCCAUACAGACCACUAUGUACUUCUUUCAUCAGGUAUUCUGCUUCAUCUCAUCAAUACAUCUCAGAAGGCCCAAAUCUGACGUCCUUUUAUAUACCACCUCUUCAUUUAAAAAAAAAAAUUGGAAGAUAAUCUGCGCAAGAAGCUCUUAGUAGUCGUAUCGGCCCCUCGAGGAUAGGAUCUAGUUUUGAGAAAUUCCUUGAUAUCGCUGUACCAGAGAUGGCCAUCGGGAGAUUUUUCCACAACUAGGCAAUGAGCAGGUUUUUCUUGUAGAUAAAUCUGGAUAGGUUCGAUUACCAACUCGUCUGGAUGUUGAAUCAUUGAAAUAAAGUAGCCAAAGCAUCGGCAAAGAGAUUUCUGACACGUGGAAUAUGCCGGAACUCCAAACUCCUAAAUUUAUUUGCUAACUCCAGUAAACUGCAAUGAUAGGGCAGGAUCUUUGAAUCCCGAGUGAUCCACUCCUUGAGCGUUUGAUGUAUGAGCAAAUCGGAAUCACUGAAUACUAUUAAAUCCUUGAUCUCCAUUUCCAAUGCCAUUUUUAAUCCAAAAAUGUAAGCCUCAUAUUUGGCCAUGUUAUUAGUACAGGGAAAUCGUAGUUUAGCGGAACCAGGAUAAUGUUUCCCUUCAGGCGAUACUAGAACAUCUCCAAUACUGGCCCCCAAGGAAUUUGACGCACCAUCAAAGGAUAGCCUCCAUUCAGAACAUUUUUCAUUCAUGUCUUCCACUGUACCAACGAACAGGACCUCCUUAUCUGGAAAAUAAGUAUGAAGUGGCUGAUAAUCAUCAUCUAGUGGAUUUUCAGCCAAAUGAUCCGCUACAGCCUAACCCUUGAUUGCCUUUUGCAUAGUGAAAAUAAUGUCUAAUUCUGAAAGAACCAUCUGCCAUUUUGCCAGACGUCCCAUCGGCAUAGGUUUUCCUAACAAAUAUUUCAAAGGGUCGGAGUGGGAAAUGAGAUAGGUAGUAUGACUAAGCAAGUAAUGCCUCAACUUUUGAGCGGCCCAAGCCAAAGCACAACAACUCCUCUCAAGAAAAGAAUAGUUGGCCUCAUACGCAGUGAACUUCUUGCUGAGGUAAUAGAUGGUUUGCUCCUUCUUCCCCGACUCAUCGUGUUGUCCCAAUACGCAUCUCAUAGCUUUGUCCAACACUGAUAGAUAAAUGAUCAGAGGUCGACUGGGUUUGGGUGGCACUAAGACUGGAGGGUGCAACAAAUAGUCCUUGAUCUUAUCAAACGCCUGUUGGCAUUCUUCACUCCAAUGGAAUGGUACAUUUUUCUUCAAUAAUUUAAACAAAGGCUCACAUGUGUGGGUCAACUGGGCGAUGAACCUUCCAAUAAAGUUAAUCUUCCCUGAGAAACUCUUCACAUCCUUUUGUGUUUUUGAUAUUGGAAUUUCACGAAUGGCUUUAAUCUUUGCCGGACUAUCUCGAUACCCUUCUUACUGACAAUGAAUCCCAAUAACUUUCCGGCAGGGGUCCCGAAUGCACACUUCGCAAUAUUUAAUUUCGAACUAUAUCUUCUCAAUCUUUGAAAUAACUUUUCCAAGUCAAUCAAAUGAUCCUCUACUCUCUUGGAUUUGAUGAUUUGAUAAUGAUGUCAUCCACAUAAACCUCCAUCUCCUAAUGAAUCAUAUCGUGGAACAGGGUGGUCAUGGUCCUUUGAUAAGUGGCGCCGGCAUUUUUCGAUCCGAACGGCAUUACUUGGUAACAAAACGUCCCCCAUGGCGUGAUAAAAGCAGUUUUCUCCCUAUUUUCCUCUUCUAUUAAGAUUUGGUGAUACCCGACAAAACAGUCAGUAAAUGAUUCGAUCUCAUGUCCUGCGGUAUUGUCCAGAAGGAUAUGAAUGUUCGGCAACGGAAAAUCAUCUUUCGGGCUAGCCUUAUUGAGAUCCCUAUAAUCAACACAGACUCGUACGUCUCCACUUUUCUUCAGAACAGGUACCGGAUUUGAAAGCCAAAUGGGAUAAUGAGACACCAUAAUGAUUCUUGCAUUGAACUGCUUCUCGAUGCAAAAUGCGAGGUUUUUGCUUCACUGGUGAAAAAUUUGGAUCAGUCGGUAAUCGAUGGACCACUAUGUCUGUUGAAAUUUUAGGCAUAUCAUCAUAGGACCAGGCAAACACAUCUUGAAACAGGGCCAAAAACUUAAUCAUCUCUUUUCUUUGUUUCUUAUUCAAAUGAAUGUUAAUUUUUAUCUCCUUAACCUCAGUCACAGUGCCAAUAUUAACAACUUCUGUUUCUUCUAAGUUCGGUUUGGAUUUCUUUUCAUAUUGUUCAAGAUUCUUUAAUAAAGAGUCAGAUUCUUCCUCGCUAUCGCUCUCGUCUUGAAUUUCUGAUUCCAAAAUUUCAAAUUCGUGAGAGAUAUUGAGAUUGCAAUCAUCAAAUUUCAGAAUAGUGAUAUCCAAAGGGUCAAUGCAUUUUAUUUUUGGCCAUCUGAAAAGAAUGAAAUAGAUACAACAAUGCGUAAGUAAAUAAAUUCGGGAAAUAAACACUGUGCAUUUCAUUGAAAUUCAAAGUAAAGGAUAACAUCAUGACAUGCUACUUAACAAAAGAUUUAACAUAAGACUUGCGUUGGAAAACAUUUGAUUAAAAACUAUUUACAAACUGAAAGACAAAAGAUAAGUAAUGCGAAUGAUUUCUCUCAUGGCGACUAAAGGCAAUCCCCUAGAUUUACCAAAAUUCCCUUCGGGAGGGAAGGAGAUCACUGGUCCAAUUCUUCAUUGCUUCAAUAGGCACCUCUGGAAAUUCCGGGUCCUCCAACGGCUCCCCCUCAAAAGCAACCCCCACAAAUAGCUUAGACAAUCCAACAUCACUUCUUUGAUCGGGUCCACUUUGGAUCUAAUUACUUCUAAUGGAUAAGGAAAAGUACAGUACAAUGGUGGGAUGCUCAUGAUAAGUUGCCUCAUUCCUUCUCUGCCCUUUUGCGAUUCAUCAUUUCUUUCUUAUCAUUGGCAGUAGGUUGAAACCCUAAUCCGAAGGUGUCAUUCUUUCCUUGAAACUCUAUUGGUUCCAAAACCCCUUGUAGGUUACGCCCGAGGCCCUUGCCUAUCUCAUAUCCUCCUCGAAUCAGUUCUUUAGCCAUCAUAACACUAGUUUCGGGUAAAUUCAUUGCCUUGUCUUUAGAUCCAAUCUACUGAGACAAUAUCAGCCACGUGGUAAGGAGAAACCAGAGUUUUCCUAUCAUUUUCCUCUUUCAAUGCAGGAUUGACGAUCAUAGUGCAAUCUUCCUCAGUAAAUAUCGUGAUCAAUUGGCCAUUCACCACAAAUCUUAACAUCUGAUGGAGUGAAGACGGUACAACACCUGAAGUAUGAAUCCAAGGCCGUCCGAGAAGAAUAUUAUAAGCACUCGAGAAGUCCAUGACUUGGCAUAUAACUUGAAACUGGGCAGGUCCGAUUUCCAGCACUAAAUCCACUUCUCCCAUUGAUUCCUUUUUGCGUCAUCAAACCCUCUCACCACAGUGGCAGACGGUCGAAGUUUAGCUUCCUGAAAUCCCAACUUAACCAAAGUGUUCCAAGAAUAGAUAUUAAGAGCAGAUCUGUUGUCUAUCAAGACUCUCGGCAAUAACUUCCCAUUACAACGGACUGAGAUAUACAACGCUUUGUUGUGCCCAAUCCCCUCCGAAGUCAAAUCUUCAUCAGAAAAGAAAUUUGAUUUGAAGCCAAAACAUGCUCGACUACAUGAGUGAAUUUAUCUACAGGAUUGUUCUUAGGCACUUGAGCCUCAUUUAACAACUUGAGCAGAGCCUCCCUGUGAAAUUUCGAGGUUAAGAGCAAAUUCAAUUUGAAAAUUUGAGCGGGCAUUUUGUCCAAUUGCUCGACCACCUUAUACUCAUUUUUCUUCAGCAUCUUAAGGAAAUUGAAUGCCUCUUUAUCAAUUACAGUUGGUUUUGUUGGAAUGGCAUAUUCUUUUGCUUUUGAGGAUUCAUCGACUACGGGUUCCCGUAUGAUUCUUCCAGAUCUAGUAAUGGCAUCCACUUCCUUCUUGGGCACUUUUUCUCCUCCAAUUAAUAGUGUAGGCUCACUAUAAUUCCAUGGAACCUCUUGUAGAUUAAGAACAGGAGCUGGCUCAGGCAAUUCAAGUACCACAAGUUCUGAAGGCUCAUAUUCGAAAGGUAUCAUUUCCAGAAUAAACGGAUCAGUAAUUUCCUUGAUUUCAUAAGCUUCCUCCUCCAGUAUGAACGGUUCUCCGAUGACUCCCAUUAUCUCAACUUCAUCUACAAUGAAUUGUGUAGGUUCCUCGACCUCCUCAUCUACAACAACAGCUCCCACAAUAUCCUUGUGCGUAGGAAAAGCAUUUUUGCUAACAUUUGGACCUUGUUCAUCCCUCCUUCUCAGAACUAUGUCUCCGGCCUCGAUCAUGUCCUGAAUUUUAUGCUUAAGUGCCCAACAAUUGGCAGUUGAAUAUCCAGGGGCUCCCGAAUGGUAGGCACAAAAUGACUGAGAAUUGUAACCUAUGGGAAACCCUUUAGGAUAGGUUUUCAGAGGUAUUGUACCAAUUUUCCCAACAGCUUCCAAUUGCUCAUAUAAUUGAUCAACAGGCCGACCUAAAUUGGUGAAGGUUCGGUAUGGGAUUGGAUUUUGGGUAUCACUGGUUUGCUGGUAUUGGUAGUUUAGGUUAGGGGGUGGAAUAGGUCUUAAGUUAUAAGGAGAGCGAGGUCCAAUUUGAAAGUUUGGUGGGAAAAUGUGAAAUGGCGUUGGCGGUAUAUUUGGGUAAUUUGGUCAAGGACGGGGGUGGUUGAUAGUGGUAUUGUAAACAAGUUGAGGGCAUGGUUGGUAUGAGUAACGGGGUAAGUAGGCGGGAUUCUGUUGGUAUCUAGGCCUGGAAGAAAAGCUUGGUUCCAUAUAAAGGAAGCUUCCUCGUCUUUCUUCUUAAACUGGGACUUCUUACUACUGCUGCUUUGGCUUUGCAUAGCUUCCAAUUGCGACUUUAAAGCUAAAACAUUAACAAUUUUUCCUGCUCAUAUAAACUCGUCAUAUUUUUCCAAUUUAUUGACAAUCUCGGCAAAGGAAUACCCAAUCAUACGAAAAAUCUCCAUAAAAUAGGGCGGGUCAUGAGUUUUGAUGAACGUGCGAACAAUCUCAUUUUCAGUCAUGGGAGGCUCCACCUUGGCGGCCAAAUUUCUCCAUCUCUUUGCAUACGUCUUGUGGUCCUCCGAUGGUUUCUUCUUAGUCCCCUCCAAUGUGGUCCUCGUUAAAGCGAGCUCGCAAUUGUAUUCGUACUGCCUCACAAAAGCGGUUGACAAAUCCAUCCAAGAACUCAUAUCCUCAGGUUUGAAAUUGGAAUACCAAUCCAACGCGUCGCCUUCUAGACUUUCGAGAAAUAAGCGCACAGGUAGAUUCUUAUCAUCUAUCGGCUUCCCUAGUUUGUUUGCAAACAUCCGAAGGUGUGUUUUGGGAUUGCCAGUUCCGUCGUACUUGCUAAAUUUGGGUGCUUUGAAACCCAUUGGCAAUUGCAUAUCCGAAAAUAGGCACAGCUCGUUGUAGUCCAGACCUCCUUGUUUGCUCAAACCUUGGUUUUUCCUUAUGAACUCCUCAAACCGAUCCAAUCUCUUUAGCAAAUUCUUAUCCACCGGCGUGGAUGACUCCCUAGUUCCAGCUUUUCCUUGGGCGGCAGUAUCUAGGGUGAAUGGUUCAGCGGUAGAGUAAUAAUAUGGUCCGUGAAGUUCGAAUGGCAUGCUCAUAGUAAUUGGCGGAUAAUUCUGGGGAAUUUGGGCAUGAGGAGGGUUAAUUUGAAUGUUAGGUGCAUAAGCAGGUGGUGGACCAUGAGGGGGAUAGGUAAAGGCUUCUUCAGGUGAAUUUAUAACUUGUGAAGUAAUAGCAGUUUGAGUAUAGGAUAGGAGUAUUGGUUGAGAUUCAGGUUAGCCAGGGAGUAAGGGCUCAUGUUGUUCACCGCUACCACCACCAGCGACCAAUUGAUCGAUCACGUGCCGUUGGGCAUCAUUUCAAUGCUUAGCUCAUUAAAUCAGUUUAGAACUUCGCUCAGUUGAGCUCCCAGAUUCGCCAAGUUAGUUGGUUAUGUCAUUGCGGGCCUAUCAGAUAAUUCUGGAUGAGUACUCAUGUUUACACUAUCUCUUGAAACUCGACUACGUGAUCAGGUGAUAAUGGGGCUUUUUCGAGUAGCUAUAUUUACAAUUACUGCCUGAGAAUGUAGGAAAACCCUUAUUAGAUGCCCAUCUCGAUUAACUAUCAUUGAAAGAAAGGAAAAAAGAAAAAGAAAAAGAAAAAGAAAAAGACAGGAGUUAGUAAAAAUUAGAACAAUUCGGAUGCAUGUCCUAUUAGGAGCCCUUUUUGUGCCAAAAGUAGGCCUAGUAUGAUGCAACACCUUCAAAGUGGCCCGUUUACUAAUCCUGCUUUUGACCACCACUUUACACAAAAGAGAAGUCAUUUCAAAAUAUCGAACUUUCAUUCAUAAACAUCAUUUACAACAUCCCUUGGAGACGGUUUUGUACAAAAUCACUGAACCUCUUUAACCUAUCUAUUACGGCAUCCUUAGAUUCUCUGGCAUAAGGGUUUCUCAUACGUUCAGCUUCAUCGUACAGUUCUCUGCAUUUCCUUUUCAGUUCCUAAUGUUUUUCUUGCAUCUUUUCACAGGCCUCCUUGUGUUUCUCAGCUAUCUCUUGGUGAGCUUUGACGGACUCCUUUAGUUGCAAAUUUUCUCGAUCUUUGGCUUCGAUAAUAGCCCUCAAUCUCUUGACCUCCUCGGAUGUUUCCUCUUGUAGUUCUUGUAUACCCCAACCUUUAAGCCAAUCUUCAUAUUGCGGUGUGACUAAAUCCUUUUGUUUGAUCUCCGGACUGUACUUGAUGUGUUCGUCAUCGGACAAUGUUCCCCAGGCCUCAAUAAUAGGGAUCUUCAUUGGAAUUUCCUUCGGACAUAUCCCUUUGUCGAAAAUGAUGAUAAAUUCGGUUAGAUCAAUUGUAUGUGGCACUUCUUGAACAUGACCUAAUUGUCGGAGAAACCUCUUCGGAUUGUAUGCCAUGAUACCCUGAGUACCCAAUAAUGGAACGAACUCAGAUGCCUUGGUGCGAAGGACAGGUUUGACACAAUUGGUCCAACCCAAUACCCAUCUGAUGGUUUGAUCGGUCAAAUUCUUCAAGAAAUCCACAACCUCGGACACGUUACACGGCAGACUAUCUCCAUUAACCCUCUUGUGAUGUGUGAUUAUUCAAUUGUACCCAGACAUUGGUAGACUCUCAGGAAUAAACGAUCGUCUCAUGAAGUGCUCCGUAGCCCAUACGUGUAAGAUCAAGUUAGAACCAUAAAAGAACUUUCCACUUCUCUGACAAGUAGUGCAGGCUACGAAGAUAUCGGCUAAAAUAGAGGGAAUAAUAGAACAUUGCCUAUCUUUUAUUCCUAGAAACAGGUCAUACAUGACUUUAGUGAGCUUAAAGGCUAUCUUUUUGUCUUUCCUAGGAAAAAGAUAGGUUCCAACUAUAACCAAUCCAUAUACCCAAACCCUCUUUCGUUCCCACAUUUCCUUGGAAGUAAAUGAGAAAUCUCCUAGGUGCCUCUCAAAACCAUCCUUUAAUGCAAAUCGAUCAAAUAAAAACUUCACCUCUAUACUUUGGUCCAACCCUUGUAUUGCGGAUUCCUUAAACCCGGUGAAAUGACAAAAUUCGGUUUUGUUAGAUACGAACGGAAAUAUCACGACAGUUCCUUGAAUCGACAAAUUAAGAAGUCCAGCAACCUCCUCAAUUGUUAUGGUUAUUUCUUUUUUACCUAGUCUAAAUGUGGAACAAAUAGGGUCCCAUAAAUGCACCAAGGCUUCUACCAAAUAGCCACCUGACUUAAUAUCCUUGAAAUCCCCAAUUGGUCCUAAUCGAGAGGCUACUUUGUUAAUUUCACUAGGUGAAAGCAACGUGGGCCAUUUUUGUACCUAAAUCGGCGCUACUAACAUCUAUUGGACUCAUCGAGGACGUUCUAACUAGAAACAAAAAGUUGGUGUCAAAUACCUUACCUACAGGUCCCACUUUUCCGGUCAAACACGAAUUUAAACGUGUAAAUCCCAAAAUAGGGUUAAAUACCCAUGGGAAUAUAAGGUUGGCUUAUUCCUAUCGUGGGAUUCCUUAAAUGGCAUUCCUUCUAAGGUUUAUAUAUGAUGCCAAUUUUAUUAAAGCAAUUUUAAAUAUGAAAAUAUGACCUAAGGAACCCUUUGUAUGCCAAGGUGGGCCUACAAUGAUGUUCAAUUUUCAAUCUAUAAAUGCAAUUCAUAGGAAUUUAAACAUGCAAUAGCCUAUCUAAAAGGGUAGAUUCUAAAAGAGUAUCAUGUCAGAACUCUUAUUUCCUAUUGUUUGUGAAUGCAAAAGAUGAGAAAACAAGGAAAUAUUAGAUAACAGGUAACACAUAACACGUUAUGCAAUUAGAUGAUACAAAAAGUAAAAAGAAAAUUAAAGAAAAAGGGGUGGGAUCCCUCCCUUCAUGCCUAGUGUUCCUAGUUGGGUUUGGUCGACUCUAACCUAGAUAAUCUAAUCAUGGAUGCAUGAGGUUGGGGCUCACUAAUGCUCCUAGACUCGAUAAAGUUUUCAGGCUCCCAAACCUUCAGACCAAAGGCGAAGGGUCAUCAAUCCCAAUGCCUAAGAGUCGGUGGUUCGGGUGAUCCCUUGGACAGUGCUACGUGCACGUCAUGCUAUGGCCACAUGUCCAAGUAGAUCGAUCUAAUCCUAAUAAGGGAAGAGUGGUAUGACAACCACUAAAAGUAAAAAGAAAUAAGGGAUAUAAAAUAAAACGUAUGCACGUAUGAAGUGCCCCUAUCGAAGGGAAGGAUUGAAUACCAUUUAAAGCGGGUGAAGGUUCUAGGGUGACUACCCCCCUCCAAGAUGCAAGCGCGGUACAAGUAAAAAAAGCAAAUAAAUAAAUAAACCAUCCAUUCAUCAGAUACGCAGUAUGCGAGAGGUGAUUACGCGCGCGUGCAAAUGAAAAAACCCUAAAAAGGAAAAAAAAAAGGAAAAGAAGAAUGCAACCUAACACCUCCAAAUGUGAUAUAUAAGAAGGUUAAAAGAAGAAAAAGAUUGACUAAAUCAAAUGCUCGGACCCUCUAAGUUUCCCAGUGGAGUCGCCAGCUAUUGCGCCCCAUUUUUAAAAUAAAAUAAAAUAAAAUAAUGAGUUUAUAAAAAAUGGAAUUUUGGUUUAUUUAGAGUGAAAAAUGAGAGUUUGAUAUUAAAGAAAAAUAAAUAAAGAAAAUGAAAAGGACAUAAAAUGGGGUUUAAAUAGUGCGACGAUUUUGGCCCAGAUUAUAGUUUAAAAAGAGUUUUUGAAUAAAAAAUCGGAGUCGCCACUUGGUAUUGAGUUAAGGUGUACCAAGUCACCUAAAAUAUUUUUUAAGAAAAAAAUAGAAAACCCCUUUUUAAACGACUCCAAGUCUACGUAAAUCAAAGAAAAAGAUUCGGGAGUCACAUUUGAAAAAAGGGAAGGCAAGGAUAAAAAUUCGAGACACCCUUUCGAUCUAACCAAGGCUAGUUGCAUGAUUUAGUCAAUGAUUUUUUUAUUUUAACCUAAAAAUUUAUCACAUUUGGAUGUACUAUAUGAAUGCAAACCCUAGAUCUAAGAGGGUAUCGAGGGGUCAAAAUAUCUCUUCAAAACAUAAUAGGUGCUAAUCACAUUAAUUGUAAUGCUCAAUAGGGACUCUUUGAAGAGGUCACGAAUAAUUCAAAAAUAUGAGACUCUAAAAAAAGAAAAGGAAAAUAAUAAUAUACAAAUAUACAUGUCCUAAAGAGAUGCAUCAUAACGGGUACGGGGAACAAAUGUUCGUGACUCAAUUUUUCUUUUCGUAGAGGGAAUAUGAGCAUGCUAAGGUUAGAAAGCCAAACUCGUCCAUAUCCUGUGAGGACUCGUAAAAUUAUUAUUGUUUCGACUCCUAUUUUUGCUCAUUUAAUUAUUUAUUCAAAUAUUUGCUUCGAUUCUUAUUUUCUAGCCUUAUUAGACUUAAAUACAUGGAGUUAUGACUUCAUUAUAUUUUUAAAGUGACUCGUUUUAAAAAUUAAUUUUUUUAGAAGCUCGAUUAAUGAAAAUAGUGAAAACGUGUCUGAAAACUUUAGCCAUUUGGGAGUAUAAUAAGUUCAAAACUUGGAGACAUGUACAAUGGUCCUAAAAUAGGUAAUUUUAGGUUUAAACACUCAAGUGAUAGUUAGUGGUACGAUCGUUAUAAGAAUUUCUUGAAGGUUUCACUUUAUCGCGCAUAAAUUGGAAAUACGCGUUUUCACGCGCGCGAUUAAUUGAGGGACUUUGGACCAUUAUUUUGGGACAAUUAAGAGUGAAUAAUAUUUGUAUGAAUAUAAGUGCAGGAGGUUUUGUGACGACCCCACCUCACCCUAAGGCGUACCAGAGGGUUCGGCGGGCCGCCUGCCCAGCUCUCGCCGGGACUCAGUCGUUCUUUAAUCAAAUCCAGAACAAAUCACAAGAAUAAAUAGGGCAGCAAUCCAAACUUAAAGUGGAACUUAUAUACAUCGCUAUCUCAAAAGGAAGUACAACCAUCAAAUGUACAAAGGUUCUCACUUCACCAUACAACUAGCCCGUGCCAAGCACUAGGGCGAGAACCAUUACAAAAGAAACAAAAGACCUAGACUAGGCUAGUCUAUGCUCUCAUCCUGCUCGCCGUCCCCUGUUAAGGAAAACAAAACUAAAGGGGUGAGCUAAAAGCUCAGUGAGGUUCCAAACAGAUAAUCAAACAAUCAAACAAUCAAUUCAAUACAUUAAACAUGGAGUAUCAAUAAUUCAAGAACAUUUACAAUGGAAAGCAAUAGUAGCAUUCAUUAAAAGGAUACGGCUCACAAGGAGCAAUUCGUUCAUUCGUUCAUUCGUUCUCCUGACAUUUCCCCUUAUUCCUCCAAUCAUUUGAAAAUGCAUUUUUUGUUUAUCAAUAAACCCUCGUUCGUUCGUUCAUUCAUUCAUUCACCCCCGUCCUGCCCGUUGGCCAGUCUCCACCAACUUACAGGGUAAUACUCGAGUAUACCAAACGUUCACCCAAGUCCCUAAUCGCCCGACCGAGUCCGCUUCUGGUUCGAGACGACCGGUAACAAGGGGCAAUGGCCAGUUCAGCCCAAAAGGCUUACAUUCAUGCGCAAGUAACAUUUCAAUCAUUAAAUCCUUGAAAAUUGCACAGUUAUUUAGGUCGAGUGCGAUAAAGUACACACUCGCCUAGAAAGAUCGUUUUGGAAAUCAUUAAAAGCAAUUAACACAUUAGCAAAUGAUAACAACAAGCCAUAAAGUCAAAUAAGGAACACUCACCUAGAUAUGCAAAAUAACGUGCAAAAUAUCCUUCCAGAUAUUACCCUUAGUCACCAAUGAAACCUAAGGUUGAACAAGAGAACAUAUUACAGUUUAUCGAGCAAAACAUUUAAGGGAAACAAAGAAACCCGACUAAUUAGGAGUAAAACGUAUAAAGAUGACUUUCAAGUAAGAAGAGGGUUGUUUGAACCCCAGGAUGAAAAAUCAUAUUUUAAAAUGGAAAACCGGUCAUGGUAUUGGCCAAACAAAAGUAUACAAGUUCAAAUAGAAACCUAGCCCUCGAGCGAAAAUUUGGGCAGCACGCCCUUUGUGUUUACCUAAUUUUCCAGCCAUUUUGGCUUCAUUAUUUUCCCUCAACCACAACCCAACAUCACACAUAAGCAAUUCAAGUCAAGAGCCAUUCCAUAGGCUCACAAUAUCAUAAGAAUAAGAAUUACAACAAUCACAAGUGCAGAAAUUCAACUUAGCACAAGACAGAUUUGACGUACGAAUGCGGAAAUAACAUAUCCGAAGCUACGCUUAUCGGAUUGAGACGAAACCUAUGCCGGUUCGAAGCUAAGAGAUAGAGCUCUACAACAUUCAUGAAGGUCACUUAGUCCAGUUCCUAAUGUAACUUAGUCAAAUUCUCAAAUUACUAAACCAGAAACCAAUUCAUCGGCUGUUUAAACGCAGAACACUGUAAUGGACAUAUCUCAAAGUACGCAAGUCCGAAUCAGGUGUUCUUAGAGGCAUUUGAAAGCUAAUUCAGAAUACUACAACUUUCAUGUUUUGGCAAAAAACUAAAUCAGAAUGGAUCCUAGUCGAAAAACGUGAUAAACUGGACUUAACUGAUCACACGGACUGCUUGGGAAAUACUUAAAAUAGUAAGGGUAUUUUGGACUUUUCAAAUCCUACGUUGGUCCGAUUGAGCUGAAAUUUUGUAGGCACCUAUAAAAUACCAUUCUAUACAACUUUCCUUCUUUGACCUAAGGCCAAUUCGGCCUCUAACAUAGGGAUUCAAAUUCGGACAGAAUGUUGGGAAAAAUUUUCCAGAUUCUGGAAUUUUUUGUAAACAAUGGAACUUUCUUUAAUUUCUUGGUCUAAUUGUAGACACCAAAUUUUAGCUCAAGUUCAUUUACUCUUUAUUUCUUAGUUUUUUGUUUUUGUCAUGUUUGUUUUAUUCAUUUUUAGUUUUUAGUUUUUUUUAGUUUUCAUGUUAUUAUUUUAUUUAUUAAGCUUUUAGCAUGGAAUUUCUUAAAAGAAAAAAAAACAAUGAAAAAUGUAGAAAAAGAUUGAAAAAUGUCCAUUUUUGUUGUUUUUAAUUGUUUAGAUUUUUUUAAAUUGCUUUCAUUGUUAUUAUUAUUAUUAUUACUUGGUUUUUGUCAAUUCUGUUGAUUAGUUAUUAUUAUUUAAUUUUACUUUUGUUUUUGUUAAAUUAUUAAAAAAAAAAAAGAAGAGGUUUUACAUGCAAGCUGCGGAAACGCAGCUUGCAAAGGACAGUCGCGGAUUACCAAUCGAAGGGCCAGGGGGAGAAGGUUUAAGUGAAGAUGAUCUACAACCAUUGAAUGGAGGGUUUUAAGGUUGGCUAGCUGCGUAUAAAAGGCAAGAAGGAACCGCAGCCGCAAGAGAGGAUCCGGAAGACAAAAACACAGAAAAAGAAAAAGGGAGGAAAUUGGUUGGACGGCUGAAAACUGAGAUAGCUGAGCCGAGAACAUAGACGGCUAAAGAGAAAGAAGGUGGGGCUGUGAGGAAAGGCUAGUGUAAGGAAGAGAGGGGAGAGCCGGGAGCAGAGAAGGAGUUGGAUGAGGGUUAGAGUUGCGGGGAAAAGGAAAAAGGAAACUUAGGGGAGAGCUUGAGAGGAUCUUUUGGUAAAGUAGCGGCUGGAGGAAAAAUCAGAAAGGGCUAAGAGAGAAAUCUGAUUAGUGGCUGAAGGAGGAAAAGGUUUCGUUCCUGUCUUCAUACGAAGCUCGGGGAAUCUUUUCAUUUGAAACUUGCAUCUUCAAAGUUGACGUCUGGGGUGCAACCUCUUCAAUCUUUCUUUGCUCACUGGACACUACAAGGUGUUAAAAGUAAUCCUUUUUACCUCAUAUCUUUCAAGCAAGCCCAGCAAGUUGUAUAUUUCAGAAAUUGCAUCAUCCUUAGUUUGUUUUUUAUUGUUUUGCUUGUCCGGUUUCUCUUGGAAUGAAAACUUCUGUGUUUGGGUUAUGCGAGAAUUGAUAGCUUGAGGGUUAUGUGGGUUUGGGUCUAAUGAAAUGAAGGCUUCAUCGUAGAAAAGUUUGCAGCUUUGUUCAUUUUAUGAUUAAAAUCUAUUAGCAUGUCUGAAACUAGAACUUUUGUGUUAAGGGUUGAAAAAAAAUAAUACUUGUUUGAUGCCAUGGCCUGGAUUCACACAAUGUCUUGCUGAAGUUUAAGAGUAAAAUCCUUGCUGCAACGAAUUUGAAAGGAUUCGGCUGGUUAUGUGGAUAUUUGUAGGCUGAUUUUCCUAGAAUAACUGAAAUUCUGAUUGGGUUGUGUGGAUGCUUGCAGUCUUUGUGAUGCUGUAUUUUCACUUGCCUUAAUUAGAUUGUUAGAAACAGAGGAUUUUGUUGGAGGGGAUGUUAAUCACAAAUGGGAUGAAUAUAAAGGAAGUAAAAGCUGUAGCAUGUUCCUUGCUGUUUCCUUCCCUGCUCACUAAGUUUUGCGAGUCAAUGGCUGCUUCAUUUUACGUUGAAGAAAACUGGAAAAUGUUAAGUAAAAAGCAGCAGGCCUACACCUUUGGGCUGCUGGGGUUUUUCAUGUUGUUUGGAAAUAUUUAAUUUGUCCAUCAUUCAGCUGAGAUGUUGUGAGGUUGUUUGGGAGCUUAGCAGUGGAGGCCGGCAGUGUUGCUUGGUCUGCGAUCGCCAAAAGCAAAUUUUUGCCGCAGUUUCCUUCCUUUCUUUGGUUGUUAGUUAAAACCAGAUUUACUAUCUUAAUCCUGUAAGCAAAACUUCAUGUUUUGAUUUGGGACAAUAAUUUCUGGUUUGAUGAACUUGUGUGUAUGAUGAAAUGGAUGUAGUUGUUGCUGGAAAUUGCCGAAGCUUUGGAAAAUAAAAGGGAGCAGCCUUUGUUUUUUUUUAGUUGUAGAAAACUCUUGUUCUUCAAAGUUUAGCAUGUUGUCCAGAUCACUUUUGCUGUUUUUGAGUUCAAAAGCCUAUUUGAUUUCUCCCUACCUUUGUUGCAAGUCCUUGCAUCUUGUGUUUAGGUUGUUUGUAUGAAUGUAAAUUCGGCCGGAUGAGUAGCGAGCACAAAAACUAUUUUUGCUGAGAGUCUUCAUGGCAGAAAUCUCCUUCGUGCAUGCAUGAAAUAAUUCUUCAAAUUUACCUCUUAACCCCCUCAAGUUUCACCUUAUGCUUUUAUGACCCACAAAAUUGAGAAAACUAAUCAAUUGGGUCCCUGUGACUUUUGCAGCAAUGCAUUAUGGCCCAAUUACAUUCCAUUUUCUUGCAAUUAGGUCCUAAGGUGGAUGCAAGUUGAGUCGUUAUUUGACUUUUUAUUAUCUUUUGGGACCUUUGAAGCUUUUAAAUGCUUCAAUGGGCUUUGUUUGUUUGAUUAAUGGUUGCUUUUGGGAUCCUAAAAUGCAAGUGAAACCACUCAUGGACCUUUCUUUGCCCCUGGACCCUUGAAGUUCCUUAAAGUGUUUGAUUUGGCUUGAAUGUUUGAUUAGCGUUCACAAUGGAGCCUUUGGCCGCAUUAAUGUUUCAAUUCAUUUUGCUUGUUUGUCUUCAUUGGUUACCAUGUUUUGUAUAGGCGGUACUUAAUGCAAGAGUUUAAGAACUUCGUGUCCAAAUGAGCUUGUGUUCGCCUAUCUUCUUGAAUUUUCUGAAAUAAAUUGGCUUUGGCCUUUUCUUGCUCUUGGACUUGCAAAGUUUCUAAAAUGUUUCAAUUGGCUUUGAAUGGUUGAUUAAUGCUUGCAAUUGGGUCUUUGGUGAAUUCCUUUAUUGGAAACUAUGUAUUAUUUGAUUCCAUUUAAAUUACAAUUAGGAGAGAUUUGGUGACUUUGUUAUACUUUACUAUUUGAGGUACCGUGACUUUGUUUAUUGUUUUGAAGCCAUUUUUCUUUCAUUUGGACACCAUUCAAAGGGGCGGUAUAAUUUCUUUUAUCCCUUUUGUUUCUCUCCUAUGUGACCCAACGUGUUAAGUGAAAUACAUGUCUACUUUGCUUUCCUAGCCUUUCUUUAAUUCCUUUUACUUAUGUCAUUUACUUUUUGUUUUCAUUAAGUUAUUCUUUUAAUGGGGUAUGUGUACACCUCUUGGCUUGUAAUAGAUAGGGCUGUGGCGAGCAAUUUGGUCCAUUUUCCCUUUCCCCUUUUGUUUUAGUUAGUGAAUGUAAUAGGUUCAUUAGCUUGGUUGCAUGCCUACGUGUUUAGUGUUAAUUUGCUUUGUUAGGGCCUUGCAUCUAGUCAAGCAUGCUAAAUGUUAUGUGCUAUGUAUUUAUGGGUGUUUGGCAUGUCUACUCGCUUUCCAUAACCAUGAAUGAAUGUGAUGGAUGAAUGUACGUUUCCGCUAGUCCAACGCUAGUCGGAAUUCAUAGAAUGGGCUAGUCCAACGCUAGACCCUUAGGGAUUUCCCCUCGUUAGUACAUGUUUGCGUGAUCAUUACAUGUCAUGCAUUUUUCUUAGUUUAUCAUUUGGCAUGCCCCUCGAACCCCUUUUCCUUUCAUUUUAGGAUUUUUGCAUUUCAUGCUAGUUAUAGGGUUCAUUUGCUUGAGAGUCCCCUUAAAUAUGGGAUAUAGACGAGUGUGGUUUUUUCUAAACCUUAGCACGCUUGUAUUCCCUCUAUAAAAGGGUAAAUUGAGUCAUGAUUUAGGUCUCCCCGUACCCAAUAUGCAUGAAUUCCCAAUGCUCAUGCAUUUUUAAAUCCACUCUACCAUUUUAUACCUUCAUCACACUUUCAUUUUUCCUCCCAUUUUGCACACGUGCACCUUUAUGUUUCUUCACUUGCACAUGAACACUUUUAUCAUCACUUGCACACAUGCACUUCAUAUUAUCAUUUCACAUACCGUACCUUGCCCACUCACGUGCACAUUUUCAUUUACAUAUUUAUUGUUUUUUAUUACUUUUUCAAACUCAUGUCCUCACAUUGCAUACAUGCAUUCCAUUCAUUUGCAUCCCACUCGCAUUAUUCGUGACUUCUUUAAAGGAUCGUUAUUGGGUUUCACAAUUAAUGUGAUUGGUACCAUUCAACCUUUGAAGAGAAAUUUCCCCCAAUACCCCUAGGUCUAGGGUUUGCAUUCAUGUAGUGCAUCCAAAUGUAAUAAAUUCUUUGGUUAAAACAAGAAAAUCUUUGAUUAAAUCAUGCAACUAGCCUUGGCUAGGUCAAAGGGGUGCCUUGGAUUUUAUCCUUGCUUUCCCCUUUGUCAAAUGUGACUCCCGAACCUUUUUCUUUGGUUUACGUGGACUAGGAGUCGUUUAAAAGGGGUUUUUUUACUUUUUCCUAUUUUUUCUUUAAAAAAUUCAUUUUUUGGUGACUUGGUACACCUUAACUCAUUACCAAAUGGCGACUCCGAUUUUUUUAUUUCAAAACCCUUUUUAAACUAUAAUUUUGGGCCAAAUCGUCGCAUUCUCAAACCCCCAUUUAGACCCAUUUUUCUUUUAAAUCACAAUUCAUUUUCCAAUCAUAAAUUGAAUCAAAAAAUACAUUUUUUAAACCAUUUAUUUUAUUUCUUUAUCAAAAAAUGGGGCGCGACACUAAUCACUACCAAAGCCUCUCUUAUAACCUUAAUUUCAACAUAUAUACUUCAUACAACAAAUUGGGCAGAAAUUCAUCAAGCCCUAGCUCAUCAUAUAAAUUGGGGAAAACUUCCAAAUUCAUCACACCCACUUGUAUAAUCAUGAAAUCAAGCCAAAACUUAAGCUAAAACACAUCUUAAAGCAAGAUUCAAAGCAACAAAGAUCAUGAUCAAAUGUUGAUACCUCAAAAGCAAGGCUUGGUAGAGUGAUCCUUCACCCCCUUUGAUAUUUCUUGGUUCUUCAAGCUUCCCAACUCACACUUAGUACUUUAAUCGGUUUAGAAUUGGAUUUCUUACUUGGGUUGAAGCAAAUCAAGAAGGAAAUUUUGUUUAUCUUGCUCUCCUUUUCUCUCUCCCUUAGCUCAGCACUUAGCAAAAAAAAAUGAGGGAAGAUGGAGCUUAGUUAUCUUAUAGGAAGACAAGAAGAUUAGAGCUAAUUGUGACCACAAUUUUUGACCAACACUUGGCCUAAUCUUGACCACAAAAUUUUUCUCUUUCUUUCCCUUGCAUAUGAGCCACAAUUUCGGUCAAGCUUGCUGCCAAGAGAGAAGAUAUUUUUCUCAAGUUCAAUAAAUUUGUUUGGUGAGAAAAAUGGUGGUCAAGUGGUGCGUUCAAUCGGUAGUGCGCGGGACCCGCCGGUUCGCGCCGUUUUUCUUAAAAACUCACGUACUAGGGUUUUUACUUCCCAUUCACUAACCUUAUAUCAUUGCUACCAAUCACAUAUUAUUUCUCACUUAAAAGUCACUUUUAAUUCUCAAAUUUAAUCCUUACUCUGUACCGAAAAUUCAUCCGGCGAAAAAUCGCGAAAACCCUAAUUUUGCUCCAAACUUGAAAUCGAAGCGUAAAACCCUAUUUUCUAGGUUUACUUACACUUAUUGUGAAAUAAUUGGGUAGUGGGCUUUGACAAAUAAUAAUUUUCAAAUAAAAGGGUAUUUUUGAGAAAAAUACAAGAAAUUUGCGAGUCCUCACAUUCUCUCCCCCUUAAAAAAAUUUCGUCCUCGAAAUUUUACCUUCAGUUGCCUCCGACGAGUCUGAAACUUGUCGGUUGUCUAAAGCAUAAACCUUUGCUGGUCCGCUAGUUCGUUUCCCUCCUUCAUUCACUUGUGAUUUAGCUCCAUCCAGUUGCAGAGUAUUGCUUUCACGUGACUGUCUCCUCGGACAGUUGCUAACUUGAUGAUCGCCACUUCCGCAGAUUAAACAUUUCCGCCCCUUUCUCCAACAAUCGCUUUCGACAUGAUUUGCCUUUCCACAGUACCCACAGACCACGUGAGAAGCCAUCUUUUGGCUUUCUUGAAAACUUUUUCCAAAUCUGAUUUGGCUUUCUUUUGUAGAUCCUUCACCUAUCGCCCCUAAUGUCCAUGGUGGGUGGGACAAAAAGUUCACUUUUUACACUUUGGAAGGGACUCUCGCUUCACUUAAUUCCUCCGUUACACUACUCGAUGCACUCCUUUUCUGGGUCUGGGAAGCUUUUAUCUGUGCCUUUGCAGUCUCGAUUCUUUGAGUUUUCUCAAGGGCCUCCGUAAACGUAUUCACUUGUACUGCCGCUAAUGCUUCUUGGAGUUUCAAAUUUAAUCCCUGUAUAAACCGUCUUACUCUUCACCGCUCUGUGGCCACCAAUUCAGAAGCAAACUUGGAUAGUUUCGUAAAUUUUGUUUCAUAUUCGGCCACACUUAGCGUUCCCUGGCGUAGUCCAAUAAACUCUUCCUCUCUCUUCUCUUGAACUAAAGGAGGGAGGUAUUUCUCGUUAAAUUCCCUUAUGAAAUUCGUCCAUGUCCAUACGGUCUGUUCUCUUUCCCAUUUUGCUUUAAUAACGUUCCACCACGCUCGGGCCGAUCCUUCAAAUUGGAACACCGCAAAGUUUACUUGUCUUUGCUCGGUGUAGUUCAAGACGGUGAAAAUAUUAAUCAUGGCCUCUAACCAUUGUUCGGCUAUAUCCGGAUCAGAUCCUCCAAGAAAUUUCGGAGGAGUAAACUUCUGAAACUUCUCAAGAGCCUUAUCUUCUCCGAUUUCAGGGUUCCGGGGUUGAUUCACGGCCAUUUGGCCUUGUUGAUCUACUAGUCUUGCCAAGAUAUCUGUCAUUUGUUGCAUUACCGUUGCCAUUGGGUCUUCGGCUUCAACCCUCGUUCCUUGCUCUUGUGCAGAUGCUGUUUCUCUUUCCUCUCUUGGCUCUUGAGCUCGUUCAUUCCCACGACCACGUCCACGUCCACGGCUACGUCUCCCGUCCAUAUAUAUGUUUUCCCUCUCUUUUCUUUUCCCCCAAAAGGUAAUUUAGUAAAUCAACACGAUAAGGUUACUAAAGUAACUAUUGAGGGCACCAAAUAUUCAAAUAAACAUAUACCCACAUAACACGCCAUACCAAGAUGACGAAUAAGCAAAUACACAAAUACAUAUCAAGUUGGACAGAUAACCAUGUACAUACAGGUAUACUAACGUCAUGUAGUAACAAUAUACAGGUAAAUCAAAAGGAAGAGGUGAAGUCGUCCCAGUAUCAGCCCGUCCGGUCUCUCACGUCACUUACUAUCCCAACUAGAUGUCCCUGAUCUCUUGUGCUCAUUCUAGUCAGACAAAGCCUAUUCAUGUUCCCAAAAUGUAAGUCUCAAGUAUUUAGCAGCACCUCAACUAUAGAGUACUCAGGCACGAGAAUCCGAAAUAAGAUAAUUCACAUCUCGAGCUGCAGUCCCAAGAGUAAACUAUCUACAAUCGGAAUUCCUACCUGACAUACCUAUCUGUGGUCCUCAGAUACCAUUAGAAAGAUUUAAGGCCUAUAACAUUCGCAAUUCAUAGCUUCACUUAGUCCCUCAUACUUAUUCACCACUUAGUCCAGGGUCACUCCACGUAGAAACUACGCGAAGCAACUAUAAAUUUUAUCCCUCAAUCGCUUAACUUUCAAGUCCAAUCAAAUCCCACAGUCCGGUAUCCUAAUCUUUAAUCUAGGAUACACUACAGAGAUCUGAAGCCUAAACUCUGAUACCACUUGUGACGACCCCACCUCACCCUAAGGCGUACCAGAGGGUUCGGCGGGCCGCCUGCCCAUCUCUCGCCGGGACUCAGUCAUUCUUUAAUCAAAUCCAGAACAAAUCACAAGAAUAAAUAGGGCAGCAAUCCAAACUUAAAGUGGAACUUAUAUACAUCGCUAUCUCAAAAGGAAGUACAACCAUCAAAUGUAUAAAGGUUCUCACUUCACCAUACAACUAGCCCGUGCCAAGCACUAGGGCGAGAACCAUUACAAAAGAAACAAAAGACCUAGACUAGGCUAGUCUAUGCUCUCAUCCUGCUCGCCGUCCUCUGUUAAGGAAAACAAAACUAAAGGGGUGAGCUAAAAGCUCAGUGAGGUUCCAAACAGAUAAUCAAACAAUCAAACAAUCAAUUCAAUACAUUAAACAUGGAGUAUCAAUAAUUCAAGAACAUUUACAAUGGAAAGCAGUAGUAACAUUCAUUAAAAGGAUACGGCUCACAAGGAGCAAUUCGUUCAUUCGUUCAUUCGUUCUCCUGACAUUUCCCCUUAUUCCUCCAAUCAUUUGAAAAUGCAUUUUUUGUUUAUCAAUAAACCCUCGUUCGUUCGUUCGUUCGUUCGUUCGUUCAUUCAUUCAUUCACCCCCGUCCUGGCCGUUGGCCAGUCUCCACCAACCUACAGGGUAAUACUCGAGUAUACCAAACGUUCACCCAAGUCCCUAAUCGCCCGAUCGAGUCCGCUUCUGGCUCGAGACGACCGGUAACAAGGGGCAAUGGCCAGUUCAGCCCAAAAAACUUACAUUCAUGCGCAAGUAACAUUUCAAUCAUUAAAUCCUUGAAAAUUGCACAGUUAUUUAGGUCGAGUGCGAUAAAGUACACACUCGCCUAGAAAGCUCGUUUUGGAAAUCAUUAAAAGCAAUUAACACAUUAGCAAAUGAUAACAACAAGCCAUAAAGUCAAAUAAGGAACACUCACCUAGAUAUGCAAAAUAACGUGCAAAAUAUCCUUCCAGAUAUUACCCUUAGUCACCAAUGAAACCUAAGGUUGAACAAGAGAACAUAUUACAGUUUAUCGAGCAAAACAUUUAAGGGAAACAAAGAAACCCGACUAAUUAGGAGUAAAACGUAUAAAGAUGACUUUCAAGUAAGAAAAGGGUUGUUUGAACCCCAGGAUGAAAAAUCAUGUUUUAAAAUGGAAAACCGGUCAUGGUAUUGGCCAAACAAAAGUAUACAAGUUCAAAUAGAAACCUAGCCCUCGAGCGAAAAUUUGGGCAGCACGCCCUUUGUGUUUACCUAAUUUUCCAGCCAUUUUGGCUUCAUUAUUUUUCAUCAACCACAACCCAACAUCACACAUAAGCAAUUCAAGUCAAGAGCCGUUCCAUAGGCUCACAAUAUCAUAAGAAUAAGAAUUACAACAAUCACAAGUGCAGAAAUUCAACUUAGCACAAGACAGAUUUGACGUACGAAUGCGGAAAUAACAUAUCCGAAGCUACGCUUAUCGGAUUGAGACGAAACCUAUGCCGGUUCGAAGCUAAGAGAUAGAGCUACAACAUUCAUGAAGGUCACUUAGUCCAGUUCCUAAUGUAACUUAGUCAAAUUCUCAAAUUAGUAAACCAGAAACCAAUUCAUCUGCUAUUUAAAUGCAGAACACUGUAAUGGACAUAUCUCAGAGUACACAAGUCCGAAUCAGGUGUUCUUAGAGGCAUUUGAAAGCUAAUUCAGAAUACUACAACUUUCAUGUUUUGGCAAAAAACUAAAUCAGAAUGGAUCCUAGUCGAAAAACGUGAUAAACUGGACUUAACUGAUCACACGGACUGCUUGGGAAAUACUUAAAAUGGUAAGGGUAUUUUAGACUUUUCACAUCCUACGUUGGUCCGAUUGAGCUGAAAUUUUGUAGGCACCUAUAAAAUACCAUUAUCUACAACUUUCCUUCUUUGAACUAAGGCCAAUUCGGCCUCUAACAUAGGGAUUCAAAUUCUGACAGAAUGUUGGGAAAAAUUUUCCAGAUUCUGGAAUUUUUUGUAAACAAUGGAACUUUCUUUAAUUUCUUGGUCUAAUCACUACCAAAGCCUCUCUUAUAACCUUAAUUUCAACAUAUAUACUUCAUACAACAAAUUGGGCAGAAAUUCAUCAAGCCCUAGCUCAUCAUAUAAAUUGGGGAAAACUUCCAAAUUCAUCACACCCACUUGCAUAAUCAUGAAAUCAAGCCAAAACUUAAGCUAAAACACAUCUUAAAGCAAGAUUCAAAGCAACAAAGAUCAUGAUCAAAUGUUGAUACCUCAAAAGCAAGGCUUGGUAGAGUGAUCCUUCACCCCCUUUGAUCUUUCUUGGUUCUUCAAGCUUCCCAACUCACACUUAGUACUUUAAUCGGUUUAGAAUUGGAUUUCUUACUUGGGUUGAAGCAAAUCAAGAAGGAAAUUUUGUUUUUCUUGCUCUCCUUUUCUCUCUCCCUUAGCUCAGCACUUAGCAAGAAAAAAUGAGGGAAGAUGGAGCUUAGUUAUCUUAUAGGAAGACAAGAAGAUUAGAGCUAAUUGUGACCACAAUUUUUGACCAACACUUGGCCUAAUCUUGACCACAAAAUUUUUCUCUUUCUUUCCCUUGCAUAUGAGCCACAAUUUCGGUCAAGCUUGCUGCCAAGAGAGAAGAUAUUUUGCUCAAGUUCAAUAAAUUUGUUUGGUGAGAAAAAUGGUGGUCAAGUGGUGCGUUCAAUCGGUAGUGCGCGGGACCCGCCGGUUCGCGCCGUUUUUCUUAAAAACUCACGUACUAGGGUUUUUACUUCCCAUUCACUAACCUUAUAUCAUUGCUACCAAUCACAUAUUAUUUCUCACUUAAAAGUCACUUUUAAUUCUCAAAUUUAAUCCUUACUCUGUACCGAAAAUUCAUCCGGCGAAAAAUCGCGAAAACCCUAAUUUUGCUCCAAACUUGAAGCCGAAGCGUAAAACCCUAUUUUCUAGGUUUACUUACACUUAUUGUGAAAUAAUUGGGUAGUGGGCUUUGACAAAUAAUAAUUUUCAAAUAAAAGGGUAUUUUUGAGAAAAAUACAAGAAAUUUGCGAGUCCUCACAGGUUUAGUGCACUAGUGAAACAAAUGCAAGAGGAACCGAGCACAAAACGCGCGCAUAUGCGCACUAUUUGCGGUUGACUUUUGUGCACCCAAACUCUUAGUUCUUAAGCUUCCUUUGUCAGCCAAAAAGUCAGACCAAACCUCUCUUUCUCCUAGCUCUCUUGGCCGGCCAUCAAGCUGCAAAGAAACAACCAAAUUUCUUCAACUUUUCACUCUAAAAUCUUGCUCAAAUCACUAUCAAAUUCUCUCAAAUUUUAACACUACUUAGCUUAAGACUUGGAGAUCACAUCUAGCUAAAAAGGGGGAGCUUUUCACGGUUCACUUAGGAGCAAAGAAGGACCGAAAUUUCUGACUUGUUCAUCAACCAAAGUAGAUAAUGAUCCACUCUAAAAUUCUUGUCCUAGGGAAGUUAAAUUACACUUAUGAGCUUGAAUUUUCGUAUGGGUUGUUGUUGUUGUUGGAAAAAUUGGAAAGUGGGCUCUAUGAACUCCCACCUCUGUGUUGAUGGCUGAUAUAAUGUUUGAUGAUGGAUUUAAUGUUGGAUUAGUGUUUAAAUUAGUGGUUUAAUGGUGGAAAAUUGAUGGAAACUCAUAAUGGGUGCAAAGGCCAAAUCUGACCAUUUUGCCCCUGCUUUGUUCGGCCACAUUAAUGCAAAAAUUUGAGGAUUUAAUGGCUUGAUUGUAUUGUUUACAUGUUGUAGUAGUUGUAUAAAAAUUUUCAUUGAAAAAUACUGAGUUUUGGUUGGUCAAAUGAAUUUAUUUCCCAAAGUUAGCAAUCUGGAAACUGUUCCCGAAAUGCUCAGACCAGUGUUCGUAUUUCGUCCAUAACUCUGUACUCUGACGUCGAAAUCGAGUGUUGUCGGUGGCAUUUGAAACUAGACAUCCACACCUUUCCAAUGGUAUAAAUGCACAUUUUGGUUCCAAGUGUGUGAGCCAAACCAAUCAUUUUAAGAAGGCUGCCCUGUUUCUCUGUUCUGCUGGAACGAUUUGGUGAUGCUGCAACUUUAGGCUUAAUUUCGAGCCAGUUGCAUUCUGAAUCUUAAAACAAUUUCAUUUGUGAAAUUAUACCCCUGUGAAUGUGUUUUCUAAUGCCAUAAACCAUACCCAAUUCCGAGUUAAAUCGAGUGAUUUGUGAUCGAAAUACAGUGACUGCCCUGCUCUUGAAAACCCUGAUUCUUGGACAGAUUUGAUACAAGACUUGGUAUAGACUUGUUAACUGAAUUUCUUGGGGCUAAACACCUACCAAAUGUACCAUGCAUGUUCCUUAGACUUUUCUUGCACAAAUGAACCAUGUUUGGAGGUUUUCCUUAGUCGAAUGUUUGGAAACGGAGAGAAAUGGAGCUAAGGCAGUUUUGCCUUAGUAAUUUCAAAACUUUGGUUAAUUGGUUAACCACUUUCCUGAAGGUAUUUUUCCACGAAAUUUGAUAGAGAGAUACCCUUCAUAUAGGAGUACUAUACUGCAAAAUUUAGCACCAAUCCAAGUCCGUUUCGACACUUAACUAAAGGUCCAAAGUCAGAAACCCAAAUCUGGAAAUUGUUCAACAGUCUUGAAUUUUCCCCAACUUUGAACUACCAUAUCUUGGUGCUCGAAACUCCGAUUCUCGAUCCGCUUGUUCUGUCCUAAACCUUACUUGAACCUCUAAUUGAGUUAUAAAUUUUAAGGGCUGGUUUGCAACGAGUGAAUUCUGCCGAAUUUCCAAAGUUAGCGAAAAACCAACGCCAGCUCAAUCCUGAACAUUCUGGAACAAUGAUUUCAAGCUCAUUUUGAGUACUUUUCACUUAGAUUCGUGGAAAAGUGUCUUCUAAGAAUUUUUAGUACAUUCCAAGAGGUUUCCAACAGUAUAAAGUUUUCCAAUUUUUGGUUUGUAUCGAGUGAGAUACGAUUUUUUCAAAGAUCCAUAACAAAAGUGAAAUUUUCCAACUUUCAAGGAAAUAAAGUUUUUCCAAGAACCCUUUUUUCUUUCGACAUUAUGCAAACGUUUAACCUCGAUUUUCAAGAUAAAAACCCAAAUGCUCCCGUACUUUAUGAAACGCCACUCGAAUCUCGAUUUUCAAGUAAUUAAGGUUCCUUUUCAUGAAAUUCCCUAGAUUAUUAUAGUGCACGAAUUAUUUCUCGAUAAUUGGGUUGUGCGAAUAAUAAUUCACUAUUAUUUGUUCAUGCGCACACGAGAACCUUCAAGAGGAUCCCACGGUAGACGUUUGAACUUUCUUUGACCCUACUUGCACUUAAUACUUGGUGAGUGUCAAGUGUGUGAGUACUUGAUACGUGCUUAAUUGUUAUGAACGAUUACUGAUUUUAGGAAUGGAGUUGAGUGUGUACUUUAUCUCACUCGUUUUCAUUUGAAUAAAUGAUAUUGAAUGAUAUUGAAUGAGAUUGAAUGCAAUGGCUGCAUACGUCGCUGGAGUGAAUCUCCUCGAUACACAAUUGUAAAUGGGGGACGCCCAAACUCAUAGGCUGACCUGGGACUCGAGCCGGCAUGGGUUUGGUCGGGAACCUAGGCGUGCCAUGAGACAAAUAAGCUCGACCUAUUGAGAGGUCUUGCUUGGCAUACUCGUGGAGUAUUGCCUCAUACAUGUCUUGCGGGCCCAAGUGGGUGCUCGGUGGACGGAAAGAAAUAAGUGGUGAUCUACGGAUUGGAAAUACCGACCCAGUUGACGAAGUGUCAUCGAGGGAAGGUAUACGAGUGACAUCAUCAAAGCGAGUGGAACUUAGCUCCCGAGAGCUACUGUAGCCUUGAAUUGUUUCUGAUAAAUUUCCUUUGGUGAAUUGUCAAUUAUUGGAAUAUCUUAUUGUUUAGCUCGUAAUUGAGAUUGUUAUUUGAACUACGUGCUUGCACGUGUGUUCUUGGCCUCACGAGCAUUUUGCUCACCCUAUAGAUUUAUUUUCCUUAACAGGAUUGAAUCUCGGGGAAGUGUGGAGAAACCCUCCUGAUGUACUUUUGUUUUAGGGUUUCUAUUAUAUUUCUUUAGCUAUGUCCUUGGUUUUGGAUUGUACUUUUGGAAUUGAAAUGUAACUUUUGGGGCGUAAUGUAUAUUUGGGAUUCAUGAUAUAUUUUGAAUACCCGACGUGCGGGUUGGAUAAUGGAUGACUGUUGUUAAGUUUGAACGCUUCCGCAUUUACUGUACCUAAGUUACUUGUGUUGUGUAGUUCGAUAAUAAGUUUGAAUGUUUUGGCUUGAGUCCUGGCGAGAGCUAGGCAGGCGUUCCACGGAUACCCUUUGGUUCGCCCUAGGGAGAAGUGGGGGCGUCACAUAUCCCAUACUCAAGGGGUUGUUUGUUCCUAGUCUGAUCAAGCAAAUGUACUAAUCUAGUUCUAAUGCUUAUAUGAAAUGUAAGUCUAAUGUCAUGUUUUCACACAAAGGGGUAAAAAAUAUACAUAUAAGGGAAAAUACGGGAUAAGGGCUAUAUAUAUAAGGGGAACAUGGGAUAAGGGAUAUAAGGAAAGUAUCAUGCAAAAAUGAUAAAAAUCCUAAAAGUAGAAAAAUAUGCAUGAGAUGAAGUGAUUUUAUCAUACAAUCAUGACCUAACAAGCGAAAGGCUCCUAAGGAUCUAGCAUUGGACUAACCCAUGUCUAUAAAUUCUCACUAGCAUUGGACUAGUGAGAAAAGUCGGAACAAAGGGCCACAACUAGUGUUAGACUAGUGUGGAUUCGGGAAAUGGACCACAACUAGCGUUGGACUAGUGUGGUGACAUCACACAUUGAUUUAUAACUAAUUAAUCAUGUAAAACUAAUAAAAAACAAAUAAACACAUAAUAUCACAUAAACACAUAACACAUAAUCAUGAUAUCUAGAUGCAAGAUCCUACGAAAGCGGUAACACCUAGCACGUAAGCAUGCAAAACACACAAAAAUGAAUGAAGCAAAUAAAACCCUGACUAUUACAUAAAGGGGGAGUCCUAACUACAAUCUAAUGGGGAAAAUGAAAAUAAUGAAAUAAAAUAAACCUAACUAUUAUAAUUUGGCAUUUAAAUACCUUUUAAAUGAUUAAAAUUAAACUAAAAUAAAUAUUAAAAAUUGGAAUAAAUAAAGCAUAUAAAGAAAUGAAAUAAAACAUUCAAAAGGCAUGCAACACAUAAAGUCACAUAAGUGCACAUAGGGUCAAAUAAAUUAGAAAUAAGAGAUAGAGUGUACCUCCCUUGAGUUGGGGUCCUAAUGAAACGAAUUUACUUAUUUACCCUCCAAAAUAAUAAAAAAGGUCAAGACAUCACUUUAAUUAACAAUUAAUGAAAUGAAAACUAACCACGAAAUGAAAAUUUAAACACAAAAUGGAAUCACUUAAGGUAUUCACAUAAACUAAACCAUUCAGGUGUAAGAAAUUAAAGCAAACAAGGUCCUAAGUAAAAAGUUUUAAAAGUUUAAAAUUAAAUACUAAAAUUUAAGGACUUAAGAUGAGACCUAUCAAAAAUCACACGCUAAAACUUCAUAAAAGACAGAUGGAAAUCAAUUUAUUAGGAUUAACACCAAAAUUAGCUAAAAUAUUAAUCAAAUGGAAAUCAAAACUAUAAAUUCUUCAAAAUUAUUAAACUUUCAUUAUUUCAUUCUAAAGUUCCAUUAACAUCUGUCCAACGAAAUAUGUCGAAGCAUAUUACAGAAAAAAGGCAAAUUAAGGGGAUACAAUUGAUCAAAUUGGUCAAUUAAUUGGGCCAAGGUAGAAUGAGGAGAAACAUGUGGGGUUGAAAUGCAAUUUUUUGAAAGAUUUUCAUGCAUGCAAACCAAACUUUCGGCAAAAGCUGAAGUUGUUUUCCUUCUACCAUUUCUGCUGGAAUUUUGCAGCUCCAACUCGUACAAAAUUCAUAUCAAAACAUCUAUAGUUCUAGAUCAAAACACACGAGCUCAUCAUCAAUCAUUUAAUCUCUUUUUUUUUUUCAAGUACAAGAUUAAAUAGGUGACAGAAUCCAGUUAGUGGACUAUUCCGGGGAGAAACAGCAAAGAAAGGAAAAAAAAGGCAUGAAGCUUUCUUCCAACUUCAUGGGUUCAUUGCCAAACAAUUCAGUCAUGCAAAUCAGUUAACUUCCGUGGCCUGCAUUCUGGACAUGAUUGAUCUCAGCAUCCCACAGGUAAGUCAAAGGAAAAUGUGAAACAAAAGGCACCCACGAAAUGAAAGAGGCCAGCAAAAGAACAAUAGCUUAUGAGAAUCAACAGGAUACUCUCACAAAUUCGAAGAACAAAUUGAAGCAAGACUCCAUUUUUCUAGAAAACUCGGACUGAACAUUUCCUAAACUACAGAGCAAUGGCCCUGACCGUUCAACAACCACACACAAAAAAAAAACAGCUUUGUUAUAGCUUUUGCUGCAACUUUCCUGAUGGUUUGAACUUCAGCAAAACAACAUUUCGCUAUUCACCUAAAUGUGUUCGUGUGUGAAGAGACUCAAACAAAAUCUACCAACUUCGACAACUGAAAAUAAUUGCAAGAAACUUCAGCUUAUGCUCGUAAAAGCAUUUACUUUUUCUCAACAAACUCACAAGUGCAGUUGUCUAAAAAAAAUGCAGCAAAGAGUAGGAAACUUAGUGUGAACGUGCAUAUGGCAUAUCAACUGAACCACAAAGAGAUCACAAGAUUCAAACAGCCAUGAGCUCUAUCGUGAACCAAACAUUAACUAGCAUCAAGAACAUGGAUUAAACACCCAAACUUUUAAUGAAAGAAACAGGUUCUUAAGACACAAACCUACCCAACUGAAAAGAAAAAACAGCCACAAAGGAGAGGUUUAAGAGGCAACAGGCAUGACCCCAGACACCAAAUCCAACCCAACUCUCAAAACAAACCUCCAAAACUUCAACACAAAUUUUUCAAGAAGACAACCUCACCUCAUCAAGACUUGGCAAAUACAAAAAGCAUGAUUCAUGUUCCCUUAAUUUCAAAGCUAACAACUUCUCUAAAUGCAGCUUUAAUAGCAGAUAUUGUUCAUGACAUUCCAAUCAAACAACAAGCAAAAGAAAACAUGUCAACCGAGCCACAAUUUCAGCAAACCAAAAGGAACAAAAGCUGUCCGCACGUACUGCUACAACAAGCCAGAACUUCAACCACAUACAAUAGCUGAACUACCCAACAACAAACAGACCCAAACAACAAAAAAUCAUGCCAAACCGAAAUCUCAGCCAUCCCAAAAAAUAGUUUAUCAACAUUUGCUGCAACAAACCGAGAGUUUCAUGCUUGUUGCAGCUUUUGCGAUCUUAACUUCAGCCAAACAAAAAACCCACAAAUUCCAUGAGCAAGUUUAAACAAAGCUUCAUUUCUCUAACACUUUGACUGGACAUUUCCCUAACUAAACGACCAUGGUCAUGGUAAUUCAAUCAACGACCAAAAACACAGCCAAACAAAAGAGAAACAAAGAUUCAUGCAACCAUGAAAUAUCAUACCAUAAGCCCAUGCUAAGGUCAUUUUUCUUUUCACAGCAAGCAUUUUAUUACUAAAUCGCAUCAUUGAAACCAAAUCUAAGAAUCGAACUAGCACCAAACAGACUCCAAGUUCUAACACGGCUAAAAUGCAAGUAAACAGCAAAGGUCACAACUUGGGGAUUGUAAAAACACAAACCAAAAUCACCAGGAAAGCAAACAACAAGCCACGUGAUAAUGGAGGAUAUAUUCACAAACUUUGGGCACUUAGAAACUGAUUGAAGCUCAUCUCACAAAACCCAGAAAUGACCUCUCGAUAUUAAGACGAAAAGACAGAGAAAGGCACGAGCUUUUACCGAAGAAAAAAGAAGUUAGCAGCAAACCAACGUUGAUGGCCAAAGCUAUGCCUUUCCAAUGUUGUUUCUUCCCUUCAACCUCCUCCAAUGGUGUUCCUCUUCCUUGCUAUUGACCUUAGUUCUUCUCCCUUUUGCUCUCGUCUUUCACUCUUUCUAUCUCACGGUGGUUCCCUAUUUGCCGAAGGCUUUUUUUUUCCUUCUCAGUUUUCUCCCUUUUCUGCUCUCUCAACUCUCUCGGUUCUUUCUUAUAUCUUCCGCCGUCACACUCUCUGUUCUCUUUUCUAGACCCUCGCUGCAUUUUCCUUUUAAACCCCCCUAACCCUUGGCUGGACGAUGGGAUGAAGCUUCGUGUUUCAUCUCAUUUUAGAGCCGUUUGAUGAUUCUUGGCAGACAAGAAUUUAGGAUUUCUGGAUGGAGGCCAAAUGGCCUGUACUAAAGCAAUCCAACGGAGCCAAAAAAUGAAUAAGAAAUCGAUGAUGAAAACUGAAAAAUGCAGCUACCAUUUGUUUCUGUACUCUCGCGCAUGAUUCUGGUUUCUGAUAUGAUAUGGAGAAAGAGCUUGGAUCAUGUGUAGCUCGCGCAUGCGUGAGCUUGCUUUCUCCUUUUUCUUUUAAUUUAACAAAUAAUGAAGUAAUAAAUAGAUAACAAUUAUCAAUAAAAAUAAAAAGAAGUAAAAAUAAAAAUAAGUUAAAAAAAAUUUGGUAUCUACAGAUUCGUCCCCCACAGCAAUACAUUGGCUACAACUCUAUUGAUCUUGAUGUUGAUUGUUGUAGGAGAGAAAUAGCCAAGACCAAAUUUGAGAUUUUCAAAGGCAUAUUCUUUUUCCUUCAACAUCUUUUGAGUAGAAUUCAACCCAUGAAUCAUGUCACUAGUAGAUUGAGAGGGUGGAACAUUUAACACCGUAGAUUCUUUGAAAUCAUAUCCAGCCUUAGUGAGAAGCUUAUAAGCAAUAGGAUCAAAACUUUCUUUAGUUCUUGACUUUGGCAUGGUGUCUUGUCCGAUUUCAGAUUCUUUGCUUAAAAGGUUAGACCCUUUAAGUGGAGGAGAUGACACCUUCUUUGUACCAAGAUGAGCCACAGCAAGAGUCAGACCUUUCAGAGUUUCAUGUUGUAUUGUAGGUAUCUAUCCCUGUUCCAUCCUUAACUUGAAAGGACAGUGAAAAACAACUGAUUUAUGGUUUGGUAAUGAAACAUCAGUUUCUUCAUCAACUCCCUCUUUUGAUUAUGAACUUAUCACUUUCUCCCCUUUCCUUUUGCACUUGAAGAUUCGGGGUUCUAGAUUUUAACCCCAAAUAGAGGUUGCUCAAACUCAUCUCUCACAUUGUGCCUUUUGAUAUAAAAUUUGGCAUCAGCGAUAUAUGCUUCCGCUUCAGUGAAGGGAUUAUCAUUGGCCUUCACACUUCUUGUCAUCCCAUUUCAGCAAUACUUGAAACAUUGAUGAAGAGUUGAAGGUACGACUCCAGUUUCAUGAAUCCAGGGCCUUCUCAAUAGCACAUUGUAUGUGAUUUUAGCAUCUAUCACGUACAACAGUGCUCUGGACGAUAUGUCAUCAAUGACUAUCUCCAAACUUAAUGAUCCAAGAGCUCUUUGCCCUCCUUAAUUGAAGUCUUGAAUCAUGAGUCGGCUAUUGGAGAGUUCAUUAAUAGGAAUGCCAAAUUCCUUCAGAGUUUUUAAAGGAAGAAAAAUUGACUGCGGAGCCUCUAUCUAUCAAAAUUCUAUUCACCUUUUGCUCCUUUGCAUAACCAGUCACAAACAAAGGACGAUUAUGUGGUGUUAACCUAAGUAAUAAGUCUUCACUAAUGAAAGUAAUACUUGUGACAUUUAUUUCUUCAUUGCCGAUAGGCGCAUGAGUUAUCUCACAGGGAGAUUCACGAGCAUUAUUCUUUUGUUCUUUGAUAUGGUCUACUCGCGUUGUGUGACUUACGACCGCAUCAACAUCAAAGAAUUCUUUUGGCAUAAAUUCUUUUAGAGUGAGAGGAGUUCGCAACUUUUGCUUGAAAACUUGACUUCUUUGAAGAUUACGGUAAUCAUUGCUUUUCUUUAUGUUCUUCCCUUUCCUUUUCCAGAUCACCUUACUUCUUGUUAAGGCCUUGUUCGCCCUAUUAGAUGGACAAGUUUUUCGCCUCCUUCUUCGCGUGACUAGAAUCCAUCCUUUAUCAUUCACAUCAAGUUGUAAGGCCUUUCCAUUUUCGUAUGCAUGUUCUGAAGAGUUGAAGGAGCAACUUCUUGUUCGACUUUUACGAGAUCAAAUGAUCCAAAUUGAAUUGUUGGCAAUACAAGUACGGUGAGCUUUUCAACUCUCUUGGCAAUCUUUUUGACCUCCAUGGGUUGCAGGGAAUCAAUGGACGUUUGGUUCAUGCUAGCCUUGUCUUCUUCAAGAAGAAUUUUUCCUUGUCUCGCCAAUUCCAUUACUUUAUCUUUGAAGAUAAAGCAUUUUUGAAUGGGAUGCCCAACCAAGUGGUGAUACUUACAAUAAUUUGGAUCAUCAGUGUUCCUGGUCUCGUCAGGUCGGUUCAUCUUAGGAAGCGUGAUCAAAUUUAUACUCAACAAAUCGUCAAAUAUACCAGGGACAUCAAAAUCAAGGAAAGGGUAUUCCUUAUCUUGCAUCUCCUUGAGAGUCAGUUUCCUCUUUCAUUACUCUUAAUGUGCAUUGACUUUCUUGUCUUCUCUCCUUCCUUUCAUUUUUGGUUGGUGGCUUGCCCCCUUUCCUCACUUCUUGUCUCUCCUUGGCCUUGUGAGAGUCAGAAACUGGCGAUUCUUGUCCAUCAAGAUUAAUUUUCAACUUGUGGGCUUUUGUGGAUAAUUCUUAUGUUGCACACAUUGCAAGAUGUAUCUGAAUCCCCAGUACAUACCUUGAAUAUACAUCUCAAUCGCAGAAGAUUUAGAAAUUUGAUCUUUGCAAUUUAAGCUCAGAUUCCUUUAGCGAUCGAUAAAAUCAAUGACAGGUUCAUUCUUCCAUUGACGUGUAUUAGAGAGCUCAGUCACGCUGACAGUUCUCUUUGUGCUGUAGAAGCGACUAAGAAAUUCAUGUUCUAACUGCUCUCAACUAUCAAUGGUUCCAGACUCCAGAUCUGUAUACCAAUCAAAUGCAUUACCCUUCAACAAGCGAACAAAUUGCUUAACGAACAAGUCACCAUCAGUGCCAGUAUUGUUACAGGUUUAAAAGAAAUGUGCAACAUGUUGCUUAGGGUUGCCCUUGCCAUCAAAUUGUUGAAAUUUUGAAGGUUGAUAUCCCACAGGUAUUUUCAAACUUUCCACUCUAGCGGUGUAAGGUUUGCUGUAACCACUAUAUGACUUGGCACUUCCACCAAUCUUAUCCUUGAUUGUGCCUUCGAUGAACUCCUUCAGAUUACCAACAUGAAUGGUGCCAUCAGGGGAGAUUGAAAAUUCCUUCGUGGCUUGUGAUUUCGUAUCCUCUUUCUCCUUUGAUGAUGAGUCACCUUUAUCUUGCAACUCGGAUUUUUGCUUGGACAUGUUGAGGCUAUUCUCGCCAAUAUUUUUUACCAUAGCCAUUAAUUUGACUAUCUUGGCAUCUUAACCUUGUGCAUGCACUACUAGCCUUUCAACAAUUUUGGUUAGAUUUGAAAUUUGAUCUUCCACAGUUGUGGUGUUGGUCAUCAUGACGGGCAUCACCACAGAGGCAGCUGAAUCACUUGGGCUAUCAAUGGAUUCAUCAUGGGCUCCUUUCUUGUUGGGAAGCAUAUCGAGGUUUUCCCAAAUUGAAGUGAGCAAAGGUAAUUCAAAGUUUUCGAAAGAAAACUAACACUUUUUUUGUCUUAGUUGAUGCUAAAUCUUGGUCAAAACAACCCAUAUAUUAAUAUUGAAAUGCAUUCAAGGAUACAUAUGUAACUUAAGAUCUAACUAACUCUAAACUCAAACCUUACAUCUCACUAAUAUUCAUAAAAGCAAGUAAUAGAAAUUUAGGCAGUAUGCCCUUUGUAUUUUGCUAUUUUCCAGCCAUAUAUAGUUUCAUUAUUUUCCUCAACUCAGCCCAAAUUCACAUAUAAGCAAUCUUAACACAAUAGCCCCUCAACUAGGCUCAAUGUCAUCCAAAUACAAGGCAAUUCUAGCAAUGCAACCAUCAAAUCAAAGUUGGAAACUAGUAUUAAAGAAGAAUAACUAAGUAACAGGCUUGAUACCUUCUGGCGUUUUGGUCACAGCUGAAACUAAGUUUAUUAGAUUGGGGUAUACUUUAUGGUGUUUCGAAGCUAAGACAGAGAGUUACAUUUCUUAUGAAAAUAUCAACACCUAGUUCAUGCAUUUUCAAGGUUAAAAUGUGAAAUCUCAGAGAAAAUAUAAAGCUGCCUGUGAAAUAGGAUUUUGGCAGUCAGGGGUAUUUUAGUUAUUUCACAUGCUACAGUGUUCCGAUUGAGUUGAAAAUUUACAGGCAGAUAUUAACACCAUUCCCUACAACUUUCAUGUUUUGAUCAAGACUUGAUUCAGCCUCUAUCAUGAAUGAAUAUGCAGGUUAGAAACAGGGCAGAUCAUCAUCAAAGUUGGAAAUUCACUUCCACUCUAAAAAUUCAUCUUCUAGCUUAUUACUAUCAUGUACUAUAUCAUCAAAACCAUCAAUUACUAGAUCAAUACCAUCAAUUACUAGAUAGAAAACCAUAAUCAAGACUGAAAAUGUAAACCUUAGCUAACCCUUCCAUUAUAUCAUCCAAAACUGAAUCAUUAACCAUAAUAAGCCAAGAACAUAAGCUUUUAUCAAAAUUCAAACAAGAUUUAGGAAGGGAAAAGGAAAGAAAAUCAUGAAACCUUCCAAUAAUUGCUUGUAAGUGAAAAUCACACCCCUUUCUUCCAAAACGUUUACCACACAAAACUUUCCAACCACCAAAAGAGAAGUUUAAUUGGUUUAAUUUUGAGAUUUCAACUCAAAUAAGGUUAAUCAAGGAUGAAAUGGAAGGUUCCUCCUCUCUUGUGUUUUCUCUCCAAGAGUUUCGGCCAAGCAUGAAGAAAGGAAGAAGAAAAUGAGCCAAAAUGGAAGAUAAGAAGGAAAGAAAUAAGUUUGGUCAACAUCCUUUGGAUGGGCGACACUUGUCGCAACAAGAUGGUUUCUUAUUUUUUUUCUUUUCUUCCUUUUCUUUAGUCAAAAAUGGUGGCUGACUUAAGGGUAAUAUAGGGAAAAUUAAAUGAAAUAAAAACAAGGAGAUUAGGGUAAGAAAGUAGGGGUCAAUAGGGGUACUCGAUCGAUAGCAAACGGUGCACGUCGGUUCAAGCCGUUUUUCCUUAACUCGCGCGUACUAGUGUUUUAACUUAUGAUUCACUCAUUUAUUAUUAACACUUCUAAUCACAUAUUUUUUCUUACCUAAUAGUCAUUCUUAUCCAUCAAAUUUAGUACACACAUCUCACUAAAUGAUCACACUACCAAAAUGCAUCAAAAACACACCAAAAACCCUAGUAUGCACAAAAAACCCUAACUUAUGCCCUUCCUUUAAAAAAAUCAUAACUUGAGUUAUAAAUGUCAAAAAUUCAUACAACUUGACCUAUUAAAAACUAGACUUCAAAUACUAAUAAUCUUUAGAAAACACCUCAAAGAGAUUCAGUUCAUAAGUUAGUUCAAAUUGAGCCAUAAGUUACUACAACAUUCCUAUGUUUACUUGUGCAGGGCAGAAUUUUCAGUCAAAUUUGCCAAUUUUCUGGAAUUUAUAGAGAUUGAAUCAAACUCUGAAUUUUUCACCGUAGAAAACCCUAUGAGUCUAGUUUCAAACGCAAUAAAUAGAACUCAAUUCUGACUUUCCUAUACGAAGUUAUAGUCAAUUUCCCAAAGCUGCACAGAGGCUCUUGCGAAAAUUUCUAGAUUUUCUAACAACUUGAGAUUAUGCAACUUUUCUUAACAAAAUUCACUCCCUUGACUCACAUUCAACCAAGAAUCUAAGGCAAGUAAGGUCAUAUAAGAGCUAUAAAGACAAGUAAAAUUUCGGGAUCUCACACUUUGUCCCCCUUAAAAGAAUUUUGUCCUCGAAAUUCUAACAUUUGCUCGCAUAAAACUUGAAGCUACAGGAUCUUCCUCCAAUUUUCAAGUGACUUUUUCUCACUUAUAGUGCUACCACAAGCUUACCUAGAGGGAAAAUCUCGCCGACAUAAUGGCUAAAUUGAUAUGCUAAGAAAGUUCAAUGACAGUGUCAAAUUGUGCAAAGUGAGAUAAAUUUAAAAACUUGAUGAAAAGGAAAAUUCGUAACUAUGAAACUUGGUUACUACUCUCGCCUACCGUCCAUACCUCUUUUGAAAAUAGACCUAUAGGUAUAAGCAAAAUAAAGUAGUUAUAAAGUUUGAUAAAAGUAUUUCCAAAUCAUAAAUUGAAAAUCAUAGAGCACAUUUAAAAUAACAUACUUUCUUUAUAUACAUAUCAUAACGAGUCACAUACCCUAUGAGACAUUAAUGCUAGGUAUUGCUCAAGCACUACACUUAAUCAAAAUUUGAAGAAGUACAACCAAGUACAUACAUGUGAAUAAUAAGGGUCUCAAAUCUCACUAAUAUUUUCAAUAUAUUUCAAGUCCAGACUAUUCGCAUCUCCCGUGCCUUGGAUUUUGCCAUCUAAACUUAUCCUAAUAUUACUCGAGAUAACAACUUAUUAUAAAGGGAUCACUCUUUGGUACUCAGGUACAAGAAUCUGAAAAUAUGAUAAUUCACCACUUGAGUUGGCUAGUCUCAAGAGAAAAUCAACCACUUUUAAGAUUCCUACCUAACAUGCAUAUCUAAUAUUUCAAACAAUGGACAUUUGUUCACACUUAACAAGUCAAUCCCCAUAGUCUGAGAACCUUCUUGGGCACGAGCUCGAUAAGAGCUCUGAUACCAUCUGUGUCGACCCUACCUCCCCCUAGGGCGUACCCUAGGGUUUAGCGAGUUGCCUGCCCAACUCUCAUCAGGACUCACUCACGUUUAACUCAAGAAAAGAACUUACAACCAUAGAAAAAAAAUAAAACAACGAUUCCAAGCUUAAUAUAUAUAUUGAUGCUCAAAUCCAGUUACAAGACUUAUACACACCCAAAUAUAUCAAGGUGUUUACAAUCUAGGUGCAACCAACUCUAGUCGAGCACACUAACGCGAGUACUAUGACGCCCGAAUGAAGCAGAAAAGAAAAAAAAAUUCGAUGGAAAAGGUUAGUACCAAAUCCGAUCACAAAUCUAGCCAGUUCUUGGCUGAAUUGUUGGAGGGUUUUGAUAAAAAAAAAAAAGGAUUUGGCCACUGCCUCCAAUCUGGCCAGGAAUCCGGCAGGGUAUCCGGCCAGAAACCGGUCGGAUUGUGAUGUAGCACUUUGGCAGCCAAGUUUGACCGGCUGAUUUCCUAUGUUCUUAUCUUGUUUCUUGGCUGAUAUUUCUUCAUUCUUUUCUCUAGCUUGGCCGAACCAUUUGAGAGGGAGAAAUAAGAGAGAAACUCUAUUUUUUCCCUUUGAUUUCCUUCACCAAAUCUUGAGUUUUAACCGUUAGUUUUGCAAACUACUUCAUACGAGGCUCACAAAGGAAGUUUAAAGCUAUUGAUGGAAUUGUUGUAAAAGAGGAAGCUUUAAGUUGUUAUCUUUCUUGAGUAAUAAGAUGAGUUGCUAAGAAAUUUCCUCUUUGUUCUUAAUAAGGGUAGAUUACUGGUUUUAUUGGCUAAAUAUGCUAUUUUGUGGAAGAUUUCAUGAUUUUAAAUAGAGUUUGAUAAAUUUCUGAUUUAUUAGUGAAUUUUCUGAUUUUAUAUGAUAAUUGUUGGUUGGUCAUGGAAUGAUAGCUUGAUAUGGUGUGAAAUGGGACCUUUGUGUGUUAGUGGUGGAUAUUUGCGGAAAUCUCAGUAUUAUGGUUUCGAAUUGGGGCUUAAUUGUGAUUGAUUUUGGAGCUAUCAAUUGGCUCAUAUUGAAGGGACAUUGUGGCCUAAUUAGAUGUGUGGUAUAUCUUAUGAUUUGUAUGUGUACUUGUCGUUAUAUACAAAUGUUAGUUUAGAAGUGUAAUUUCAGUUUUACCUUGUUUCUGGACUCAACUUGGACUGCACAUUUCUCCAUGUUUUAGACCGAACUACCUUGUGGACAAAACAUGAAAGUUGUUGGUAUAUGAGUUAGCUAGCUACUUGCAAAAUUGUAGAUCAAUUGGAAUAUUGUAACUUGUGAAAUGACCAAAAUACCCUUGACUACCCUUAAGCCCUGUUUCACGCGGACAGUUUCCAUUUUUUUUCCUCUAAGAUGUCGAUUUUUGUUCAUGAAUAUGUAUAAUUUGACUUUGGAAGUCUCCAUAAGAAAUGUUGGUAUAUGUCUUAGUUUCGUAAUGUCAUAAGAUUCAUUUCAAUCCGGCAAGUGUAACUUCAAUUGUGAUUAAAAUGCCAAAAGGUGAUAGGAACAUGAUGAUUUUACAAUUCCUUUUGUUUGAUAUGAUAUUUGUGAUCUAGGGCUUGGACUUGAGCAAGGCAAUAAUUUAUAAUGGAUGAGGUUCAUGAGAUAUUGUUGUUGAGUGAUUCCACAACUAUUUCCAACGUUACUUUUUCGAACUAAUCUUGCAUUGGUUACUCGAUUGUAUAUCAUUUGUGUUUGUGUGUGCGCCAUGACAUGAUUUGGCUCCAAUGAGUUCUUGGGAAGUCUUGUACUUAGAACCAACGUCUCCACCACUGUUUAUCUGGAGCACCGAUGGCUCCCUUGUACUAUUUGACUUACUGGAUCUGUUUGAGCGUUGGAGUUUUAAGUACGAUGACUUCACUGGCUCACAAGAGCAACAUACAUAUAUUUUCUUACUGAUUCAUGAUAUUGUUUACAUGCAUUAUUUCGAAAGUGGUUGAUUACUGAUUUUACUGGAUACUCGCUGAGUUUUUAACUCACCCUAAAAUAGUUUUUCUCCCAACAGGGCGAGGCAAAGGAAGCGUUUGUAUUAUGUUCUCCAUGUGACUGGAUGGAUUAUUUUUUGUACAGUUGGAGUUUUAGAUUCAUCUUGUAUAAUAGUUAGGAUUAUAUGAAUGUUUGGAAUCGAUCGGAUGUAUGUGUACGUUUCACGCUUAGGAAUUAGUAUUUGCUUCGUUAUGAUAUGUAAAUUUGUGGAGUAUUUGAUGUAAUCUUUGAGAUGUGCAUUGUAAUUUAAUUGAGAACUGUAGUGAGUGAGUGAGUUCUGGUGAGAGUUGGGCAGGCGGUCCGUCGAACCUUUUGGUUCGCCUUAGAGGGAGGUGGAGCUGUUACAGUUGAUAUCAGAGUUUAGGUUUCAGAUCUCUGUAGUGUAUCCUAGGUUAAAAGUUUAGGGUGCCGGACUAUGGGAUUGAUUUGAAAGUUAAGCGACUAUGUGCAAAGGGUUAAGUGCUCUUUUGGAGCGUAAGUUGUGAAUCAUGAAAGUGGUAAGCGUAGGAUAUGACUUGGUUGCUCCCAAGCCUACCUCAACCGAUUCUGGUACUAGCGUAUGGCUUGAAUUGUAUAGUUUCUUAGUUUUGAAUUUUUGUACUUGAGUACUCGAUACUUUUCUUGAGGAAAUGCUUGUGAAUUUGGAAGGAACAUGGUCUAGUGUUUGAUGAUGUGAAUAGAAAUCAUAAGUGAAUUUGAGAUAAGUUGUAAUGGUAUAGAUUAGAGUACAAAAGAUUUCAUAUUGUACUCGAGACUUAACCGAAUGAGGAGAUUGGAAUGAUGAAUGUUAUCUUGGACUUGUCCCAUAAGAUUAUGAUGUUUGGCUAAGGUUUCGAUAGAUUAUGGUGGUGGCCGGGAUUGUUGAGAAAACUUCUUCUAGUCUUCUUGUUUGAUUAAGAUUUGCACUACCCGAUUUGUAAGUGUUGGGUUAUGAACUACUUGAACUGCCUGAGACUGACUUUGAACUGCCUGAGACUAACUAGGCUGAGCUCACUUGAAACUUGAACCUGUUUAGACGAGUAUGCUCUUACGUACACUCAAUGGACCUGAUUAGACUGAAUAUAUGGUAUUUCAUUUAUGCUUGACCAAGUAAUUUGAUUCGUAUAUGACCUGUAAGUGGAUUUGAAUUCUGUGACUGUUUGAAAAUGUGAAUUGCUGGGUAUAAGUUAGAUGAGUGAGUUCUUAUUCAUACCCAUGCUCCAUGAACUUGAAGUGAUUGACCCUGCUUUUGAACUUGUAUGCUUUUAUGUGUGGUUGUAGACCAACUACUACUCUUCUGUAGCGGUUGAAUUGAACCUCUCUAGCGAGGCAUUGCCUGUUGUGUUAUCAAGUACCACCAUUCUUCUGGCGAGACAUGCCUAUUGUGUUAUCAACACCACCAGGGAUGAACUUUUGAAUUGAGCCUCUCUUGUGGAGCAUUACCUGUUGUGUUAUCAAGCACCGCCAUUUUCCUGGCGAGGCAUGCCUGUUGUGUUGUCCAGCACCGCCAGGGAUAAAUUCCUGAACUGAGACUCUUUGGUGAAGCAUAGUCGUUGUUCUAACUUGUUGUGUUGUCCAGUACCACUAGGGACAAAUUCCUAAGACUUUCUGGUAAAGUAUAGCCGUGUGCUAGCUUGUUGUGUUGUCCAACACCACCAGGGGUAAAUUUUUGAUGUGAGGCUUUGCUAUGUCUUGAAUUUUUCCGAAAUCUGGGACUUUAUUUUCAAUUCAGGACUAAUUGGUUGAAUCGAGCCCUUUUGCAUGUUUUAUUUGGUUAUUUGUUUAGCUAUCUUUUGGCUCAUUACUAAGUGAUAAGUGGGAUUGGAGUGAUUCUUAGUAUUUGACUGACCUUCGAGGACCCUUUUGACCUGAUUAGUACAAGUUAGAAUGUCGAGAACGAUAUUCUUUCAAGGGGGGAGUUUGUGAUGCCUGAACGAAGCAGAAAAAAAAUUUUGGUGGAAAAGGUUAGUACCAAAUCCGGCCGCAAAUCCGGCUAGUUCUUGGCCUGAUUGUUGGCUGGAUUGCUGGAGGGUUUUGAAAAAAAAAAGGAUUUGGCCACUGUCUCUAAUUCGGCCAGGAAUCCGGCUGGGUAUCCGGCCAGAAACCGACCGGAUUGUGACGUGGCACUCCGGCAGCCAAGUUUGACCAGCUGAUUUCCUAUGUUCUUAUCUUGUUUCUUGGCUGAUAUUUCUUCAUUCUUUUCUCUGGCUUGGCCGAACCAUUUGAGAGGGAAAAACAAGAGAGAAACUCCAUUUUUUCCCUUUGAUUUCCUUCACUAAAUCUUGAGUUUUAACCGUUAGUUUUGCAAACUAUUUCAUUCGAGGGCUCACUAAGGAAGUUUAAAGCUAUUGAUGGAGUUGAUGUGAAACAGGAAGCUUUAAGUUGUUAUCUUUCUUGAGUUAUAAGGUGAGUUGCUAAGAAAUUUCCUCUUUGUUCUUAAUAAGGGUAGAUUAGUGGUUUUAUUGGCUAAAUAUGCUAUUUUGUGAAAGAUUUCAUGAUUUUAAGUAGAGUUUGAUAAAUUUCUGAUUUAUUAGUGGAUUUUUUGAUAUUAUAUGAUAAUUGUUGGUUGGCCAUGGAAUGAUAGCUUGAUAUGGUGUGAAAUGGGGCCUUUGUGUGUUAGUUGUGGUUAUUUGCGGAAAAUUUCAGAAUUUGUGCGGAAAUCUCAGCUUUAGGGUUUCGAAUCGAAGGGACGUUGUGGCCUAAUUAGAUAUGUGGUAUAUCUUAUGAUUCGUAUGUAUACUUGUGGUUAUAUACAAAGGUUAGUUUAGAAGUGUAAUUUCAGUUUUACCUUGUUUCUGGAAUCAACUUGGACUGCACAUUUCUCCAUGUUUUAGACCGAACCAGCUUGUAGACAAAACAUGAAAGUUGUAGGUAUAUGAGUUAGCUAGCUACUUGCAAAAUUGCAGAUUGAUUGGAGUACUGUAGCUUGUGAAAUGACCGAAAUACCCUUGACUACCCUUAAGCCUUGUUUCGCAGACAGUUUCCAUUUUUUUUCCUCUAAGAUGUCGAUUUUUGUUCAUGAAUAUGUAUAAUUUGACUUUGGAAGUCUCCAUAAGAAAUGUUGGUAUAUGUCUUAGUUUCGUAAUGUCAUAAGAUUCAUUUCAAUCCGACAAGUGUAGCUUCAAUUGUGAUUAAAAUGCCAAAAGGUGAUAGGAACAUGAUGAUUUUAGAAUUCCUUUUGUUUGACAUGAUAUUUGUGAUCUAGAGCUUGAACUUGAGCAAAGCAAUAAUUUAUAAUGGAUGAGGUUCGUGAGCUAUGGUUGGUGAGUAAUUCCACAACUAUUUCCAAUGUUACUUUUCGAACUAAUUCUUGCAUUGAUUACUCGAUUGCAUAUCAUUUGUGUUUGUGUGUGUGCCAUGACAUGAUUUGGCUCCAAUGAGUUCUUGGAAAGUCUUGUACUUAGAACCAAUAUCUCCACCACUGUUUAUCUGGAGCACCGAUGGCUCCCUUGUACUAUUUGACUUACUGAAUCUGUUUGAGCGUUAGAGUUCUAAGUACGAUAACUUCAUUGGCUCACAAGAGCAACAUAUAUAUAUUUGCUCACCGAUUCAUGAUAUCAUUUACAUGCAUUAUUGUGAAACUGGUUUAUUACUAAUUUUACUGGACACUUGCUGAACUUUUAACUCACCCCAAAAUAGUUUUUCUUCCCACAGGGCGAGGCAAAGGAAGGGCUUUUAUUAUGUUCUUCGUGUGACUGGAUGGAUUAUCUUUUGUACGGUUGGAGUUUUAGAUUCAUCUUGUGUAAUAGUUAGGAUUAUAUGAAUGUUUGGAAUCGAUCGGAUAUAUGUGUACGUUUCACGCUUAGGAAUUAGUAUUUGCUUCGUUAUGAUAUGUAAAUUUGUGGAGUAUUGGAUGUAAUCUUUGAGAUGUGUAUUGUAAUUUAAUUGAGAACUGUAGCGAGUGAGUGAAUUCUGGCGAGAGUUGGGCAUGCGGUCCGCCUAACCCUUUGAUUCGCCUUAGGAGGAGGUGGGGCUGUUACAAGUACAAUUGCAAAAUCCAAAAAAACUAGAAUAUGCUAGCCUGUACAAGUCUCACGCCUCGCUCGUAUCCCCUGUAAGAAAAACAAAACUUAAGAAAUGAGUUAAAAGUUCAGGGAGAUUCCAUACACAUAAUCGAGCAAUUAAAUCCAGGACAUUAAUCAUUUAAUAACAAAUAAUCCAGAAAACAUUUAACAUAUAAAAGCAAUAAUAACCCACUCAUUAAAAGGAUACAUGCACAUGUAGAGUCAUUCGUUCAUUCAUUCACCAACCAUUUUUCUUAUUCCUCCAACAUUAGAAAAUAUUUGCAAGUGAAAACUCCACCAAUGUUCUUGACAUUCAUUCAUUCAUUUCAUUUCCUACCACUAGCCAAUUCACUGGUCAGUCUCCACUAAUUUUCGUGGUCAUACUCGAGUAUACCAAACAUUAUUCCAGGGUCACCAGUCGCCUGACCGAGUCCACUUCUGGCUCAAGUCGACUGGCAACGAAGGGCAAGGGCCCAAUUCAGCCAAAAGGCUUACAUUCAUGCAUAAGUAGCAUUUAAUCAUUGAAACUUUGUCGUACAUUUAGGUCGAAUGCGAUAAAGUACACACUCGCCAAGCAAAAAUUCAUUUUAGCAAUCAUUGAAAAUAUUUAACAUUUAAUCUGACAUUCACAACAAUCCAUAUAGUCAUUUGAAGCAUAACCUAUAAAGAACACUCACCAAUUUAAGUAAAAUAACGUUAAAAGUUUUCUUCCAGAUUAUGCCUUUGAUCACCGACAAACCCUAAGAAUAACCAAUCCCAAAUUGAAGUAAGCAAAGGUAAUUCAAAGUUUUUGAGAGAAAACUAACACUUUUCGUCUUAGUUGAUACCAAAUCUUGGUCAAAACAACUCAUAUACUAAUAUUGAAAUGCAUUCAAGGAUGCAUAUGUAACAUAAGAUCCAACUAACCCUAAACUCAAACCUUACAUCUCACUAAUAUUCAUAAAAGCAAGUAAUAGAAAUUUGGGCAGCAUGCCCUUUGUAUUUUGCUAUUUUUCAACCAUAUAUGGCUUCAUUAUUUUCCUCAACUCUGCCCAAAUUCACACAUAAGCAAUCUUAAUACAAUAGCCCUUUAACUAGGCUCAAUGUCAUCCAAAUACAAGGCAAUUCUAGCAAUGCAACCAUAAAAUCAAAGUUGGAAACUAGUAUUAAAGAAGAAUAACUAAGUAACAGGUUUGACACCUUCUGGCGUUUUGGUCACAGCUGAAGCUAAGCUUAUCGGACAUUAACGCCCAAUUCAUGCAUUUUCAAGGUUAAAAUGUGAAAUCUUGGAGAAAACAUAAAGCGGCCUGUGAAAUAGGAUAUUUGGCAGUUAGGGGUGUUUUAGUUAUUUCACAUGUUACAGUGUUUUGAUUGAGCUAAAAUUUUACAUGCAGAUAGUUAGCAUCAUUCCCUACAACUUUCAUGUUUUGAACAAGACCUGAUUCAACCUCUAUCAUGAAUGAAUAUGCAGGUCAGAAACAGGGCAGAUUCAUCAUCAAAGCUAGAAAUUCACUUCCACUCUAAAAAUUCAUUUUUUAGCUCAUUACUAUCAAGUACUAUAUCAUCAAAACCAUCAAUUACUAGCUGAAUACCAUCAAUUACUAGAUAGAAAAUCAUAAUCAAGGCUGAAAAUAUAAACCCUAGCUAACCCUUCCAUUAUAUCAUCCAAAACUGAAUCAUUAACCAUAAUAAGCCGAGAACAUAAGUUUCUAUCAAAUUCAAACAAGAUUAAGGAAGAGAAAAGGAAAGGAAAUCAUGAAACCUUCCAAUAAUUGCUUGUAAGUGAAAACCACACCCCUUUCUUCCAAAACUUUUACCACAGAAAGCUUUCCAACCACUAAAAGAGAAGUUUAAUCGGUUUAGUUUUGAGAUUUCAACUCAAACAAGGCUAAUCAAGGAUGAAAUGGAAGGUUUCUCCUCUCUUGUGUUUUCUCUCCACGAGUUUCAGCCAAGCAUGAAGAAAGGAAGAAGAAAAUGAGCCAAAAUGGAAGAUAAGAAGGAAAGAAAUAAGCUUGGUCAACAUCCUUUUCUUAUUGCUUGGUCAACAUCAAUAAGGAUGGGUGACACUUGUUGCAACAAGAUGGUUUCUUAUUUUUUUCGUUUCUUCCUUUUCUUUAGUCAAAAAUGGUGGCUGACUUAAGGGUAAUAUAGGGGAAAUUAAAUGAAAUAAAAACAAGAAAAUUAGGCUAAGAAAGUAGGAGUCAAGUGGGGUACUCGAUUGGUCGCAAACGCUGCACGUCGGUUCAAUCUAUUUUUCCUUAACUCGCGCGUACUAGUGUUUUAAUUUAUGGUUCACUCACUUAUUAUUAACACUUCUAAUCACACACUUUUUCUUACCUAAUACUCAUUCUUAUCCACAAAAUUCAGUACACACAUCUCACCAAAUGAUUAGACUACCAAAAUGCAUCAAAAACACACCAAAAACCCUAGUAUGCACAAAAAACCCUAACUUAUGCCCUUCCUUUAAAAAAUCAUAACUUGAGUUAUAAAUAUCAAAUAUUCAUACAAUUUGGCCUGUUAAAAACUAGAUUUCAAAUACUAAUAAUCUUUAGAAAACACCUCAAAGAGAUUUAGUUCAUAAGUUAGUCCAAAUUGAUCCAUAAGCUACUAUAACAUUCCUAUGUUUACUUGUGCAUGGUAGAAUUUUCAGUCAACUUUGCCAAUUUUUUUGGAAUUUAUAGAGAUUGAAUCAAACUCUAAAUUUUUCACUGUAGGAGGCCCUAUGAGUCUAGUUUCAAACGCAACAAACAGAAUUCAAUUCCAACUUUCCUAUACGAAGUUAUAGUCAAUUUUCCAAAACUGCGCAGAGCCUCCUGCGAAAAUUUCUAGAUUUUCUAACAACUUGAAAUUAUGAAACUUUUCUUAAUAAAAUUCACUCCCUUGGCUCGCAUUCAACCAAGAAUCUAAGGCAAGUAAGUUCAAAUAAGAGUUAUAAAGACAAGUAAAAUUUCGAGAUCUCACAAGCUCUUACCCACGAAUACAUUAUUUUUGGCCAUUACAAUCUUGUCAGAUUCGAAUGACACUUUCACCCCUAACUUUUCCUAGCAAUGCUACAGAAACCAAAUUUGCCCGAAUAUUCAGCGCAUGCAGCACAUCAUUGAGGGCCAAAGUUUUUCCUGAAAUGAGUUUCAAAAGAAUUUUCCCUUACCCAAAACUUUAGCAGUUCGUGAGUCUCCAAGGUAGAUCACCUUUUCAUCAUCCCCUAUUAGAGUAUAGGAGGAAAAUGCUUCUCAAUGUACACAUAUGUGCCGAGUAGACCUAGGCUUUACUACUCACUCUCUUACAUUGGCUGCAAUGUUGACUUGAGAGAUGAUUGCUACAAUUAUAUCAUCCCCUUCGGCUAAAUUAACUUUAGGAGGAUUGUCAUUUGCUUUGUCACCUUUCUUUUUUGUGCCUGCAUUGAGUAGCAUGGUGUCCUGACUUUUCACAAACAUGGCAAAUGCCUUUCUUCUUUUUAAAGUUGGGAUUAUUGGGUUUGUAAUUCUAAGAUUUAUUGGUGCACGUUUUAUUAUUGUUUUGAACCAGGUUAGCUUUCAGAGCCAUUUCCUUAGUUUUGACAGUCAUUAACUCCUUCCUGUUGGAGUCUUUAAUCAAAAGAUGUUUCACGAGCUCAUCAAUGGUAUAAUUUUUUUGCUUGUGCUUCAGAUUAUUAUUGUAGUCAGUCCAUGAUUCAAGCAGCUUUUCAAUUAGCAUGCCAGCAGCAAAUUUUUCGAGCAAAUUUAUGUCUUCAUUUUUGAGAUCUUCAAAUAGCAUUUGGUACUCUGUGAUUUGUACUUUCAUUUCUUUAUCUUUUGUUAUCUGCUAUUAGUUGUACUUUUCCACGAUGAAUUUUUGUUUAGUGGUGUUUUGGCUGUAAAUUUUGUUAUCAAGGUUUCGCAAAUUGUCUUAGCUUUCUUGCAGUUACAGUACACGUUAAAUAGUUCAUUUGAAAGUAUUUGUAAAAUAGUAUGCCGAUAUGCCUUAUUGGUAUAUUGCUAGGAUUCUUGCGCCUUGACAUCCAUAGUUGCAGUUAGUUGUGCUUCUGUCAGUGCAUAGGCCACUCCAUGAAUAUCAAGCAGAGAGUGUACAUGUUCUUGCCACCUUUUGAAGUUUUCAUUGACAAAAACUUCAAUUUUGGAGAUGUUCGGAAAAGGUUUAACCAAAGAUAGUGCGACUGCAACUGAUGCGGAUGCAGGUUCUAAGGUGUUAACAUUGCCGGAGGCCAUAGUUUUAGGAUUCUUGCACCUUGACAUCCAUAGUUGCAGUUAGUUGUGCUUCUGUCAGUGCAUAGGCCACUCCAUGCAUAUCAAGCAGAGAGUGUACAUGUUCUUGCCACCUUUUGAAGUUUUCAUUGACAGAAACUUCAAUUUUGGAGAUGUCCGGAAAAGGUUUAACCAAAGAUAGUGCGACUGCAACUGAUGCGGAUGCAGGUUCUAAGGUGUUAACAUUGCCGGAGGCCAUAGUUUCUUAGAUUGUUGUAAAAAUAACCAAAAAAUAACAUUAACUACAGCUGAUUAAAAUGUAGCUUGAGUCAUGCUUAAUAGCAUUGUCUUAAGAAACUAUUUCAAGAGGUUGAAAUGUUUCCCCAAGAUUAAACAAGCUUUCUUCUUGUUAUAAACAAGAAGGAUCAGAACUAGCAAAUGUUGCGUAAAUCCAGCAGAGAGUGAAAGAGGAAGAAGAAGAUGAAGAUAGCAGUAGAACAAGAAGAAAGUUGGCAGGAAGGUCUCUACUGUCAGCUUUUUGGUGUACAUUCUAAAGUGAGAAUAGUUGCUAUUUAUAGACAUCAGAAAGUGUACGUUGGAGAGGAAAAGCUAACAUCUGGUAACAUAAAAGAAACGUGCCUAUUUUUUCGUGUAACAGAAAAUAACGUUAAUAAGAGAACGUUGAGAACAUACCCUGACUUUCGUAACCGAUGAGAUAAAAAUUUAUUUUCUCGGAAAAGAGUCAAACUUUGAUUUGUAAAAUGUAAAAGUAAAAUUUAUUUCUUACUCGCAGCAAAACCAAUUUGGGUCGUGUUUAACCUACGCGCGGAGAGGUAAAUCUGUCAAUUUGUACUGAAACGGCCCAACUCAACUUCCCUCUCAUGCGUGUGAGCCCACACUUAUUACUAACAUAACACAAGCCCAAUAAAAGAUUAAGCAUUAUAAAUGUUGAGAAAUCCCUUUAGUUUUUCAAUGUGGGACAAAGUCUUUUGAAAUAUACCUAUUAGUUACAACACUAUCUCACAAUGUGGUUGAAAGACUUGGGAUAACAGGUGGUAUGACAAAGGCGCCAUCAAGGCAUGGGAGCAAACAGCUAUCUCCAUAUCAGUCGAGUGCCGUGGUCGAAAGACAGUGCCAAGGCAAAUGAUCGACGGCUAACCAGUUACCAAAUUUUGGUAUGUUUCUGCAUGACCGCUCCUGUGAUACAUCUAUGGCCAUCAAUUGUCUGACUAUAUCUGUUCAUGUUGUCAAAAAUGUCUCUCUCUACCUCCUUCCUCUUUCCCUCUUCCUCUCUUCUUCUCUCUUCCUCCUUCCCCUACCACCAUUUCUUCUCCCCUCGUUUUCCUUCUCACCUCCCUCUCCCUUUCCCUAGUCCAUUCUUCAUGACCCCCAUUUGGAUCAGAUCUAGUAGGACAGGUGGGUUGCGAAAGAUGGAAAGGAAAAGGGGAGGGAGGGGCGGAGCAGAUGGGGUGGCGGGAGGAGAGAGAGAGAGAUACCAAUACUGGGACAAGUGCCAGCUAGUGGUGGUUGGAGUAGGAGUAGUGGAGGGGAGGAAGAAGAAAAAGAGGAAAGAAAGGGCAAAAACAAAGAAAAGAAAAAUAAAAAUAAAUUUUUUUCAAUUUCUUCGUAAAUUUUUUUUUUUACAAAUUCUACAGCAUGUUAUAGUAAAAUUUUUAUACAAACACUCAAAAAAUUCAUCAUCCAACCCAAGCCAACAGUAUAAAAUUGGCAUUUUUAUUUAAAAAAAUACUAAAAGCAGCCCCCCCUCCCCCCAAUUUUAGCUUUUGAUCAUUUCCAAUUUCUUUGUAAUUUGGCUGGACUGAAUCUGGUUGUCAAUUUUAAGAACUGUUAUGGACGAUUUUCCUAUUUGACUAGUUAUUAGUGGAUAAAUUUUACUAUUUGGAUGGUUUCGCAAAAUAAGGACCUAAUUUGCACAACAAAAUAGUUGAAGGACUAAGUUGAUUAAAAAUAAAGUUGAAUAAUUAGUUUGGCUUUAAAAAAUGUUGAGGGACUAUAUAGGUGAUUUUCUCUUUUAACGACUCUGUUUAAUGUGGCUUGAACCAAACAAGAGCAAACAAUCAAGCGAUUUGGAUAAGGGGAAAAAAAUUGGAAAACCAACGAAGUCAAGCCGCUUUGUAAAAGAGUUUGAGCCAUUUGUCCAUCUGUCCGGCUGACGAUGGAUAUGAUAGAAUACGAUGGAUAUGAUAGGUUUAUUAAUUAUUAAUAGGAUAACAGAGCUGGGGAAAAACAUUAGUGUAGACUUCUAGUAGGAUAAUAGAGUUGCGAAAAACAUUGGUGUAGACUUCGUUCAUCGUACCACUUGUAAACGUUGUGGUCUAUCCAAUUACACAUUAAUUUAUUUACAUCAUCAUAGUUAACUUAAACAUGCUUUUCGUGUAUCAUUAUACAAAAUGUGGUUUCAAGUUUUUAAUUGUAACUUGUAACAAACAAAAAAAGUUUUUAAUUGUAACUCAAUUGUGACCAUUUUACCCUUAAUGAUAAGGGUAAAAUUGGCAAUCCAAAAACGACAUUUUUUUAUUUUAUAAUAUCAAAUCCCGCUCACGAUUUAUAUAUAGAUAUUAUUAUACAUUAAUUGUGCACUUGUAGGUUAGGCUAGCUUGGACUAUGGCCAGAAACGUUGAAUUUAGGAGCUUCAUCUCAGUGGUCUAAAACAGUCUUUUUGAUCUUUGAAGGAUAUUUUUGAGGGAUCUUUAAAGGAUGGAAAGUAUCAAACCUUGAAUGAGACAGUGAGAGUUCUCUCCUAAGGGUAAGCUCAAAUUUAUCUCAUAUGCGAAUACCAGAUUGAUGAACACGAAACUAGUUUUUGUUCUAUUAUUAUCCAAAUUAAAUUUAUUUAAUGGAAAAUCAUCGAAAUGGUCCCUCACAUUUGAAAAAAGUUUUUUUUGGUCUAAAAUAUGUAAAGUGAUCCCUCAUAUUUAUAAAAAGUCAUUUUUUAGUCCCUCACACAUGCAAAUAGUCCAUUUUUGGUCCUUCAUAUACGAAAAGAUGGAAAAUGAGACCUCACAUUUGCAAAAAAAGUCCUCCUUUGGUCCCCCACAUUAUUAGAAUUCAAAAUGAAUAUACUUUGAAUAAAAUUUAAUUAUAUAUAUUAUUUUACAUAAUUAAGAAAUAUUUAUUAUGUCAUUAAUUACAUCGUCUCUGGUUAGUUUGUCAUCUAAAUAACGCAUACUUUAACUAUGUAUCAAAAAAUUUUAGUGGUAAUAUAGGAACAACACAUCAUUUUGCUCCAAAUAAAAUGUCACAUGCCUACACUUAUACCUCUUUCCUCAAAUAAAAUCCAAUUUUGAAUCCAAAUUGCAUUUUGAAACUUAGACUGGACGGUAACUCGACUAAAAUCAUGCAUUAGGGAACAACAGGUUUUACUAGUUGAGCCAGGGUCUAAAAAUUGACGAACCAGAUGAUGCAACAAUAACGUCAUAAAUAUGAUUUGAUUAUUUAAAAUAAAAUUAUGUAACUAAAGAUUUAAUAAAAUAUAUUUGUAACAAAUGCUGAUAAUGUGAGGGACUAAACAAGACUUUAUGCAAAUGUGAGGAAUCAUUUCUAUCUUUCCAUAUGUCAGGAAUCAAAAAAAAACUUUUAGUAAAUGUGAGGGACCAUUUUGCUGAUUUUCUCUUUAUUUAAAUAUCUUAUCUUUUGCAAACAAAUUUUUGCUUACACUCCUAACAUGUGUAUAAACCACUUUUUUUUUUUCCUAAUCAUGUUUUUUGUGUCAUAUAUAUUACAUCACAAAACAAGUUACAGAUUUAUCUCAAAAUAUUUUUCCAAAUAAUCAUAUAUCUAAACAUAGUCAAAUGAUAACUGUAACAAUAAUAAACUAGCUUCUUCUACUUUAUCCCUAAGCGCAUUUGCUGCUUAGGUUUUUUUUUUUUAUUAGUGUUAGUGGGAGGCUCGAACCCACCUUUUAGAUGGCUGAAUUUUAUGUUCAUAUGCACAAAGGAGUAUGUCCAGAUAGAGGAUUGUGUAUGAGGUAGAAGGUCCCUUUUUUUUCAGAUCAAGAAAACACACCUACUGGUGUGUGUGAGUUGUGUUCUUCCGUUGAAAAGAAAAAGAGAUUCAGGAGAGGUAAAAAAACUGGUAAGGAUAGAUUCAGGAGAGUCGUCUGUGUGUUCCCUUUCCCUUCCCCUCUAGUUCCCACAUCGGUAGGAUGUGGUUUGCAUCUUCAGUAUUUAGGGUCCUCAGUGGUAGUCAAAAGUUGGUACCUUUUGACUAUUGCUGUGGAGUUACUUUAGGUGUUGUGUGUGUGAGUUGUGUUCUUCCGUUGAAAAGAAAAAGAGAUUCAGGAGAGGUAAAAAAACUGGUAAGGAUAGAUUCAGGAGAGUCGUCUGUGUGUUCCCUUUCCCUUCCCCUCUAGUUCCCACAUCGGUAGGAUGUGGUUUGCAUCUUCAGUGGUAGUCAAAAGUUGGUACCUUUUGACUAUUGCUGUGGAGUUACUUUAGGUGUUGUGUGUGUGAGUUGUGUUCUUCCGUUGAAAAAAAAAGAAAACACACCUACUGUAACUGUGUGCACACUAGCGGCAAGUGUCCUAACUUGGAACUCCUCAGCAGCAGCCAAACAGAGGACAGUGGAAUUCCCAUUUACAACUUAGGCAAACUAUUUACUUUUUAUUUUUUUUUAUUUUUUUGUGGUAAAAGUAGUUUAUGAUUUAAUGCAGCAGCAACUGAUGCAUUUGCACCCUAGGUGUUACCGCUUAUUAAAGAAUUCAAGGUUCCACUGGGAGCAAGGAUUCCAAAUGAUGCGUGGCUUGGCAAUGACUAAACGUUGAAAAAAAAAAUUUUUUUUUUAGUGUAAGCAGGAGGACUCAAACCUAAGAUCUUUUGGUUACACUUCCUCCCCCCGUACCACCCAACCCAACUCUUUCCCCAAAAUUAUGGGCUUUCUUCUCAAAAUUAGGCUCCGUUUGACAAGUGAAUUAUAUGGAUAUUUGUCUAAAAUUUUACUACAGAAAUUGUAGAAAAAUUUUUAAAGUGUAUAAAUUUUUGGAUAUUAUGAAGUGUAUUGUUCAAAAUUUUUGAAAAGUUUUUUGACGUUACCAUAAUUAAAGUUAUUAAAAAACUUGUAACAAACAAAUUUGGCAAAAAACUUGCUUACCAAAUAAGGCCUUAAUUGGCCGUGAGCAUAUACAAACAUGGAGCGGGAAGAUUGAUUGGCUACGACUAAAGGUUGAAAGAAGAUGAGUUUUCUUCUUGAAAUCAAUUUAUAAUGAGUGGAGAGAUUAAAUAUCUUUAUUAAUUAAUUUGGAUCAAUGAGAUGGCCUUGCAAUAUAAAUAUGUUUAUCAAUUCUUUCUUUUUUAUUUUUUAAAUUAUUUUUUUUAUUUCACACACAUUACAUUGCAAAAAUUGUUACGGACAUAUUUCAAAACAUUUUUCUAGAUAAUCUUAAUACAAUACAAACUCAAUUAACAACGACAGUAAUAAUAAUAAACUAGUUUCUAUCGCAUCACUGAGAGCAUUUGCUGCUUAAUUAAGCAAUUAGCGGCUGAGAUCUAAUUGCGUACGUAGUAGUAAUAUUUUGUGUUCAUAUACUAGGUAACCUGCAACAACUGUAAAAACUCGGGCACUCUGAGAUAGACUCAGAGUGUAUAACAACUCGGGCAAACUAUUUAAUAGUUUUUAUUUUUCUAUUGUUUAUUUUUUUGUGGUAAAAAUAGUUUAUGAUUUAAUGCAGCAGCAGCUGGUGCACUUGCACACUAGUUGUUACCACUUAUUAAAGAAUGUGAGCUUCCAGUGGAAGCAAAGAGUCCGAAUCAUGUGUAGAUUGGCAUGACUAAAAGGUUUUAAAAACGGGCUUUCUUCUCAAAAUCAAUUGAUCUCGAGUGUAUGAAAGCACGAGAAUAAAAAUCAUGUAUUGAUUGAUUGAUUACCUAUAAUUAAAGGUUAAAAGAAGAUGAGUUUUCUUUCGAAAUCAAUUUGCACUGAGUAGAGAGACUCAAGAUCUUUAUUAAUUAAUUUGAAUAAGUGAGAUAGUCUUGGCUAAAUUGACGUGUUUAAUUUCUUGGGAUUACUGUAUUUAACCUGUUCAACGUUCUUUCAACUUUAAUCCCUCCCACAAAAUUCCACUACAUAAGAUAGGAUUUCACCUCAGCUGCUUAACCAGACAAUGGCAAAGUUGCAGGGAAUUAAGGUGGUACCCCUUUUUUUUUUUUUUUUUUUUUUUUUUGGUUAUCCCAGAUGCUGAUUUUUGUGGUCAGUUUUGGAUCCCCGGACAAUCGGUUUUGUUAUGUCAAAGAAAUUGCGCAUUCAGGGACCCUCUUGCUGCUGUGUUAUGAAAUUUAAUAUUCGCUGUCCAUGAGGGCCCUCUUCUUCGCUGUAUUCAUCUAAUCUUUGCAUAGCAUAAAUGCGUAUCGAAUUACAUAUUUACAUGCGAUGAACUUGACUCCCUUUUUUUUCUCCAAGGAGGAGGAGCGGAUCGCUCCAGUUAUUUCGCGAGGGCAAAAGAUCAACCACGUAAAGUGACAAGUUUGUAAGAGGUAAGAAUUGAACCCCUGACCUGUUGCAUCAUCAAAGAUGAUGAUGAUCACUGGACCAAAUGGUCAGUGGCCAAUGAACUUGACUCUGAGUUGUGGCUCUUUUCGUUUUCGUGUGCACCGCUUUUUUUUGGGGGAGGAGGGGGUGGAGGAGGGGCUCUCCAUAGCCUGUCUAUUUCAGUAUUUUGUCUGAGGUAACGCUGAAGAUAUAUCAUUCAAUUUUUAUACAUUUUGAACUUGAAUUGCGUGGUGGAGUUUCUUUCUUUAUAUGAGUUUUCUUAAUCUACAGCUUUGGAACACCUGGAAUUGAAAUAGUCCCCAGCCCUGUGUUUGUUGGCAGCUUCCUAAACCGUGUACUUGUAUUAUACAAGUUGCAAUGGUUUGACUCUUGGUUGUUUAUUACUCGUGUGUUCUAAGCACAGUUGUAGGCUGAAACUCUGGAAGAAUAAUAAAUAUUUGUCCAGAACCUCCACCGUUUAAAUAAGGUGAUUGGUGGAAUAUUACCAAACACAUGCAAUGAUUCCUCAAUACUCACUUUCUGCCAGAUUUGAAGUGCAAUUUAUAGCUUUGAUUAGGCGAUUAACUUGGAAUUUAACUUUAGUGUGUGAAAGAGUUCAAUCAUAUGUGUCUUUUUGUUUGAAUGACAAAAUUCCAUCUCAACCGAAACACAAGAGUUUUUCAUCUGAUUUUCAAUGAAAUAUCGGCAUUUUGAGGGACGUUUUAGCUCUCUUUUUUUUUUUUAGUUGCAAUUACCCUAUUUUGAUUGUUAUUUUUAGAAAUUUUAUAAAAAAAAUGUUAUAACAAUUUUAUAUACAAAAGAUAAAAUAAUAAUUAAAAAAUUAUUUAAAAAGACAUAAAAAUUUUUUUUUUUAAAAAAAUCACAAUCCAAACAAGGUUUGGGGGGGGGAUCUGGAUUCUCAUAUGAGAUUUGUCCUCAUUAUCCGUAAUAAAAUACCGUCCAGAUAUGUUGUCGUGCUUAUUAGUUGUCUGCUAUUGAUUGUCAAACCAACUUAUUUGACUUGAAGUGUAAGUGUACAAACUGAACAAAGCUAAUGGCAACGACUAAAAAUUCCAGCCAGUAGCUGCUUUUCUCACCAACCCAUUUAAUAGUUAAAUUUAAGGGAUAAUUUCGGAAAACCUCCCUUGAGGUUUUGGACAGCUUCACUUGACCCUCCCAAAAUUCUUAAUUUUUGGUUAAUUGAUCGAUAUAGUUUUUUAAUGAAAAUUUAAAAGUUGAUAAUAAGAUUGAAAAAACUCUUUAAUAGUUUUUGUGUCAUUAGUUCAAACAGGAAAUGUUAGAUAAAAAAAGAAAGGAAUGUUAAAUAACUUAAAAUUACGAUGGACUUACAAUAAUCAAAUAACUUGCAAUAAUUUACAACCAUGAGAAUACCUUUUUGCAUGAGAUUAAAAACAAUACAAACAAGUUUAUGUAUAAUUUUUAGCAUGUUGUAUCAUUUUACUUUCAAGCCAUCUAUUUGGAAAAAAAUUGGAAAACUCAAAAAUAUGUAAAAGAUUUAUAAGAAUUAUUAAAUUAACUCAAAACACUUUACAGUAAAGAAAAUAUUAUCUUUGUAACUUACAAAAAACAUUCAUACUUUUUGUUUUUGUUUUUCAUUUGUUAUUAAUAUACUCAACAUUUUGGUAAUAAAAAGUAAGACAACAAUAGGGAAAAUUUAGAAUGAGGUUAUAUUUACUCUCUCAAAAUGAAUUUUUUAAUAUUUCUCAAACUUAAAAAAAUCUCACUUGCUUCCCUUAUUUUGGAUUUUUUUUAUCAUUUAUAACCAAUUUUAAAAAAAUCUCACUUGCUUCCCUUAUUUUGGAUUUUUUUUAUCAUUUAUAACCAAUUUUAAAAUAUAAUAUUAAAAAUUCAUUUUGAGAGAGUAAAUAUAACCUCAUUCUAAAUUUUCCCUAUUGUUGUCUUACUUUUUAUUACCAAAAUGUUGAGUAUAUUAAUAACAAAUGAAAAAAACAAAACAAAAAGUAUGAAUGUUUUUUGUAAGUUACAAAGAUAAUAUUUUCUUUACUGUAAAGUGUUUUGAGUUAAUUUAAUAAUUCUUAUAAAUCUUUUACAUAUUUUUGAGUUUUCCAAUUUUUUCCAAAUAGAUGGCUUGAAAGUAAAAUGAUACAACAUGCUAAAAAUUAUACAUAAACUUGUUUGUAUUGUUUUUAAUCUCAUGCAAAAAGGUAUUCUCAUGGUUGUAAAUUAUUGCAAGUUAUUUGAUUAUUGUAAGUCCAUCGUAAUUUUAAGUUAUUUAACAUUCCUUUCUUUUUUUAUCUAACAUUUCCUGUUUGAACUAAUGACACAAAAACUAUUAAAGAGUUUUUCCAAUCUUAUUAUCAACUUUUAAAUUUUCAUUAAAAAACUAUAUCGAUCAAUUAACCAAAAAUUAAGAGAUGAAUUUAGUGUAUUAUGAUAAUUAAGAAAUCGCUAGAAAAGGGCAAAUUUGGAAUGAAAUAGUAUUCUCUCUUUCAAAAUGAGUUUUUAAUAUUAUAUUUUAAAAGGUGUUUCAAAUGUUAUAAACAAGUUUAAAGUAGGAGAGCCAAGUGAGAUUUUUCAAAAGUUUGAAGGUACCAAAUGAAACUAUUAGAAACCUUAGGGGAGGUUUCUAAAAUUAUCCCUAAAUUUGAUGCUCCCGAGCUUGGUAAAAGAUAUGUCAUCAUAGAAAAACAGCUGCGUAGCUCUUAAGCAUAUGUUACAAUCACGUACUUUUUUCUUUUGAAAACCUUGCAUGCUUGAUCCUCUUUAUACUGCUUUCGGUGGCUGAAAAACAUGUUCCAGUUCCCCUUCUGCAGACCAAGAUUUGUUUCCCAGAAUAAUAAGUCUGCUUGGGAUUUUCCUCCACAGCUACUACUACAGGAAAAAGAGCUACUUUACCAGCUUUGGGUGGAUUUAGACCUUCGCUGCGUUUAUUGCUAGAGCUUUUUGGUGGGUUGACUGCUUUCCACAUUGAAGGUCAAGAGUUUUUCUACUUAGUUGUCAUUUUUCAAAGUGCAUAUCUGAAGGUUAGACUUUGAGUUUGCAUUUUGUUAACAUUAUGACGAAAAUUUUGCUGUUUGAUGCUGUAUUGCACUUUUAGGAUACAUCUUCUUCUUCUUCUUGGCAAGCUACGGCUUAAGCGCAGAUUUUUUGUUUACAUUUUAGUCCAUAUAUAUCUGAACUCUUCAUAUCCAGAAAUCCGAGACAGUUUUUUUUUUUCUUUUUGGUGGUAAAUUCAGAUGCAUUGAAAUAAAAGUAAAAGACAGUAGGUUCAAGUACUUAGUUUAAUACAGUCAUCCUGGAAGUGCAACUCCCCUGAAAUCAUCAAAAAGAUGGGGGAAUACAAAAUCAGGGCAUGAAUCAAAAGACUGGGAUUGGUUGCUGCAGUUUCCUCCUUGCUUGGCCAAUGCAUCUGCGCAAAUCUAUUUGCUUCUCUGAAGUUAUGGCAGAAAUAGACCUGGGAAAUACGAGACAGUUGAUUUAAGCAUGAUGGCUUCAGAUUAGUCCUUCGCAGUGAAAUUGACUCAGAAACCACAAGGAAAAGUUUAGGACAAAACUUGGGUAGACCCAGAUUUACAUGUAGACGAGAGGUGGAAAAUAUGCCACAUCACUGAAGUUAAUUUUUUAGUUCAAAAUGCUCCCUCAACAGCAGAUCAGUCUUAUCCUUUACAUUUAUUGGCUCCACUCCGCAAUCCUCAAGACCUCAGUAAUCGGUUUCCACCACCACCAUUAUCAACACUUCCUUAUCACCUCCUUCUCCCCCACUCCCCAUAUCGACGGUCGCUCCUUUUCCGCUCCCUUUUUCCAAAAUCGGCACCUACUGCUGUAUUUCACGAACAGGUCCAGGCAGAUGAUGCGGUAAUGUCCACAAGUGGAAAGAAGCUUCUAAUUAGCACAUAAAAAACAUUGUCAUCUUGAUUGUUUGUUGUUUCCUCAUCACAUGGAUGGAUCCCGAGCAGCAGGCCAACAGUUUAUUUAUUUUGAGCUUUAGCAUCAAGACUUCUUGGCACUAAUCCCGUCCCACUCCCAAGUUUACAGCUCACCAUGCGAUGAAAGAAUUUCAUGAUUAUGUGAAUGAUGAAUUUAACUAGUGCGUUUCUAAUAAUCCUAAGAAUUUUGUAGUUGUUUUCCCCUUGACAUUUUUUGGAUUGAAAGAGGAAAGGUUGUGGAUUUUUUAGGAUCAACUUCUUUAAUGUAGUAGAUUUUGGACCACCCGAUCUACUGAUGAAGCCGUAGCCCAAGUUUAUCUAAGGUUUUGCCGAACAAGUGCAAUAGUUAUCCACAUUGAUUUUGAUUUGGCCGAAAAAUGGCUAAUGUCCUAAAAAUUGAUUUGACCAAGCAUUACUUGUCAAGUCUUGAAUGACAGCCAUCUGUACCAUCUUUUAGGAAACUUGUACUUCUCUCUCGUCCUUUGCCUUCAUCUCCUCCGUAUUCUGUGGCAUAAAAAAGGAAAAAAUUUGGUGCCAGCCCCUGUGCUCUUGUCCUAAAGUGGCAGAAGCGAAUAUAUUGUAUACAACUUUAUCUUUCUUAUUUGUUGACUACCAAGCGAUUGUUUCUUUGAUAUACUUGUGCCAGACAAUAGAUAUCUUUUUUUUCUUUGCUGCAUAUCUCUGUAAUUCAACGUUCUUUCUGAUGUUUUAAGGAAAUUGGGUAUUUAUGUCCAACUUCAGCUUUCGCAGUAUACAACGUUGAAGGGACUGCCACUUAAUUUCAAGGCUUCUACUAGAAGUUAGGAGUAUAACAAUAGUUAAAUCUCAGGAAAUAUGGCAGGCAGCUCCUUACUCUAGUAAAUAGGCACCCAUCUCUGGUUCUCCCCAAAGGCCAAUAUAUGGGAAAAAUUCAUUGCAGAUCAUGUCAUUGUAACUUUCUGCUUCCUUACGUUAAGAGCUGCCUGAUCUGAUUAUUUACCAUAUAGGUGCUGCUUCUUUGACAUGGAUAAGAGCGAAGGAAUUAACCUCACAGAGAGAGAUUCUUCAGAAAGACUUCCUUCACUGAUUGAACAUAUUGCUGCAAAUAAAGUGGCUGGAUUUGAUAACAUUAAGGGAAGAAUGAACUGAAUUAUCAACCAGCUGCCAUGUGUUCUCAUUGUUUAAGCCCCUUAAGCAUGGUGAGUCAAUAGAAAACUAAUGAUUUUACCCUGUUCAGCAAUAAUAUUAUGUUAACAUCUUGAAUAGUCAUGAGAAUUAGCAUUUUAGUUUUUGACAAUCAAAUGGUUCUUGUGUCUGCAAUACUAUUUAUCUUGUAUAUGUUUCGACUCUUCCCUGAUUUAUAGAAGCAUUUUUUGGUUGAGACUUUUUGGAAGUCAAGGCCUAAGUUGCUUCAGGAGCCAUCAAUAUUAGUGGCCAUUGUCAGACUCCUAUAAUUGCUUUUAGUUGACCUGUAUUGCAUGUCGAUAAUGUAUGUUAGCUAUGUUAAAGGGAUAUACUGGGUGACUGACAUAGUAGAUGUUGCAUAUUAAAAUUAUCUUUUACUCGUCGAGGGCCUCUUGGUGUAUAACGUGGUCUUCAGGAUUAAUUUAAAGGCUAAAGGAGCCAAAGAAUGAGAUAGUAAGUGGCUUGAGCAAAGGCAUGCUCUUAAGUAACUAACCAUGAUCAUAAUAAGGCCCUUCUUAGAAGCUUCGUGCUAAGUAAAUGUCACUGAUUAUGAUAGACUUGGCUCCAGCGUCCUUUUUUUAACCAAUGGGACCUUAACCUGGUUCUCUUUUCAUUUUCCCCAUCUCUGACACAAGGGGAUUUCUGCUGCUGGAUACUCUUAGUUGCAGCAUUGCAUCAACUAUUUCGAUGUGGAAAGUUCUCUGUUGUUGUUUAAUUUGCAAGACGGCAAGCUCCUGACACUCUUGUCAUUGGGUUGCACUCUACUAAUUGUUUCUGAAGUUAUAUGUUAUGUUAAUUUUCUUAGGGAACUGUGGCAGCAGCUGCAGAUGGUCAGAGUGAUCUUUCUCAGACUCAAAGACUGCAUUCUGUU